rnacentral:lncRNA from 1 species
GAUCUGUGCUCUGUGAUCCUUUUGUUGAUACUACUAAGUGCUUAAAAGUACUUGUUAUUUCCAAACGAUUUGUUCUUUUUUUCGCUUGCUUGUGCUCAGGAUGGUAGACUGGUAGUCGACAUGGUCUUCAUAAUUCGAAGUAUUUCGCAUUGUCUCCCCUUUUUGUGGAGAUCUCCUUGUGUUUCAAUUCAAGUACUACCUCAUAUAAAUACACAUGUGUUUCGUUUUAUUAACCUUGAAUGAUGUAUGCAGUUUAGUUUCGGAAGCCAAAAGAGAAUAAUAUUUUGCUUACUUGCAUGAACCAUAAUAUGUUGCUUGUUAAUUACUUUGCUUGUACCAGUACACUUGUCUUGCACAGGCGGGGACGAUAGAUGUUCUUGUAUGUGUUCAUACGUGCGGCCGUAUAUCUUUUCUGUGGAUCCUUAAUCCCGGAUUUCGUGCUUAAUAAUUAAUUGCAUCUUCUUAUUCUUUCGUUGCGUGGUGCUAUAAUUCAUCUGGAGUUCUUUCACUCGUCUCCUUUGAUUUAUAUUCCUUUGCAAGAAAAAAGAGAAGUUGUUUCCCUGCAGAGUACUUUUGACAGAACGUGUGUGCACUGUACGCAGGUCCGAGCUAGAGAGAGCAGAGCCAUGGAGCCCGCCGGAGCCAUGGAGCCCGCCGGCCAGGAUACGCCGGCCGAGCUUACGCCGGCCCAGACUGCUGUUUUAAUCCUGGGAUAUCUGUCCACCUUCUAUGUCUUGCUCGCGCCACUGUAAGCUAAAAUCCGACCACCACUGCAUAAACUCAACCAAUCAACUAUCCUUUGCUGCGCAUUUGUUUUGGGACAAAACAAAGUCAAAGGUACUCGAUCAUAUUGUUUGUGUCCAGCAAGACGAUCCGGGCUAUCAAGGCGGCUGGAGCGGUCGGGCAGGAGACGGCGACCAUGUACCUGUGCGUGCUGUGCAACAGCCUCGUGUGGCUGCUCUACGGCGUGGGGGCGGACGACAAGGCCAUCAUGGGCAUCAACGGCAUCGGCGUGCUCUUCCAGGCCUACUUCCUCUACGUCUUCAUCCGCGCCUCCACCGACCGCUUCAAGCAAUGCAGCUACGUCGCCAUGGUGCUCGCGGCCAGCGCCUCCGUCGCCAUCUACGUAUACGUCUUCCCAUUCAUCCCUGAUCCCAAGGACAGGAAGAAGGCCUUCGGCCAGGCCGGCAUCUUCAGUGGCCUCGCCAUGUACUGCGGAUCCUGGGGCAGGUUUGUAAGUAUAUAUUCUUUUCUGCUGUCAAUUAGAUAUUGCAGCUAGCGCUCAACGGCUCAAGGGGUCUCAUUGUUAACACCCGCGAGCGCUCGUGGAAAUUUUCUUUCAGAGAACGGUGUGGCGGAAAGGCAAUGUGGUGAGGGACCUGGACUUGAACGUGGUCGUUUCUUCGCUCUUGAACGGCAUCUGCUGGAGCAUCUACGCCAUGCUCAUCGACGAUGACUUGCUCUUGGUAAGAUCGACUUCCAAUUCAAAUCGAAUAUAUCGGCACGUUUGUUUGUCCAUUGCUUGCUACUGCAGCAUAGGUGCAUAGUACUUAACGGCUACUGCGUCAAUGGUGACAGUUGAACACACGUACGGGAUUAAUCCAUCUUUUCUUGUGUGAUGACUGCGCGCAGACUCCCAACGCUGUCGGCAUUGGGUUGGCGGAGUUUCAGCUGGGCGUCUAUGCUUGGUACUACUACAUGGGCAGCAACGACAACAACGGCGACGGUGGCGACGACAACAUCAACCUCCUGCGUGACGAUGAUGAUGAAGAAGAAGACGACGACCACAACAACCGGCGUGACGACGAAGAAGACGACGGCGACAACAACAACAGGCACGACGGCGGUGAUGACGACAACGAGGAGGAGUUGCUGGCACCCGGCAGGCAGGCCACCUAUCGGAUUCAGACGAUCGAAUGAAUUACUAGUACCUAGCUACCUGACGACGGCCGUACAUCCUCGUUUAGAAUCUAUAUAUGGCGUAUGGAUAUCUAUCUAUCUAAGAGAAACAAACAUUCUGGACAUGUUGUCUAUUUUCCCCUUAAUUUGCAUGUCAGACCUUCGCUCUAGCUUGAUCCGGCUUUGUGGUGUGGGUCAGAAUCGAAAUUAGAGCCUGCUUGCUUGCUCCACUGUUAAUUUGCUGCAAUUUUCUGUUGCCAUCUCUUAGACUGUUCUAUAUAUAUGAUCUAUGCUAUCUGUCAUUCUGUCGAUUUGUGUUGUGUUGAGUCAAGGCUCACAUGUAAGUACGUCUAUAUAUCCCUGUUUGUUUCUGAACAAGGGUACUCGAUAAAGUCCAAUUGAUUCGAGAAUCGAAUUCUAGCUAAAUGUUUUUGUGGUACUUCUUUACACUACUCUCGCGCUUGUUUAGCUACUGUGUAGCUCAGCAUCCAAACAUCAGUAUAUGCAGUGAUCAUUCAAAUGAUAGUACGUCUUCAUGCAUUGAUGGGUGGAGUACUCAACCCAACAAAUAACAGCACACUCAGCCGUUGAGCAUGCAGCCAAUCAGUGGCGUGCCUGUGUAUGAGGAAUUCUGAGACAAUCCUAGCCAACUGCCUCUGCUCGCUAGUAUAGUUUGCAGGGAUCGUGUCCCUCGAUGUUUGCUUAUAUGUUCAGCUCCAACUGUACUGUAGUGACUACUGACUAGCUACCGAAAUUAAGGGUUGGACUUAGCUAAUACUCCUAUAUGAAGUAUCCAUCAACCAUUUUGUAUCCAUCAACCUUUUUCCCACAUGAAGUGCUACUCGUAGUUAAUUAUAUAUAAAUGAAAAAGUUUUUUACGGGACUUAUGUGUCUUAGAAAAGAUGUUGUUAAAGAGUUGAAUUUUAUAUGCUUAGUUCAGGCAGUAGAUUGCUUCACUAUAAUAUGAUUUUAGUUAAGAUUUCUAUUAGAAGAAAGUUAAUCUGUUAGAACACGAUUUCACCUUAGACUUAUAUACCAGAUUUUAUUGAUACUCCCUCUGAUCCAUAAAAAGUGUCGCUCAUUUUGUACUAAAUUAGUACAAAUUUUAAAUACUUAUGUGCAUGGAAUUCGUGUAAAUUUUAAAUACUUUACUUUCAUUAUUUUUGACAUUAAUUAAUUAGCACAUAACGAGUGUAGUGAGUCUAGUACUCCGUAACAUGUCUAUGCAUCUAUCCGAUCCUGAUUCAGAUUAAAAUCAGAACCUAUAUAUGCAUUGCCAACGUGAGUGUAUUGGAGUUUUAACACACCUUGUGUCCUCCUCAUAGACGUUGUAAGUUUUCUGGUUAGAUCAAAUUGAUUAGUUUUAGAUGGAUUUGAUUUAUUCUCAGCCGUAAGAUAACUUUGAAACAAUCUACACUGUAAAAUUUCUGCUACUUAAUUAGAUAUUAGAAGAUUUGGGCAGGGGUCUCAAAGGUGACCGACAGAGGCCCGAUAUAUUUUUCAACCGGCAGUAAUAAUACUACGUACUCAAGUUUGAGUCUAGUAGAGACUAGAGAACAAUGAUCAUGAGUUCAUGACCUAUAGAUAUAUUGGCAUGGAUGUCUGAUACCGACUUGAUUGUACCAUAAAAAUAUCUCUUGAAUGAUCAUCAUAUAUAUACAGAUGCAUGCAUGGAUAUAUGGUGUGAUGUAUGGAGAUGGAUCGAUGAGGAUAAGCUACCCAACACAUAUAGCUAUCAAUAUAAACAAGCUAGUACUACUGCAUCAAAAACCUUUAAUUAGCUAGCAUGCGAUUCCAAUCCAUUAAUUGGCAUUCAUCGAGUACAUAUAAUUGUUGACGCUACACAUAGAAACAAACAGGGGAUAGAUAAGUCGAAGUGUAAACGGACAGAGCAAGGUACAUACGUACGUACGUGAGCCUUCAACACACAACACAAUCGACAAGCAAUGCAGCAAUUGAACAGGCUAAGAUAUAUAUGGCGACAGCAAACAUAAAGUGCAGCAAAGCCAAACAACAAUCAGGUUUCAGUUCUGACCCACACGGCCGGAUCAAGCAGUGCGUGCGUACAUGCCGCUUGCCUGUUUGACAUGCAAAUUAAAAGGAAGAUAAACAACUUGUCCAUGCAUAAUUUUGUUUCUCUUAGGACUACAGACAGAUAGAUUAUCCAUACGCGAUAGGUUAACCAAGGGGACUGAUAUUGGACGCCCGUCGCCAGCUUCUGAAUCAUGCCGAUACGUUGUCGCCGGCUCGCCGCGCGCCGCGCUAGUCCUCGUGGCGCCCGUUGCCCUUGUAGUACAACCAAACGUACUCGACCACCUGGAUCACCGCGAACCCAAUGCCAAUCCAGUUGGAGAUCUGCGCGUAGUGAUCAGUUCACACAAGCAAACGCAAAUGUGCAUUAGUGCCAUGUCUUAACAGUUGACAGAGCUAGCUAAUUAAGCAGAAACUUUGAAAGGAGAUGUGGAUCGAUCAAAAGCCUUACUUCCAGCAUGACUUCGCCGCGGAUCCGGGCGUAGAUGGCCCUGAAGACGCCGCUGAAGAGCCAGGCCACGGUAGCGCGGUACGCAUCCCUGACUUUCCCUGCCUUGUACAACUCUGUCUGAAACAAACAAAUUCCCAACGAGCAGCAUCCAUCAGCGCAAGCAUUAUAUUCACAGCACGCAGGACACCAUGCAUAUAUGGAGCCAGCCAGCUGCCAGCGAUGGCAGAAAAUGCAGUGUAUACUUACGAUCUCCAUGGAGGCCACCAGGUACAUGAAGCCGCUGCAGGAGACGCCGACAGCUCCCCAAACCAUCUUCUUGGCAUCGUCGGUGGCCACGGUCAGUGGGCAGAAGAAGAUGAAGAGGGCCAUCUCGAUGACGAGCGUGAACACCCCAAACACGUAGCGCGCGAAGUCCUCGGUGUAGACGAGCAUGAAGACGUCGAGGUAGUAGCACUGGAAGAUCAUGGCGGCGACGUUGAUGGCGAAGAGGAGGCAGUUCGACGUCGCGGCGCAGUAGACCAGCCACACGAGGCAGCUGGCCAGAACGAUCAUGUACACGAACGGAUCCUCCCGCCCGGGCUCUCCAGUCUGCCUGAUAGCGCUGAUCGGCUUGCUACAGAGAUCGAGCCAGAGAAAUUGUUAGUCAGUCAAGUUCGUUUUAAUCCGAGGCAAAAAUUGAAGGUUAAUUGUUAAGAGUAUCAAUCGAUAUGUCUUACUAGGGGGUGCAGCAAACCAAGGUAGCAAUCGAUCCUAAGGCGAAGAAAAGGUACUCGGCCGCAUCAGAGGCCAUGGUCGCGCUCCCUCAGACCUACAAUUAAUUGACAACGCACAGACGUCUAUAAAAUUAAGCACGAAUUAAGGAAGUAAAGACGGCCACAUAUAUAUGCACACAUGCAAGAAAUCUACCACAGCCUAGCUUGUGCAAGACAAAGUAGUAUAUAUCGGCAUGCCAUAAGCUGUACUAACAGAUGAUCGAUGCACCGUAUCAUUGAUGUGACAAGCAAAGGAAAUACUACUCCGUAACUAGUUUUGGUUUCGAAACUAAAUGACGUGCAUCAAGAUUGAUAAGACGAAGUACAUACGCAAAGAAAAUAGUACAAGUACUAAUUGAAACACACGAGAUCGACCUCUGAAAAAGGGGGACAAAAGACAAAUAAUGCUUUGAGUCAGACCACCACACCUAAUUUGAGAGCACAAGGGAGCAAAUAAACAAAUCGAUUGCAAAUAAAAAGUACUCGCACUUUUUAGCACUUAGUAUCAAGCAUCAACAGAAGGUUCACAACUUCACAUAGCCAGGAUCCGGCCACACAAAAAAAAUCGAGUACUCGUUGUAGCACCUAGUAUCAAGUAUCAACAGAAUUGGAUCGGAUCGCAUGGCAAAGGAUCCACCAAAAAACCGACUUAGGCCAAGAAAAGUACAGGAGAGCAUGCUGAUUUUCGUCUCCAAGAGGAGUUAUAGAUCGAUGUUACGGAAGAAAGACCCACGGAAACUCUACCUAGGCAGAAGGAAUCAACGUCCAAGAAAACAAAACAAGGCGAGCGCGAAGAAAUGAAGAAAAACGCAUCCAAAAGAAGAGCCUAGAGGCAGCCUCAGAUCUAGACAAGAGUUCGAUGGAUGAAACCAAGAUGGGAGGAAGGAGAAGAAAGAACACGUACGUGUUGAAAAGCAAACAACAGAGGUUUUGGGGGGGAGAAAGGACAAUGGCUUUGCUUGGUUCUGUGCAGUGCAGGAGGGAGAGAUGGGGUAUAUAAAAAACACGAGACCGACCUAGCCUAGGUGCAACCGGAUUCCAUUUCCACCCAUCAGCGACACGCAGAGAAUGACAAGUGGUUCCACAAGUAACAUGGCCCACCUGAAGGCUGUAGAAACUGGGUGGGUACACUCGGCAGCUGAAUACAUGACCACGUUCCUUCACCAUUUUUUUUUUCAACCAGGUUGAGAACUACAGAGAGAGAGAGAUGCGGGAAAGACAAGGUGAGAUCUGCAUGACAUGCCGACCCCACAAAUUACCGGACCCACGCGUCAGGGAGAAAGUGAUGUGCCCAGCUGGUACAUGGACCAAAAAAGGAGGGACUGUUUCACUGCAAACCAUCCCUGCCAUCUUUUGCCAGCCAAGAGAUUCCUUCCCAUCCAUCAACCGAUCAACCCAGGCGUUGAUUGCGAGUAUUACUCUCUCUAAUCUUCCGUGGAUUGCAAUUACUUCCCGUCCCAAACAAACGUUGCGCGCAUGGGAAGCGAAAGCCAAGCGGCAGCUUUUGCGAAAGAAGUUCUUCUUUUUCUUGAAUUUUUGGCAGCCUUGACUGCAGCAGCCCGCUCAACAACAAGCUUUUUCUUUCAGGCUAGCUAUGCAGCAACGGCAACAAGUUUUCAUUCCAGCCGUUUGUCGUUUUGGAGCGGCGAUCCCGAGAGUACAUGCUUCUUCCUGCCGCCGGGAUCACUAAAAUGAACGAUGAUUUGUUGCUUUUUGGUAGUAUAUGGGUAUGGCUACUGGUGCAAGUUUUUUUUUUCGGUAAAAUGAGAAAGGUACAAGAUGCCUUCAUACGGAAGUUCGAUGUUACGACAAUCAGAUGGGUGUUUUUCCAAACAAAGACGAGAUCUGAAUUUUAAAGUGGAUUAAAAUUUAAAACAUCACCCACCAAUAUAUAUACCCAACAAUGGUCCAUGUUUUUUUGGCUUAGAGCAACUCUAGUGGUUAUCGAAUUUUCUGAUCCUAAAAAACAUUAGUUCAGUCCACCGAAUCCAUAUUUUUCGGUAUCAACUUGACCUCCUCCUGCAUGACGGAGAACACGCAAAAACACCAGGCAUAUGUCUGUAAAUCGUGCCGAUAUAUUGGAAAUUCUAAAUCGUUUCUCGGAUCGGACCGAUAUACUGUAUCUGCUAGAGUUGCACUGUUGCUACUCGGCGAAGUUCAGUGAUCGUGCCGGACCUCGUGUGUCGUCAGCCACAUGCGCUUGACAGGAACUCCUGCCAUUGUCAUCGUCAAUGACCCGUUCCGGUAGCAGCAGCAGUUCUUGCUUCAGUGGUUCUCUUGGUGGUGGCUCCUUCUGUUGCAGUGGUGGUUUCUUAUAAAGAUUUCAAGAGAGCAAGACAAGCUGUUUCCCUGGAGGUACAAAGAGUUAUAUAGUACACAGAUACACGUUUUGUUCAACAAUAUAUUGUAUCACAGUACAUGAUUUUAUUUAAACAGGAAUAAUGUUCUCUUGUUACUCCUUGCUUUGGUAAAUGAAAGUUCUUCAUUGCUCUCCUUAUUGUUGGUGUCAAGACAAACAAAGCUUGGUUGAUCUUUUAUACUGUAUAUUCUUGUACACUCUGUUGAGAAGGUAUGGGGCUUGAUUUGCUGAGAUUCUGGAGCAUUGUCUACUGGGUUCUCUAAUCUUCAAUGAUUCAAUAUUAAGUUAUAUGUAUCAUUAAUCUUCAAUAAUUCAAAAAGAAAAAAACUGUGUUCUCAUCUUUCAUAUUGAAAAAGAGUUGUGCCCUGUCUUAACAAAGGUCGUUUGAUUAAUCAUGGACAAACCAGUUAGUUUUUUAUUUGGAUGCUAAUUUGCUUUCAUAUUGAAAAAGCAGCCUUUCUAUCCUUCUCUCCACUACUAGCUAAUCUCUUGCCUAAUUUGGUGGACUCUAUAUGACCAUUUUCCCCUUAUGUAGGACAAUCAAUUGCCCAUGGUAAUAAUCAGUUUACUGAAAACUUGAGAGGAAUGCCACAGAAGUACUGUAGUAUUAUGUCAUACUGCAUGCCUAUUGCCUAAUGAACUUCUACCCUAUUUAAUUCCGUGAAAAGUUCAAAUGACAAGAUCAUGACAUGUGGGGCAGAGGUGGACAAGAAAUUUGGAACGAGCGAAUUAUUCAAAAACUAAUUUAUGUAUAUAUGAUUGUGAUUUAUAGGAAGUGAUGUAACUUUAUGUCACAAAUGUGUUCGCCACGUUCAGAUUCUGUCCUAAUUUAAGCUCCCCAAUCUUCUUUCUACGGUUGUCUGUGCCAGUUCAGUAUGAGUUUUCUCGCAAAAAAGUUCAGUAUGAGUUAUAUGAUUUUACUUCUGUGGAUCAGGGCAUUGCCAAAUUGUUCUAUAUAUGUCAGAGUUCAGUAUGAGUUAUAUGUUAAUCCAGUCCCUCGGUUGUUCUAGAUCUCUGGGCUCACAACGGCCAGUGGGUGAAACUUUUUUUCCUUUUUUUUCUCGAACACGCAUAUUUUCAUUGAGAAGAAAGCGCAGGUACAAACAAAGGCAACGAAAUCGAGCCCCAACAGGGGCACAGGGCUCAAAGAAAGAAAGAAAGAAAAAAAGGAAGGAGAAGGAAAAAGCCCAAAUGCCACUAUACAGGAAUAGCACUAAGGACAGUGGCUGAAACUUAAACUACACCUGUUGGUUUUGAGCUUUAAUUAUUCAUCAUAUUCCAAUACUGAUGCAUAAAAGAAGCUGUAGUUUACUUGCAGAUUUUGCUAACACUCAUGGUUGUUUGAAUAGCUUGUUCUUCAAACGUUGUAUGAGAACCCUGCAGAUUAGGAUACUAGUUUUUACUCGGAAGAAUGCAAGCUAUAGUUGCUAUCAAGAAACAACUAGCAUCAACUCCUGGUACAGCUACUUGUGAAGGUACAUGUUUAGGUGUAAAAGAAUGAACAUUGACCAGAAGGACCACUGAUCAUUUUCAGUUUCAGUUUCGGUGUACAUGCGUAGAUGUAAAAGAAAGCUACAGUUACCAUGUAGAGCCACGAAAUUAUUUCCUUUAUUUUUAUAUAUGGUUUGGUUAGACCAUAUCUAAUAUCUAAUUAAAAUAGCAGAAAUUCUACGGUCUAGAUUUUGCGAAAGUUAUCGUACGAUCCAAAUCGAUCUAUCUAUCUAUUAUACAAUCAAAACAGUUAUUAUUGAAAACAACCUUAUAUGAGAUAAACGUGUGAUUGCAUCACAAUUUGACAAGAAUACGGACAUGUGCAUGCAUGUGUCCGAGUGUUUGGAUCAGAGUUGGAUUUGUUCGGAUGUUUGGAUCAGAGUCCAGGAAGUAAGCAGCCUGCGCUGCAUAUCAUAGAAAACCAUCGUUACUUUUUCUUUGCUUCGUCUUUCUUUGGUAAACGAUCUCCUUGCAUCUCAACGUCCGGAUGCAGCAGGCGGCCGCAUGGCAGCAUUGCCGCGCCUGCCGGUGCCGCUUUCUCGCUGUGUCCUCGGAGCCGCCGCGCGCAUCGGCACGCCGCUGCUAGCCAGAGCCAUCCCCACAGCAGGCAGAGCCUCCGCUGGCUGCGCGCAUCGCACCGGCCGCAAUCGCUAUUCGUUGUCGCUGCGACCACACUCCCUCCGAUACAACCGCCAUGCCAUGACCCCGCGGCGCUGGAGCCGCCGAUGGCCCUCGACGCCAUUACCAAGAGGUUAGUGUUUUUCUUUUCGAUGUUGCAAACGUGUCCAGAUUUUGCAAAAGUUAACAUAAUCGAAUCCAAUCCGAGUGAAGAAAAACCAAUUAUACACCAAUAGUAAGGGCCGGCGGUCAGUCCAUAUGGGACAAACACCAAUCGGUAAGGGAAAUCAGUAAAAAGGCCAGAACAACCAAUUCCAGUAGGCCACAAUAGCCAUUGAAACUAGUAGUCAACCAUCGAGAAUUGCAAAUGAUGCAAAUUAUCAGAUGUAAGUAUGAGACCUUAAGGCUAGAGCAAAAAAGUCAGGCCCGAAAUAGCAACUCCAAGUCUCCAACAGUCAAUGACGCCAAAUUGAUAUGAGAUGUUCACUAAAAUGAGUUGAUGUCCAUCGGAGAUAUAAAAAAAUAGUAAAUUAGUUGCCAAAAGAAUUGUGAAAUCAUAGGUGAUGUGUAACAUUGGCAAAUGUUUUAGGUGAAACAUUGAUGUGUAUACUUCGGAUAAUAUGGAUACUUAUAUGAUGACUUCUAUCUUGUUUGGACUUAGUGCUUUGCUAGUGGUGUGUUGAUCCAUUAGUUUCUUAUGUGAAAAUAUGGCGUGAGUUGUGUGGAACUUACCCUGAGUCAAGUCAUGGACUUGUGCUCGUACUGGUUAUUUGUGUGUUCGCUUUCAGGUGUUGCCGGAGCUAGAGAAAUGUGGUUGAUGAUGAGAUCUAGGGACGAAGCUUGGGUGAAGCUGAGGUCGAGGGAUCAAUGUCAUGCGGGACGUUCGUGCGAAGGAACAAUGAAAGUGAAGACUUCGAUGAUUCGGGAGGGCACCGGUUUGUCGUACGUUGUUUAUACCGGAGAUGUAUGGUAUUGGAGAUAUUCGACACGUGAUGGUCGAGUUUUGAAGGCAUCACACAAAAAGUUGAUGGCAAGGAGUGGCAUCGACGUGAAGACAUGUAGAUCCAGCCGUGGCUGGAUGAGAGCUGUUUACAAAUUAAACAGUAGCGUCAUCAAGAUUGUGUCUGAUGGAAAAGUGGUCCACAUGAAAGUUGUGAGCGUCGUAGAGAUGAACAACUUUACUUUUGGAGUCGUCUCAAUCCGAGGUCGUCUGUGGGCCCUACGGGCAGAAUAAUGACCGGGACAGAAGAGUUCGUGUUGGAUUCGGACUCGGUUUAGGAUCGCGAAUUUUUCCUUAUAAAUAGAGAGCGUCUUAGCUAGGGUUUUAGCAAGGACGUGAGAGAACGCAGAGGUUUGGAUCUAGAUCAAUUCUUGGAGAUUUCUUGGAUGCAUGGUUGCAUCUUUUGUAAUCGAUCAACAUUGUUGCAAUUAAGAGAUUUGUUGGCGGUGUCAUCUUUGUUCUUCUCGGAUCUUCGUGGAGUAUUCGUGCUAGAUCUUUCUAACACUUUGCUGCAGAUUUAUCACGAGUUCAUAAUACUUUACUGCAGGUUUAUCAUGAAAUCAAGAAAAGAUCGCGAUUACUUCAUCUUUCUUGUUAUUCCUCGAAAUCGAUUAUAGAUUAAUUCUCGUAACUUUCUGUCAGUUGUUACUGUUUUGAUUAUAUCUUUUGAUUGGUAUGUCCGAUUGAGCUGAUUCUCUUGUUGCUUUGGUUAGAUAAUUUCAAUACUUUUCUUUUUCAUACUCGUACGUAUUUUUUGGUUCAUCCAAUCAAAAGUUACGACUGUUUUACUAUCACGGACAGAAAGGUGAUUUAGGAUUUGAACUUUCGGGAAAAGUUUUAAUUUGGUUCCGCGCAAUCAUUCACCCCCCCUCUGAUUGUCUAUCUCGAUCUCACAAGAAGGCCAAUUUUUACAAAGAAAUAGCGAAGGAAACAUUGUGGCUCACAUUAUAGGAUAGAUGCAUGUGAAUCGGAUGGAAAUAUACAUCCACAGAUGCACCGUCGCCGAUUCCGUACCUACGAUACCAACUGUGGACUGAAAGCAGCACCCUCGCACAAACGACAAUAGGAAGCCGAUCUACCAUACGUUCACUCCAAUCCACAACAAUGACUGCAAUUAGUCGAAGCCGAACAGCUCUUGCCGCCGGCCGCCGAAAACCAUAGUUGCACCACAAACAACACCGCAGAACAAAUAAGGGAAGUUCGUGUGUUAGGCAAAGUCAUACAGGCCAAUGGUUGAUGGGCGUAAUACAUACAAACUGCACUGGAUAAAAAGGAAUGCUUAUUGCAUCAUCCAUAUAAAAAUAUUGAAGAAUAAAAAUCUAUACACACUAAUAAAUGUCUAAAAGAAUUUUUUUUUAACAUAAUAUCUAAAUGGUAUACAAAAUGAAUCUAUUAAAAAUCAAAAUAUACAAAUACAUAACAUAGUAUUUUCUAUUAUAAGUCACCCCGCUAGUUCUCUAUGUAUAUCAUCAACUUAUUUUGCCGGUACAAAGCAUGUCUUACAUUUAAAAAAAAUAUUAAGGUAAUUUGCAGUGUCAUUAGUAAAAAAGUUAUACAUUAAAAAAUGCUAUUCCGUCGCGAAGCACGGGCAAGUUUCAUAGUUGUAAAAUUCAACGGGACUACAUAAAUUAAUAAAUUGAAAAGUAGCACAAAGAAUUAAAGAUCGAAGAUGGGUGGUAAAGAUGGCUCAGCUUGUCUCGUGCUCCUUGCAGCAUGAUUAAGAACAGCAGCCAGAACAGCAGGAGUUGAUAAAAAAUGAACCGGCUUGGGAAGGCCAAGAGCAGGAGCAUGGCUGAGGCUGACUGCUGAGGGGCGGCGAUCGAUCAAGAAGCGAUUUCUCCUUUUCUUUUGCUAAUCUGGCGAUCUGGCAACGCUCGAGGCCUGAAGUCUGAACGAUCUGGCGAGGCGACUCAGGCGAGAGGGCCGGCUAGCGCGGCGAGUCAGGAGGCAACGAGAAAACGAUCAGGUCGACGGGAUCGAUCUCUGAGAAGUUUUCUUGAGCCAGGCCUAAUACUGUGCCGGCUUUAGAAUUUGGGGCCCCCUUGGGCCAGGCCUAAUACGGCCGCUUGGAAUUUGGGGCCCUGUGCUCGAUCGCCUUCCGGGGCUGGUUGUUGCGCGUUAUACGGGGAAUCGGUGUCUGUUUGCCGCUUCGGGAAGCCAGGCACUAGCCCUAGUUGGCCUACUCGCCGUAGGAUAUAUCCCCAUCCCGAACCCGGAUCCGAGAAGUUGAUAUCAUGCUUAUCUUCUUUUUUAGAGAAAAUCUUAUCUCUCCUAUUUUUUAGAGAAAAUCUUUUCUUGUACUGUAGUUGGAUGGCCGUGUUGUGUGCAACUGGGCCGCUCUGAGCCUUAUUUUCUUUUGGUUUUCUACUGAUUAUUCUUUCCUCUUUGCGCAAAAAAAAAGAUUCAUUCUUUCCUCAGUUAUGGGCUGAGGUGGGCUUUCUUAUAUUUCUCGAUUUUGAGAGGGGCUUUUCCCGUAGCAGGCCUUGUGUGUUGAUUUUUUUUAGCCCGGUUUGUUUGUAAUUUUUCUACGGGGUAAAUCACAUGAAACCUCCACGUUAGGAGAUAGAGUUUCACAUAUGUAUCAUUUUUCGUUUUAGUUGUAAAAAUCCACCGACUUAGCUUAACCACUCGGCUCGCUAAUGUCUAAGUCCGUUUUUAACGAAGCGGGUCUACCGGUCAGACCAACGUGUCGUCCACCGUAACAAGUAUCUCUUCAUCCCUGCUCUCUCUCUUCUCAAUUUGAAAGCCAUCGGGUUCUCGCUGCCAUGGCCGUCGGAGAGCCGCGCGGCGACGCAACGGCGUGGAGCAGCAGCUCGCAGGCAAGCAGCGACACGAGCGACGCGCGGCGGAGGAGCGGAGCAGCGCGCGGGCGAGCAGCGGCGUGCGGGCGAGCGGAGCAGCAGGGCGUGGGGCUCGCGUUGAAGACGGCGGAUCUUGGGCCGGCCAUCGGGGAUGCCUCGGGGCAUGGCGGGGCCCUGCCAGGAGCUCUCCUCGUGCGCCGUCUGCACGGGGAGACAGAUGGCGGCGGCGGCGGCGGCAACGGGCAUCCGGCGCUGGGGAUGGCUCCCGACAGCGAGAUGUCUCGAGGGCGCAGCGGAGGGCGUCCAGAGUGGCAACAGCUUCCGCCUCGGCGCGGGCGUAGUGGCCUAGUGACUCGAGGCAGCAGACGAAGUGGCCGCGAUGUAGCAACACGGAGUAGGGCUUCCCGGCGAGGCAGGUCGAGAUGGACGCCAAUAAAGAAACUGCAGACCCAAAUUCCCCUGUAUUUCUCUCGCCUGCAGUCUGCAGACCAGCUUCUUACCUUCAAAUCCACCAUCUUCUCUCCUCUAGUACAAGAUGUCAAGAUCCUCAGACAUGGAGUUACAGCAGGAGGCUACCUUACCGGCGAAGCAAACAGGCAGGGCACCGGUAAGGCGGUAACAAUCCAACAAUGGCGGCUCCACAGUCCGACAUGGAAUUACAGCAGGAGGAAGCGGCGGGAGAGAGGCGCGCGGGACGGCGGGGUUCCGGGCACGCGGACAGGCUGAAUUUGCCGUGCAGCCCGUCGAGCACCGCGGCGAUGAGCCUCGGCGGGACGAGCGACGGCGUGCCGCCGCCAAACCGCCGCCGACGAAGAUGGUCUCGAGCGGUGAAGCGGCAGCAGACGGCGAGGAGCGGCGGGAGGGAGGCGCGUGGGACGCGGGCGAGGCACUCGAGGAGGAGGUCAUGGGGCAGGCCGUCGAUAUGCGCCGCUGGCGGCGCAGCAGACGCCGGCAGCUUUCCACAGCCGUGGCAGCGAGCUCAGGAUCCUAUCGGCCUCGCCUACCUCGCCUGUGCCCGCCGCCCCAUGCGGGAGAGCCCAUCGGCCUGCUGCUUCUAGAUCGGGGAACAGAGACUCACAGAGGGAGGAAGGCCACGCUGGCACGCCUCGCUGGCCUGACUGGUGGACCUUCUAUGUCAGUUCAAUGAUUAUUCGCUAGUAAUCUGUCGCUUACUGCAAUUUGGCGGUUUUUAGUAAAAAAACGUAGACCGGUACUAAUCUACAACCCUAGCCUAUAAUGUGGUGAUUUUUGGUAAUUUACUCUUAUUCUACAAGGAUAACGAUUUUUUUUAGAAAAUAUUCAAAAUUCAGUUUCACAUUUGUUUGUUGUUUUACAGAUGCUUACUGUCACCUCGAAGCAGAUCGUCGACAACUUGCGAAGGGUCUGGAAAAUCUGCGGCAACGUCGACACCCAUCCCCUAAGCAGGAGAUGCUUCAUCCUGGAGUUCACCGAGGUGGGCAACUUCACUCACGUCACCCGCGGCGGACCGUGGAGGUACCAGGGCGACGCCGUCCUGAUCGAGGCGCUCAAGGACGGCGACGACCCAAAAGCAACCACCUUCACCUCUGUACCUAUCUGGGUGCAGUUCAAAGACAUACCGUUUCACCUCAUCUGCAAAGAACUAACAAGAGACCUAGGCCGAAAGAUUGGUACACUACUAACCAUUGAUAAUAAUGCUUGUGGAGACAUUUGCAGCAAAUUCGUCAGGGCCAGAGUUCUGCUUCCGAUCAAUAAGGCGCUCCAAAGGUGGAUCCCGCUGCUGGACGAGAUCACGGAUGAGGAGGUGAUCGUCUCCGCCGCUUACGAACGCCUCCCCAACUUCUGCGUUCACUGUGGCUUCAUCGGCCACGCGGCGGACCGUUGCACGAUCCCGAACAACCUCAAGAGGAACGGCUACAGCCUCGACCUCGGCGUCGACGCAGUUUGGCUGGACGACCCUAGGUUCUGGUUCUUACUUGAAUCCACAGGGCAAGGACAGCACCAACGCUCGGCUGCCCUCCCUUGGCGCGCUCAACCAGAACUACGACAGCCUGCCCCACGCCAACAUGCCAUUGCCAACCAGGUGGCAAAAGAGGUUGAGAAACUCUAUGUACAGGAAAAGACCAAAUCCUGACGCCGCACACCACGACGCCAACAACGCAGAACGCCGACACCAGCAAAGAGAAGCUGAGCAGUACUCCGCCAAGUAAGAAGCAAGCAAACUAGAAGAGACGGGAUAGAACAAAGCAGAAGGAACUUGACACCACGCUGACAACCCAGGAUAUCAACCUGGGGGCUCCGCGUACCAGACCACCGCUUGAUGAUGAAGAUGCAAACCUGUAGCCCGCCAAGAAGAAAAACUCAAACCACUGGCCGACGCUAAAAGACUGUCUCGGUAUCGAAGGACUCCAGAAACUGAGAGACAUGGAGGAGGGAAGAACUGAAGAGACUCCAGCACUGCAUGCCAUGACAGAAAACUCUGAAUCAUUUGAGAUAAUUGUGGGAAACGAACACCUCGCUAAAAAUGUUACUGUCACUGUAACUGAUAAAGUGACAGAGUACGAGGGGCAGGAGGAUGCGGGAGGGAGACAGGAUCACGACUGGGAGCUGAGCAACACGAAGGAGGUAGCCGGCCUUGGGGCCGCCGGCAACCUGACAGGCACGACAGACAAUGCCUGUCAGGAGAAAUGAUGAUCCUCGCGUGGAACUGCCGUGGAUUGGGCCGUCCACGGACAGUUCAAGAUCUGGUUCGGAUGGUCCAUGUGCAUCAGCCAAAGAUCGUCUUUCUCUGCAAAACUCGCCAGAAGAAGAAUGUGGUCGAGAGCCUCCGCUGGCGCCUAGGCCUGAAGAAUGUCAUCACUGUCUGCAAUGACACCAAGGGAGGCGGUCUCGCUCUGUUUUGGGACGACUCCAUCCAAGUCACCCUGAAUAAGCUCGGAAACCAGUUCAUCGAUGUUUAUGUUUCCCUUGCUCAAAAUGAAAUAAAGUGGCGAUGCACCUUUGUCUACGGCGAGCCGCAGGCUCAUCUCUGCCAUAACAUGUGGGAAUUGCUCCGACGCCUAAAACCCAUGGGGAACGGUCCUGGUGCAUGAUAGGUGACUUCAACGAAACUUUGUGGCAACAUGAACACCUAUCCACUUCCAGGAGAAACGAAAGACGGAUGUAGAAUUUUCGUGAUAUCCUCUCCCACUGUGACCUCCAUGACUUGGGGUACACGGGCUUGGACUGGACCUAUGACAACAAUCAAUAGGGCAACCGUAAUGUCCGUGUUAGACUCGACCGUGCAGUCGCCUGCCCCGAGUGGCAGAACUCCUUCCCUACCGCCAAGGUCAGUCAUCUCGUCAGUACCUGCUCUGACCAUUCCCCCAUCCUCCUCUCCUGUGAAACCCCUCCUGCUGUGAUUUUUGCAAACCACUGUCGCAGGUAUGAGCUGACCUGGGAAAAAGAAGAGGACCUUGCAAACCAAGUCUCUGCUGCCUGGGGCCAACCGAAUUUGAAUGGCGACCUAGGCGACAUCGGGCAAAAAUUGGGGAUGACCAUGAACCAUUUCCAGAGCUGGGGUAAGAAUUGGUGUGGCGCCAUCCCCAAGAGAAUCGAAAAGCUCCGUGCAAAAAUUGGCUGCCUCCACCUAUCCAGAAGUGCAAGCUCACAAAAAACUCUCGCCAAGCUCUCUGCCCAAAUGGAUGCUCUGCUUGACAAAGAAGAAAUCCACUGGAACCAAAGAUCAAGAUCAGAUUGGAUUAAGUCGGGGGACCGCAACACUAAGUACUUCCAUAGAAAAGCCACUUGGAGAGCAAAAAAUAAUAAAAUCAGCAAACUGCAAUGUGAAGAUGGCACUAGUGUCGAACGUGAAGAUGAACUGAGCAUCCUGGUAAACAAUAUCUUCAGCAAGCUCUACGAGAAAGACGACAGGGUUGCCCCAGAUUCAGUCCUCAGCGCCUUGGAUCAAAGAAUUAACGAAGAUGUGAAUGAAAAGCUAUGCUGUGAGUUCACAGACAAAGAAAUCAGUGACGCACUCUUCCAGAUUGGCCCCCUUAAGGCCCCGGGGCCUGACGGCUUCCCUGCCCGCUUCUUUCAGAGACACUGGGACACUUUGAAAGCUGAAGUCACCGCUGCUGUCAAGAAUUUCUUCCGCUCCGGAAUUAUGCCGGAAGGUGUGAACAAUACAGUGAUCGUCCUCACUCCAAAAUCAAAAAACCCGUCCAAGCUAAAAGAUUUCAGACCAAUCAGCCUAUGCAAUGUCAUCUAUAAAGUCGUCGCCAAGUGUAUGGUCAACCGCCUAAGACCACGCCUCAACGGUCUGAUCUCCGAAACCCAGAGCGCUUUCAUCCCGGGACGUCUUAUUUCUGACAAUGCCAUCAUCGCCUUUGAAUGUUUCAACACCAUUCAGAAAAACAAGGAUGAGAAGGGGAAUUUCUGUGCCUACAAACUUGACAUGGCCAAAGCCUACGACCGUGUUGACUGGAACUUCCUCGAGCGAGCUCUCCUCAAACUGGGAUUUAGCAAAAAAUGGACGAACUGGACCAUGGCGUGUGUCACCUCAGUCUCUUACUCUGUGCGGCUCAACGGGGCGCUGCUUCCGCCUUUCCGGCCGUCUCAGGGUCUGAGACAGGGAGACCCCCUCUCGCCCUACCUCUUCCUCAUGGUGGGUGAGGGGCUGUCUGCGCUGCUCAGACGUGAGGUCACAGAAAACAGGCUAACCGAAUUGAAAAUCUGUAGAUCAGCCCGGGCAUCUCCCACCUGCUAUUUGCUGACGAUUGUCUCCUAUUCUUCAAAGCUACUGCUGACCAGGCUCACUUGGUUAAAGGAAUUCUGAACAGCUAUGAACUUGGCACAGGUCAACUUCUAAGCCUGGAAAAAUGUUCCCUCCUCCUUGGCAACUCCUGCUCCCCGUCGCAAGGUGACGACAUUGCUGCAAUUCUCAAUGUCAGAAACGUCGGGUUCGACGAAAAAUACUUGGGGCUUCCUAUUCCCGAUGGCAAGAUGAAAAAUGGAAAAUUCCAGAAUAUCAAAGAACGAUUGCAAAAACGCUGCUCUGGUUGGAAUGAAAAAAAUCUCUCGGCUGGGGGAAAAGAGGUGAUGAUCAAAGCGGUCCUCCAGGCACUCCCCACGUAUGCUAUGAGCGUCUUCAAGUUCCCUGCUGGACUGUGUGAAGACCUGAUGGAAAUCUCGCGAAACUUCUGGUGGGGCGAAGAGGAGAACAAAAGGAAAAUUCAUUGGCUCGCCUGGGACAAAAUCAUCCUUCCGAAAAGACACGGCGGUUUGGGUUUCAGAGAUUUCUGUCUGUUCAAUCAGGCCCUUCUCGCCCGGCAGGCUUGGCGCAUGAUCACCAGUCCGAACAGCCUUUGCACCUGCCUCCUCAAAGCCAAGUACUUUCCUAGCGGGAACCUCAUCGAUACUGCGUUCAUAAAAAAUGCUUCGCCAUGUUGGAGAGGGAUCGAACAUGGCUUGGACUUGCUAAAGAAAGGCCUCAUUUGGAGGGUGGGCGAUGGUCACAGCAUCCGUAUUUGGCGCGACAACUGGAUCCUGAGGGGCAACCUCAAAAUUGCGGUCAACCUGAACCGAUCCCGUUUCCGAAAGGUUUCAGAUCUCAUCGACCCAAACACUGGCACCUGGAUGGAGGACAGCGUCCGGAACAUCUGCAUUCCCCUCGAUGCCAACGCAAUCCUGAGCAUUCCCCUUCCGGCUGCGAGAACGACAGAUCAAAUUGCUUGGCAUCACGAACCGACGGGGGUUUUCUCGGUCCACAACGCUUAUAGGCUGGCUCUCACCGAACACUGCCAAAGCCUUUCCCACGGACAGAGCAGCAAACAACCAGAUGGAAACCGCCCAAUUUGGGACCUCCUUUGGUGCACCGAUGUUCAGCCGAAGAUCAAAAUCUUUGGAUGGAAGCUGGCGACGAAUUCCCUUGCGGUCCAGGAGAACAGAGCUCGGCGGCUUCCAAAUGUCCUCCCCAUCUGCCAGAUCCGCGGCUCAGAAACUGAAAAUGGCUUCCAUGCUAUCAUGAGAUGUCUUCAAUCGCGUGCCCUUCAUGCCGCCAUGAGAUCUUUCUGGGAGCUCCCUCCGGACAAGCUUUUGCAAUUCAGUGGGAAAGACGGGGUGAUCUCCCUUCUCGCUUCUGUCGACAAGCAUACCAGAGCAAGAUUACUGAUGCUUUGGUGGCGUGCUUGGCACCAUAGAAACAACAUCAUCUUCAACAAUGGGGACUGCCCAAUUCAGGCCUCUGUCUCGCUGCUCCUCGGCCUCAGUCCUCCACAACUGGCUGAUCCUCUCUGCGCGAAGCCGUCCCGAGGAAAAGCGCCGAUUUUUCCCCUGCCGGCGUCUUCCAGCGGCCUCCUCGUCAGGCUGUGACUUGGUCGAGGCCUCCCCUGGGAUGGAUAAAGCUCAACGUUGACGCCAGCUUCAUCGAGGAUCUGGGUACGGGCACCUGGGGCGCCAUUCUCCGCGAUCACGCCGGCUCUACCAUUGGUGCUGCCUGGGUGAGCACCUUCAAGUGCCGUAGCACCGACGAAGCUGAGGCUCUGGCUGCUAGGGACGGCCUACGGUCACUGCAACAUCUCAUCUCUGGACCUGUUUGUCUUGAGAGCGACUGUCUCUCUAUCUCUCUCACACUGGAGCUCGCCUUACCCUCGAUGGGGCGCUCGCCGAUCUCUUUGUUGGCAGCUGAGACGGUAAACCUGCUCAGAACCUUUCAAGAUUUCUCCAUCUGCAAGACGCCGAGAUCUGCUAACGGGGCGCUCACGACAUUGCUGCCUAUGCUCAUUUAGGUGUGAGUUCGGGUGUGUUGACCAGUUCGGUUCCUGAUGUUGUUUCUCUGGACCGUGUCGAAUCUUGUAAUGACUCUUGUUGCAAUUAAUACACACCCCGCUUUCAAAAGAAAAAUCUGAUUUCUUUUUUUGUAUAUAGCGUAAAAAAUGUUCCUUUUGAUUAUCAGCCGACCGCAGCCUGUAGGCCCUUUGCACACGUUACAAAAAACAAGGUUGUACUGCUAUUGUCUUAACAAAAAAAAGGUUCUACUAGUAGUAUUGUCGAAGCCUUGGAGCGAUGCACUAGCAUUGCUUUACCCGUAAGAUGAGCAGGCCCGUCCUUCUCUGAUCCGCCGCCGAGAUUCACACCAACUCCCUGUCCGCACUGGCCUUUUCGAUUACAUGUUUACGGAUUGUCGGUCCGUGUUCAAUAUUCCAAAACACAACUCAUAUAAAUUUGUACAUUUAGACCAAGUCACUUCUCGUUUUUAGUGUCUGACCAUUCAUAUUGGCUUAAUAGUAAAUGGAUGUGAGUAGUUAUUGGCCGGAUGCGGGUAUCAAAAGAAAAAUAAGGUGUGUUUUGAAAAAAAAAAAUUAUAUGAGUUGUUUUUUGGAAUGGAGAGAGUAACGUGUUGGUAUUCUGAUUCACGCCACAAUGUCCGAGAAUCUUCUGAAAAACGGUGAUGCUAUCACAGAACUGAACAAGGGACGAUGCAGAGCUACCUCACCUGAGAAUCUUCUGGAAAACGGUGAUGCUAUCGCAGAACUGAACAAGGACAAUGCAGAGCUACCUCACGGUAGACGUUUGUCCGCACUAUGUUAACCGCAUUUUGUUCAAGUGUAGUUAAUUUUUGUUUUUAACCGCACUUUUAACACUUUAGCCGCAGAUUUUGCUAAUAAAAAUGUGUCAAAUACUUUUGCCAACACGAGUAUAUUCAACACUUUUAGAAUGCCACAAAUAUAAUUUUGACGCACUUUGAAGUUAGAUCGACGCAUUUUGAAAUGUGUCCGGUUAUCUACCAUGACGUAAUGAGAUGUAGGUACUGGCUCAACCUUGAGCAUGGCGGGCUGGUGGAGCGGGGCCGUGCCCCCAUGGUCCGCCAUCCACACGGCCAUAGAUGGCUGCCGGACCUACCGGUGCCCUCGCAUUGACCAACAAAAACCAAUUAAAAUAUUCGAUAAUGCUCGAAAUAUUUUUUUUCAUUCCUCGGCUUGUUAAAAAGUAAGUAAAUGGUUUCAAUUUUAUCUUUAUACUUCUCAUCAUUUGACCGUGAAAACCCGAAACUAAUGAUCUUUUGUCACCCGCGAAACCUACUGCUGAUGUGAUAUAGUUUUGGCUCGGGACUUGCCACAUCGUCCACCAAACCGCUGUCGGUUUCUUUCUUAUCGUCGCCGCAUGUUGUUUCUGCUAAAAAAUGUCUUUCGUGUAGGGGUGAUGGCGGUUGGUGAGUACAAAAUACGACAAGUGGUGUGUUGUAACCAUGUAAAUCGACGACAUGAUUUCAAAUCAAGCACUCACAAAUCGAUCUCAAGCUUCAACGAUCAUCGCCAAACUGUUGGAUCUGAUAUGCUUGCCCUGAGGGUUGUUAAAGUUUGACUUAGCAUCGAAUCCUAGUGAUUUGAUCAGACGGUUGGUAGCAUCGACAUAGAAAUAGUUAUUAAUCAGUCACCUUAGAAACAACAAAACAGAAAAGUUAUAAUCAUUUAUCCACCAUACAAAAUUUAAUUACGAAUAUGACUUUGUGCCAGACAUCAUUUUCUGCAAGACGUCUGAUAAACUAUGACAAAGAGCCGUUGAACUUUUGAACUCAGCGAGUUCUUUCAACAGUUUUUCUUCUUCUUCUCUUUUGUCUUAUUACGAGGUUUGCAUCUUCUUCCAUAGACCACCUGUUUUACCACUGAACAUCAAGCAAGCUGUGUGGUGUCAAUUGUGUGUCACCUCUCCUCUGCCAGGAAAUUCAACGUGGGCAGCUACUCUCCUACUGGCAUCCAAGCGCGAGCGCUAUGUCUAGUCCGAGUCCCACAUUGGUCCUGAUAAUGAUUCGGAGAAUAUGGGUUGUUGUAUUCCGUAAUAUAUCGCUACCACCUUAUGUAAUAAUGAAAAAUAUCGUAGAAGACUUUACCUCAUGGUCUCAUUGGCUUUGGAAAACCGAUUUAAAGGUAGUCACCAAAUCUUGGCUUGACUAUCUAUGGUUGUGUUUCGCGAUUCAUGUAACUCAGUAUCUUUGAGUAAUGAAAUCCAUUUUGUAGUAAAUCUGGCAAUUGCCGCAGCUUUGUAUAUAUUCAUUUUACAUAAAGAAGACGGUGCUGUCAUCUCCACAUCGACUCAUGCAUGCACGCACAUAUUACUUCGAUCGAUAAUUUCAUUGAUUCGUAGGAGGGUGUGUAAUUAGUUGCUUUCAUGACCGGCUAGUGGCAAUGUGCACUCGUAUCAAACUUUGUCAGGAAUGUCUUCAUUGGAUCGGAAGAAAAGAAUAUGUUCAAUAGAUCAACAAUUCAACAUUGUUGGUCGAAGGUGAGAUCGCUAUUGCACGCUUUGCCCCUGAGGUAAAUUUCCCGAUUCUUACGUUAAUGCCGCAGAUGUAUGUAGAGAAUAUAAAGUAACUUUUCUUAUGCCAAGAGAACAGGAAAUCCCUUUCGGAUACGGGGGGUACAUACGGAAUACUUCCAGCAUAACAUGCAUUAAUUAUCCCCACGAAAGAUGCAUUAACUAGCACAAGAACGGAGCCCCAGCCUGGUCACAUGGUGCACCCAUGUCCGUGUAGUCGAUGUCGAACCCACGUUUGCAAAUCUUGCCUUUUUCUUUUUUUUUUUUUUUUUUGAGAACAUCUUGCCUUUUGCUUGUUCCAGCCAAAGGCAAGCUGUGCACUUGGACCCGUCGGUCGACACGUCUAAGGUUCCUGGAAAAGGCCCAAACCGGCUCCAAAUCAACCCGGAUAUCUUCUCUUUCCCAAAGAGUAGCACGAGUAGAACACGGAUUUCCUUUCCCCAAAUCUUCGCUCCUCAUAUUAACGGGCAACCACCGCACCGGGACGCGAAGCCUCGAACGAGAGGAGAGAGAUCAGAUUGCCUUGCCCACACGACCAACAACGCUUUGCUAGGCGAGGCGCGCGACCAUGAGAGGCGAGGCGAGGCUGCUCUGCGGUCUGCUGCUGGUGCUGCUCUGCGUGGCCGCGAGCUUCCAAGGCGCGCACUGCCGCGGCGCCGGAGGCGGGGGCCACGGGGGAGGAGGCCGCGGCGGGGGCGGAGGACGCGGCGGCGGCAGUUCCGGGAGAGGGAGCGGCGGGGGGAGAGCCCGUCCGAUUAUCGCCGGGGCCGCGGCGGGCGCGGUCGUCGGCGCCGGCGCCGGCUACUUGGGCGGCAGGGCUGCGGGUGCGGGGCGCAGCGCCGCGGGUGAGCCGCAUGGCCGCGGAGUCUGGAGGGCUUCCGGUGCCGCCGCCACCCUCGCGGCCGCGGCGCUCGUUCGGUGGCUCUGAGCGUGCGAGACUUCUUCAACCGUAAAUCUCGGUACACGAGGGGAUUACUGAAUUACGAGUAGUAGCAAUUUAGCAGCAGUAGGUUGACGAGUGGAUUUGUGAUUUCUUACUGCUAGUUUCGGUUGAUGCAUGUGUAAGUAUUACGAGUUCGCACGGUGAAUUUUUUUUAACGAUCUCACACGGUAUUCUGAGUAGUACUAGAAUUUGGUAGUAGUAGUUCUUGUUCAUAUGAUGUGAUUUUUGUUUGGUUGUGUGAUGCUGAUGCAGUUGAAGAAGAUGAGUAGUCAUUAUCCGGCAAUAGUAAAACUUUACUCAUAAUUGUACCUUUUACUUGUCUUUUCGUUCGAUUUUCUUUCCGGCCACGGCGAGGAUGUCUGGUGGUGGUAUGCUAUCACGCCAUCAGCCAUCAGGAUUCUUUCAUGUGCUAUAUCUGUAUGCAGUAUGCCUGUAGAUGAUGCCUUCGUGCGCUUACGGCUUACCCCCUCAGUAUCGGAGAAAUUCAACCAGGUCUGUUUCAGUUUGCGCCUUUUUGUGCGCGUGUGCAGAGUUCUCGUUGCGCCGUUGCGCAAGUAUUGACAAGAAAAUGCAUUCAAUACGAUCAAAGAGGCAAAGAAUGAGAUGCCUUUUGCAACAACUCAAACAAUUUGGAAACGAGAAAAGUAUUCUUCGUCCUCUAACUUACUAAAUAAAUACAUAUAAUGAAAAAAAAUGCACGUCUUCCAGCUGUAGAAAUCCGACACCGAUGGUUCAUCAUCCUCGGCAGAGCGGUCUGCGGCACUACUGCUAAUGUGACACUUUUUUGGUCUAGAAAUUGCAAUGUCGCCCGUCAAGCUGGCAUGCAGUUGACUAAUCAGUUAGAGUCACACAUUCUAACUUCUACGACUAAGCUCACUUCCUCAGUUCCUCUGUCCCUCUCGACCCAAAACAUAGUAGCUACUCCAAGAGAGCAAGAGACCCCUUCUGUCCCAACUUGAGCUGUUGGCUGCAACGCCGGCAACUUAGCUGCGGGCACAACAACGAUGACUCAGCAAUGGUUGCAACGACUGGGUCGUUGUUGUGACUCAAUGUGAGCGCAACAACUACGACAACCUUGGUGAUGACCGUCAGAGUUUGAGAUCGAUCAGCGAAUACUUGAUUCAAAAUUGUGUCGUCGAUCUGCAUGGCCACGACACUCAGCGCCGUUGUUAGCAUGUCGCGAACCAUUAGUCCCUUUUUUUUUGUCUCUCUGUUUCCAAAAACAGAAGCCGAAUCCUUCUCAACGUCGGCUAGUGCCCCAAUUCCGAGAUCGAACAGGUAUCCGGUUCCGACCUCCGAUCAAAGCAAUCCCAGUCGUUCAUCGAACACCAGAGCGUUCUCCCGGCCGCCGCACCCGCCAUCAUAUAUGCCCGCUGAACCAAUCUCAUCGAUCACAACAGCAACAGAUCCACAUCGCUUUCGCAAGGCGGUUUGCCCUCGCGCUUCUUCUGCUCCUCUUCGCGCUCGCGGCCGUCUUCAACGUUAACGCGGCCCGAUCCCUUCCGGGCCAGCAGCCAUCUGAGGCCGUGUCGACGGCGGGCCAGGGGCCGGCCCAGCUCCGCCAGCCCGCCAUGCUCCCGGAGGUUGAGCCGGUGCCUGCGUCUGCAUCGCCCCUUGUUCAGUUCGGCGAUAGCAUGACCGUUUACCAGGAGAUUCUCGAACAUUGCGGCGUGAAUCAGAAAUCCAACACGUUACCUAGUUUUGACGACGGACCGGCAAUCUGCAACAUGCGAUCGAAAAGGCCAGUGCGCACAGACUUGGUGUGAAUCUCGGCGGCGGAUCAGAGAAGGACGGGCCCCUGCUCAUCUGAUGUGUAAAGCUGCUAGUACAUCGCUCCAAGGCUUCGGCAAUACUAAUAGAACCCCGUUUUUUUUUGCAAGACAAUAGACUAGUAGUACAACCUUGUUUUCUGUAACGUGUGUAAAGAGCCUACAGGCUAGGGUCGGCUGAUAAUCAAAAGGGACAUUUUUAACGCUAUAUACAAGAAAAGAAAUCUGAUUCUGUAAAACAGCAAACAAAUAUAAAACUGAAAUUUGAACUUUAAAAAAGAAGAAGAGUCGUUUCCUUGUAAAGAAAUACAAACAAACCAGCCUAAAAAGAAUCCAUACAGAAGGCCUGCUAGGAAAAAGCCCCCCUAAAAAUCGAGAAAUAUAAGAAGGCCCACAUCAGCACAUAACCAAAACAAACAAAAUAAGGCCCAGAGAGGCCCAUUCAGUUUCACACAACACAAACAGCCUUCUUCUUUUUUGCGAGAAAAACACAAACAACCGUAUAGGAGUAAUUGAUGUAAAUCGGUUGAUCUUCCCACGAGUGAAACCCUAGCCGUCAGAGAAAAAAAACCCCGUUUCCAUCUUUGUUGGUUCCCCUUGCCUCUGAUAACCCAUCAGGAGGUGAGGGGAACCACGGAUCAACAUCUGGAAUCGUUUUUAGUACCUUCUUUGUAAGGUUUUCCGUGUCCUUGGUGGCGGCGUUCCAACAGUGGAGGCGGCGACGUGUGGAUUAUUGGUCUCCCAGCUCCAUCGAUCCCCGUUCUGGCAUGGCUAUCAUGGUCUACUCCAUGUAGUAUUGGGACUCACGGCUCGUAAUUUCAUGAUUUUGGUCAUCUUCCUUAACGUUUCAGCGAUGAUUCAAUGGUUCGACAACCUGUCUUGUGAGGGGCGUGUCUCCGGCCACCACGGUUCAACGAUAUUAAGUUGAUAAGUUCUCACCUGUUAGGAUGGGCGGCUCAUGCGGCUCAGUAAAACCUAUAAGGUUAGUCCAGAUUAUGUAGGUUUGGUCUUGUACUGUUUCGUCACCAUAGAUUUGGAAAAACAUCAAGAUGCGAUUGACGCAACUAGAGAAGUUGGGUUCAAAGAUUUUUGAUGUAAAGUUGUAAACCGAAAUCUUUGUUGUCGUUUUAGUUUUUCAAUCAAUUAUACUACGUUCGUUGAAUAAAUAAAGUCAGAUCGUUGUUCUAAAAAGAGAGUAAUGGAUGUCGAAUAAAUUAUAGAUAAUUAUAAAACUAAACGAAGAUAAUAUUUUCAAAAAAGAAGAAGAAGAAGAUAAGAUUUUAAAAAAAUAUCGGUUUCUUGGCUCCUGCCUUCCCAGAAGCGGCAAACAGACACCGACCGAUCGAGUCCCCAACCACACCCUCCACAUAUACUCCCUUCAUCCAACAAUAUGGGACGUAUUAGCUUUUCUUUAACCAAUGCUUUGACCACAAAUUAUUCUAUUAAUAUAUAAUUAUACCACAUAUAUUCAUAUCCAUUAUGUACCUACUCAAGAAUAUUUGCUUAUGGUUAUGAUUCUGAUCACAUUAGUCACACAUUCAUGAAAUAAUUUGUGAUCAAAUGCUUGGUUAACCCAAUCAUAAUAUACCUCCUGUGGCUGGACGGAGGUAGUAACACGCAACAAGCAGCCCCAAGAACCGGAAGGCGAUCGAGCUUGCGCGCGCAAGAGGUUUCCAAAUCCCAUCUGACCAGAACAACGACGCCAACGACAACGACCAUGAAAGGAGGAACAAAACUGAUAUGUGGGCUGCUGCUGGUGCUGCUCUGCGUGUCCGCCCGCCUCAAGGGUGGCUCCUGCGCCGGCGGUUUCGGCGUCGGAGGGGGCUUUGGCAUUGGUUUUGGUGCAGGGUACGGCCGGCCGGCUCCGGUCAUGGAGCCGGAGCCUGCCGGCGGGCCCGGGGCGGCCGCCGUCGUGGGCGGAGGCGCUACCGACGGCGGCACUACUGCGGUGGCUGCCGCGGGUGACGCUCGUGUCCGCGGUGGCGUCUAGAGAGCGUCCGGUGGCGCCGCUGCCCUUGCAGUCGCCGCGCUUGUCUGGCGCUAGCUGAUGGUGUGCGUGCGUGCGCCAAGCCAAGAUCGAUCUAUGUUCUACGGUAGACCAGUGAAUUUAGGAGUAGUUUUGUGGAUCGGUGGCUGCAUGUGUAAAUAUUACUCGAUCUUAGUCUAGAGCGGAGUUUUGAUCAGGAAUUCAGGUGCAGGGGUGGGCAUGAAAACUGAGAAACUGAAACGGAAACGGAAGCCGAUUGGACCGAAAUCGAAGAACCGUUUAAAACUUCGGUCAGCAAAAUCAAAGAACCGAAGUUUGUUCGGUUAAUUGGGUCUCUUGCCUCGGUUAAACAAAAAAACCCGAAGAACCGAAAUUCAUUGCUGCAUCUUUAAAAUUUAAUGUUGUCAUUGCAUGUUAGAUGAUAUUUACUGGCUGCUGCCAUUGCGUGUGUCUGUGUCACACAAGAUUAUGUGUUUAUUUUUGCGUGUAAUUUAAAUCUAUUUUCUGUUCUAAGUGGAAGAUUGAACUAAAUUUGUUUUCAUUUUUUGUUUGCCGUAAACACAAUGUUCGGUUAGUUCGGUUCCGAAUCGAAUUUUCUGUGAACCGAACUUUCGGUUAUCAAAAUUUUCAAGAUGACUUCGGUCCUCAUAUCAGAAGAACCGAAUUUCAUGAAAACCCGAAGAACCGAACCGAAAUUUCGGUUAUAACCGAACGCCCACCCCGAUUCAGGAGUAGUCUGUCCCAGCCUUUUGAUUUCUUUUAGAAAAGUCUGGCUUCAUUGAUUUUUGUUCUUCGACAACAUUUGGUACUGAGGUCUGGAUUACGAUAAUCCAGCUUUACCAACCAAUUUCUUUUUGGCUAUUUUCUAUUUGUCUGAUCAAUUCUUUCAUGUUUUUAUUUGCAUUUUUCACAGCAAGUUAUAAUUCAGCACAACACAAUUUAGCAAAGUCAAACUAAUGCUUAAUCAAGAAACAUAGCAUAGGAAAACUGAAACAAAAAACAAGAAACUAAUUGCUAGAUCUCUCUCCAUGUCACUUGUGAUGAAACUAUAAACGACCAGACCUGGACAAGUAAACUAACUUCGUAAGUUUCUAAUAACCACAUAAGAGCAACUCUAGCAGAUACCCAUAUGGCCGAUCCGAACUCCAUAUUAGGUUUUGGGCCAAAAAUCAGCACGGAACAGAUCCUCGAAAAAGGCCCGGACCGCAAAACGUGUUUCGGUUUACCCCAAAAACCAGCCCAGGGGCCGCCUAUAUGCCUACUCGAGAGGCGUACUCGAUGUCCACACCCCACUCUCUCGCCGCCCAAAUUCGCCACCAAACCCUACCCCGCCGCCAAAUCCGCUGCCCUUUCUCCUUCUUCUCCAACUCCAGCAACCUAGAUCCCGUCCCUUCCACCGCAAUGGUUAUAGAUAGCCAACUGGCCGGCCUGGCUCCGACCCAGUAUAUGCUAAACGUGAUUGGCCCGGGCACGGCCCGAUGAAGCCCUGGAAUAGAGAGGGGCCAGCCCGGCCCCUUAAUACGUCCUUCUGGCCCAGGCGCGGCACAAAGCUCCGUCGGGCCGGGCCGGGCCCGUUAAGGCCUGGCAGGGCCUGAGGAAGCCCAUCUCUGCAUAAGGCCCAUCUAAGAAAAUAAAUAAAUAAAGGGCUAGAAUGGGCCAAAAUUGUUGGGCUGGACCGGAAUUUUGAGGAUACAUGGGCCAAAUGUAGGAAAACUAUAAAAAAAAACAGGUCGUGAGGAUGAAGCCCAGGCUCGGCACAGGCGGGGCCUCAGGCCGGCCCGACCCAAUUAGUUUUGUGCCGGGCUUGGCACAAUCGGACCAAGCCCGCCAGGCUUUCGAGCUUUGCCAAAAGGCCCAUCCCGUUGGCCAUCUAUAGCAAUGAUGCACCCCAUAGCAUCCCGGGGGUCCGCUGGUCACCGUACCGCUUCUCCGCGCGGGCAGGAAAACCCUAGCGGCUGCUGCGGCGGAGGGGACGACUAUGAGGCGGUGCACCAUCGUUCCAUCAGGGUAGGGCGGCAUGCCGCCUGCAAAUGGGAUAAGCACCGCUUUACGAACCGUGAUGCUGAGCGCCGGUACUAGCAAUAUCUGGCGGAGGAAGCUGCGCGGGCGGCGGGGACUUGGGCCGGCCCCCGUGGCGGGGGCACGCCGCGUCAGGGGGAGGCCGAGUCCUCUCGUGCGGCCGUGCACCACCGCGCAUUUUCGCCCACUCGUCAAAGACGAGGAGGAUCUUCUCGUGCAAAGCUUUUUAAAAAAAAUUCAGUUCUUAGUUCGGUUUCUGUUCUGCACGACGUAUUUCUGAACUGCAUUUUCGGAUUCAGUUGAUCCGAACUCCCCUAGUUCGGAUCGGCCACAUGGGGUAUGUGUUAGAGUUGCUCUAAGUCGCUUGCCCCAAAAGAUGAGAACCUAUGAUCGUUGAACUUGCUGGAGACACACCGUUUGCAAGACAAGUUUGUAGAUUGUUGUUUCGUAGCCGAACCGACAAGGAAGAUAACCAAAAUAACGAAAGUAAAAAAACCUGGGGAUCCAACGUAUUGACUAGCCAGCAUGCCGAUAGAGCCAUGGGACCAUUAUUUCAUAUACCAUUGCCUCCACCACUAGGACGCUAUCGCGAGGACACAAUACCUCAUAAAAAAAUUAAACAGAUUAUUUGUCACACCUUGAUCCCUGGUUACUCUCAUUUUCCGAUUUCUAAUCGAUGGUUGACCACAAGGGAAGCCGACAAAAACCACAACUUCAACGAGGUUCUUUCCGGUGGCUAGGGUACGUUCCUCACGCCAUAAUCUCACAGCAAAGACUUGCUACGUGGCCUACGUAAUAUGUCUAAUGAAUCACUAAAAUUGAAUGGCUUGCUAAAAUCCUAGAUGAAACAUGAUAGCUAGUCUUUCAGCUAUUUUUCUUAAGAAAUGUCUAUUUCUCAGUCGCCUAAAAAUAGUUAUUUCCCGAUCAACAAUCAUGGCCAUUCAAUUAAUAUUUUCUUAUUAUUGGACCUACAUUAAUCUUACACGAAUCACACUGACUGAAUCAAAAUGUUGUUAUCAUCGACUAAGAAAUACUCCCUCCGUUACAUGAUUCUUGUCUCAAAUUUGCAAAAAAUAGAUGUAUCUAUUUUAAAAAAACGUCUAUAUACAUGUAAUAUUUCAACAACAAUUAUGAAACGGAAGGAGUAGUUAUUUCUCAGUCGCCUAAGAAAUAGAAAAACCGUUUUUCUUACUUCCAUUAGUAUUUGAAAUGGAAAGAUGGUUUCAAGCCGAUCAAUUUCUUUGAUCUUCUGUCCAGGUAGAGAUUUUUCAACGAAAAUUUACUUCAGAACGAUAAGCCUGACGCACGGAUACGUGUUCAAACUUUCUUUGGCGUAGAAUAUGCGAAGUUUGAACAAUUUGACUUCUCCGCACCGACAUAUCCGUGGCAGCAGAUCAGUUAUUGCCAACCACGAUCAGGCUAGCUCCCAACGUGCCGGCCGGAGACCCCGGAGCAAGUUACAGGCUUGCCGCUUGCCGUUGCAGAGCAGCCCCAAGCCCCCAACGACCCUCAAACCGCCUCCGCAUUGGGGCUAUCCAUCUGACCUGCGCCGCGAGGACGACGAAGGCGACCCAGGCAGGGAGACGACCAUGAGAGCAUCUUCAACUACGUACAGUAGACAUGCAUUCAGUAAUUUCAAGAAGGACCAUAUAUACUAUAGUACUCAUGAAUUAUUGUCAAGUAGAAAAAGAGAGAAAGUAGAAAAAAUGGUUUGCUUAUGGCAUGGCAUACAUCAGACCUGGAUUUGAGCCAACAUAAUCGAUUCUUGGAUGGUCGUUUCCAUAUACUCUGUUUAAUACUCCUGAACAUGGGGCUUGUAUUCUGCAGUUCACCUGCAAAUAAGGGUAUCCCAUACGUCCAGAACAAAAAGUGAUGCUAAGACUGAAAAAACACUUGUCAUAAUGGCUUCCAAAAUAUGACUCAUUCGGUCUUUACACAGGUUGUAGAAUUGAUUUACUUCUCUUCAAUUGUUGGCACUAGCAUUGACAGACUAUGCCUCUCCAAACACAGACAUAAUCCUUGUGAAGCCCAGUACGAACGCUAAGUAUUGAUAAAUCAAGAGGUGAUACAUAAUUAUGAGCAUGUACAAUACAACACCAUUAGCCAGACAAACAAUUGUAAAAAUUAAUCAAAAUUGGACAAAGAGAUUAUGCAUUCUUGUAGAUCCAUCAAACAAGCCCCAGCCUAAAGCAUUCACAUCCAGCACUAGAGGCACGGAAGCAACAUCAUAAUUCCUACGUCCCCUGCACUAUCUAAUUGACAGAUUGCAGUACCAAAUCAGAUAGAAUUUUGUACCGUUAGAAAUGCGCAUACCCGGCGCUCGGCGGGCAUAGAAAGCGGCUGGGAGCCGGAGGCACAGCUAGACGCCUCGGAGGAGCUGGAGGCGGAGGCGCAGCAAGCUUGCGAGCUGCACACCUCGGGCAAGCUGGCGAGCUGCGUCUGGGCUGGGGUGAAGGCGAAGCUUGUCGACGAGCUACACAUCUUGGGCGAGCUGGUGGCGGAAGCGCGGCAAGCCGGUGAGCUGAGUCCUAGUUGGGGGCGGAGGCGCAGCUUGUUGAAGAGCUGCACGUCUUGGGCGAGCUGGGGGCGGAGGCGCGGCAAGCCGGCGAGCUGAGUCCUAGUUGGGGGCGGAGGCGCAGCAAACCGGCGACUUCGAAGUGACUGAGUGAGUACUACAAAAAUGCUCGCACGAAUUAAACACCUGUUUAGGCUUCUCAGCAUUGAAGUAAAUUUAUUUUAGAUAGGUGCUUAGUGAUAUGGCAAGAUUCUCUCUCUUUAAGCACCUGUAUACGAGCACCUUGCAUUGCAUUGUAGAUGCUCCGAGAGAUGGGACGAAUUUCCUCGGCGCGCUGCUGCUGUUGAUUCUGCUUUGCGUGCCGCGCGCUUCCAAGGCGCCUGCUCCGCCCGAGGUGGAGGCGGAGGCGGGGGAAGGGGAGGAGGAGGGGGCGCGUUUUCCGGUGGAGGUGGGCGAGGGGGAGGCGACGCCAUUGCCGGCGGAGGGGGCGGCAGAGCUCGGAAGGGAGCCGGCGGUGCCAGUGCCGGUGGAGGGGGCGCGGGCGGCGGGAGGAGCACCGGCGGGUCGGGGAGCCAAGCGAAAGGAUCCACCGCCGGCGGGGCCGCCAUCGUGGGUGGCAACACUGCCGGCCUGCCGGGGGAUCACAAGGAGGACACUACGGCGCGGGAUCGCAACGAAGCAGCGGCGCCGCCUUGGGUGGCCCUCCGCAUGGCCGUAGCGUCUGGAUGGUAUCCGAAGGCGCCGUCGCUGCUCUUGCGGCCGCCGCGCUCGUGUGGCGCUGAUCGUCGAGUAGCCUGCGAAUCUGCGAUGCAUCAAGAAUUCAAGAGUCGAGAGUCGAGACUACUCUAAAAACCCUUCAUUUUCUGUUUAUCGACGUAUAUGAUGCGUAAGCACGUUCAACAUAAAAAUCAAUCGAGCCAUUGGUUGUACACCAUUGCUUCUUCCUGUUUGUAAUUAGUGUUCUUGUUAUUCUUUUUGGUGUAAGCCCUCGUCUGUUUUUAACGAAUGACGCGUAAGCAUGCAUGUUUCACAUAAAAACUUACCGUUUGUAAUUACUAGAAACUUACUGUUUGUAAUUAGUGUUCUUGUUAUUCUUUUUGGUGUAUAGGUAGUGCUCCUGCGAACACUGCUCGGAGUGUGACGUACCGGCUGGAGCAACUGCAGCCAUUGUGUUUUUUAGGUGAACAGAGCCAUUGUGUGUCUCUCGAUUGACUCGAUGGUUUCCGUGUACUUCACCUUCUGUCCAGGUUAACACAUCGGAUGACUGAGGAUGCGCGAUGGUACUCCCUCCGUUCAUAAAUAACUUGUUGCUGCGAACUGACCGGUGUUAUGUUUUCUUGUGGUGGAACCAGUCCACUCAGGUUCAAGUCACAUGGGUGUUCGCAUUUCCCUAGAUUUAUUUCAGAACCUAACCGGUGUUGUGUUUUCAGUGGGAGUGACGUACGGCACAUCAGUCUCUCGGAGGGUGCUCAUAGGGGUAGGGUGUGUGAGCGUCUGCGUCCAGUGGGAGUGACGUACGGCACAUCAGUCUCUCGGAGGGUGCUCAUAGGGGUAGGGUGUGUGAGCGUCUGCGUCUGUACUGUGUUUUCUAAAAAAAAAAAACUUAUUGCUGUUUUAUUUCAAGUUUGCACUAAAACAGCGACAAGUAUUUAGGAACGGAGUGAUUACUAUAUAAUGAUGUCUGCACACUGCACUUGCAUUCUGUAAUGCUACCUGUUUGCUAAACCCGACAGAGAUUGUGGAGGCUAGCAAUCAAGAUGUAUAAGUUGGGUGUAGCACUUGUCCCGUUCUCCGUGGUUUACACCCCAGAUGCAAUUGUUCCUCUCUUCAUGUCCCUUCCUCGCAUAAUUAGUGAUCCCAACAACGUUCCAUGUGUCGUAUUGUCUGGUGGAGCAAGGGAAACAAAUGCAUAUGUAACUAAUCAAAAGAUUACACUGACAGCUUGUUUGGCAACCAAGAAUUCAUUUCAUUUGAUCAAAAUGAAAUGAAAUCUAAUUUUUGAUAGGGUUUCAUUUGGUUGAAUUUGAAUUCUGGGUUGAAAAAUCAUGUUUGUCUACCACAUGAAAUUAAAGAGUGAGAGACAAUUCUAGAGAAAUGAUGGCUUUUAGAAAAGAAUUAAGGCUAGUUACACUGUGAUUAUAUGAAAUUUGAGAUUGAAUUUCUGUAACUAAUUCCGUGCCAACCAAACAAGUUGUUUUUAAAAUUUAAAAUGAAUUCUACAAUUUUAUGACUAAAUGAUGUGCGUCAAACAAGCUGUGAAAGAGUUUGCUAUAGAUUAAUGGAGACCCAAACUUUCUUAUAGCGAUUAAUGCAUGGCUGCUCCUGCUGCCAUAUCCAUGGGCGCCAUAGUCGUAGCAACUUCCACAGGAUCCGGCGCUCCUGCCUUCUGACCACUGGGACCACAUGAUAGGUUGGAUCUGCUGUAGCUAUCCACUUUUCAGGGGUCUGGCCUCUCUCCCGAUGGCAACUGUUCGAGGUAAUCUUAUUACUCUUAGAAUUAGAGACAGUAGAGUAGUUCAGUCCGGCAUGAACCAUUGUCCGUACUACUCCGGUUGAGUCAGUGAUGAAGCAUUGUCUAAAAAAUAUUAUCACCAGAAAAGGGCUAUCUCAAAACAAGGAACAGUUUUGUUUUGUGGGUACAGCUAGCCGACUCGCCAGGCGGAUAACAAUGAAGGGUAGCCAGCGGAUCCUUCCUUUAGUCAGGAAGAAACGAAGGACGACCAUCCAUCGACCAAUAGAGGCAAGGCACGUACAUGCAUCCAUGUGUACGGAAGAAGUGAUAACCUGAAGCACAUCGCUGACGAAGCUUAUAAUAAUCUUGCUUGCUUGCGCACCUAAACACAUACCAGCUGGGUAUAGUAGCUGGCAUAUUCUCAUACAGUAUUAUGCACGGAUCACUGACGACGUUUCCAUCGUUGAACUGGUAACCAUUUCUCAUUACUUGCACGCAAUCCAGGAAUGCAGGAUAUACUGAAUAUAGUCUGCAGCUACAGCCUACAGGAGACUAUCACAAAGUUCUAAAUUAGGCGACUUAAUUAGUGGAAACAACUCUUGGAUGGAAUCCACAUUGUUGUCGCUACUAGUGCAGGGGUUAACUGGCUAAGGUUGUUUGUUUCAGUAGCGUGUAAGUAAGGGACAUGGAGGCAGCUAUAUACCUUUUUAAAAGGGCAUGCAGCUAUAUUCUAGGUCCACGUUGUUGUUCUUUGACAGGACUAGCUCCACGUUGUUGAGAACCUGAAUCCUCGUUGCCUCCCUUGCUUUUGUUUUCCUCAUUUUUACUAAUUAUUCGGCUUGUACAGCCUGGCAUGUACAAAGGUACAGACAUCCAGCCAUCUAUAGUGUUUUACAUGAUUUACAGACAAUUUUACAGAUAUCAUAUACAGUAGUCUGUCUAUACGCUGUCUAAAAAGUCUGUACUAAAAAUUAUAGGCAACAGACAUACAAUGAUAAAUAAUCUGUUUAUAAAUUGUCAAUUAGAUUAUCUGUACAACUAAAGACAGACUGCUAUAUUUUCUCAAUCUCUUUCCUCCACCUCAGCAAAAGUACCUCUUAUAGACACCUAAAUCAGCCCCAUUGUACAUGCCCUAUCAAAUAGCUUUUCCUUUCCUUUCUCCUACAUGCCUAUUUUCCAUACUCUUUUUGAAGCAUGUAACAUUUUAAUGAAAAUGCAGAGCACUUGCUUGUCCGUUGAUGAGGGGCUACCUCGGCAAUACCCUGACUCAAGGGUUUUCGACUGAGGGAGAGCACGGGGUGCACCAGCGAUCUCGUCGACUAACAAAGACUAGGGGAGUCGCAAGGUUUACCCAGGUUCGGGGUCCUCGGAAGGUAAUACCCCUACGUCCUGCUUUUGGUGUAUUGUAUUGAUCGAGAUUACAGAGAAGCUAUGAAGCUAUGGUGCGCAGAUGAAUCUGGCGUUUGUCUAGAGGUUGGCCAUUCCCGAUCCCCCCUCCUAGCCUUAUAUACUGGCGGCUAGGUCUCGGGCGUGAUAAUCGGGAAUGUUACAAUCAGAUCAAUUCAUUACGGUAUGAUAAGAUUAUGUUUCUUGGCUUGAACCGCACUUUGAGGGACUCGACCUGCAUAUGCUUGAUGGGCCUUCGAGUGGGCCCCCUGUUGGGCUGCAUCGGGUAUAUGAAGGUUGAGAACUCGAGUCCCUGUUCGAGGCGUAGACUCGAGUAGGGACUCAAGAGUUUCCUUAUUCUGAUUAUUCGACUGUGUGCCAAACUGCAAAUAAUCUUCCGUUGGUCGAUUGACUUAAGUGUUCGUCAGGCCCAAACUUUGAUAGUUCUUAGCUUAUGACGCGGAAAACACAAGGUAUUUCUGCAAAUUGUACUGAUGUUGUGUGGGAUGGUUGCGUAACGCGCCUGGAAUACUCGAUCGGUCGAGUCCAGUUAAUUGCACCGGGGCAAAAACUUUGUUAGCAUACAUCAGCACUCGAGUCCCUAGGCUCGAGCCUGGAUAACUGGCGGUGUUCGAGUCAAACCUGCCGAGGGUUUUACAGACUCGAAAUCCAGUGCUGCGGGGCGAUCAACCAACGCGUCCGUUGGUUGAUGUUCUUCAUGCAAGCGCGUGGAUGAUCUGGAAUCGCCUGAAGGUGCUGAUUUCCAGGCCCGAUGAAAAACCAUCGGGUCUUACCUUCACGUAAUGAACGUGGCUUAGGGUGUGUUUCGCAGUCCGUGCGACCCGGAUAAUGCUGUCGAGUGCCUAUGUACCAGGUACACUUCGAGUUCCUGCGCCGUCAGGUGGCAGCCCAAGUUUUCUAGAGUUUGAUAUGACGUCUUUGCUGACACUCUGAUUAAAGAAAUGGUCUGGGAAGUCGAUGGGACGUACCUAAUGCUUUAUGCACGGACUGGAUCGAGUACUGUUGAUGUGGUCAGUUUGAUUUGACCACACGAUGUGCGCGAGAAUUUAGGCGCAUUGAUAGCUGUCGUGGGUUCUUGAACCGGUGGAAGGGGAAACGGCUCAUUUCUACUGGGACCACGCGUCUCUUUUCUUUAUGGCACAGAAGGAGGUGAGAUUAGGUUCCCCUUUUUUUUUUGCAUUUCUUAAUUUUGUAUUCUGCAUAUUACAACGAAUAUUUUUUUAUUCUUGCUUAUCUUACUUUUCCAAUUGUGCUAAGUCAUGCGCGCGAUACAAAGUUCGUGGUAGAGAACUUCUUUGAGUCAUCCUAUUUUUCUGUUCAUAUGAGGGAAAUUCAUAUGUGAUUUUCCAAAUAAGGGAAUCCAAAUGAAACCCUUUUUUUGCUCAGUCUAUCUGGACUACUUUUGUAUAAUAGGAAUUAAUUCGAAAUAGGUAUUCCGUUUCAUCUAGGAACAGAACGUAAAAAUUUUCCUUUACUUGAAUAAAAUCUGGAGUUGUGUUGUAUAAGUCCGCAUGAAUUUCUUAUCAUUCAAUGAGCAUCUUGUAUUUCAUAGAAAUUGGGGGUUAUAUAGUCCUUACGUAAGGGCCAGCCUACCCAACUUUCAGGCAUUAGGAUACGUUUAAGGCGCGGAUGAUUAUCAUAAGAGAUUCCCACCAUAUCAUAAGAUUCGCGUUCUUGAAAAUCGGCACUUCUCCAAAUCCAGAAGACAGACGGAAUUCUAGGAUUAUCCUUUUGGGCAAAGACUUUUAUGCAUACUUCUUCCGGGUUAUCUAUGCCAUACUGUAUUCACGUAAGAUGAUACACGCUAGCUAAAGAUCCACCGGGUGCUACAUCAUAAGCACAUUGGGAGAGUAAAUAAUUGUAACCAUAUACGUAUAAAAUGACAGCAAUGGAAUCCCAAUCCCCCGCUUUUAUUUGUAAAGUCUCUAUUCCUCGGUGAUCAAAGCCCAAAGAUCUAUGAACCACCUUAUGUUUGACUAGCCAAUUAGAUAACCAACCCUGCUGCAUUGUCUUGAUCUCUCCCUCUUUGUUUUGUAUAAAUAUUUCACAUUUCGGAUGCAAGUUUCAAAGAUUGCCUUGCUUUUUAUUUUUCUAGACGAAAGAACCCCCCUCCUAAUUCACUAAUUUGUAGGAAGGUACUAUACUUUUGGAUUUGUAAAUUUUUUCAGAAGAUAUAUCUAAAGUAGAUGGUGAUUGAUAGAGCAAUUCUUGCUCGUAAGUUCCAGUAUGAGUACUGCGCCGAACAUAAAGCUUGUGACUGGUAGUAAAACAUCGGUUUUUAUUUUGAGAUCGAAUUCGAUCCUCAACUAUUUCUCGCGAUAUCUUCUUACGAAGUUUUGUUAGGGCAUCUAUAACCGCCUCCGGUUUAGGUGGGCAACCCGGCAAGUAGACAUCCACAAGAAUUAACUUAUCAACUCCUCGAAUAGUACUAUAGGAAUCCGUACUGAACAUUCCCCCUGUAAUAGUACAAGCUCCCAUAGCAAUGACGUAUUUUGGUUCAGGCAUUUGCUCGUAUAACCUCACUAAAGAAGGAGCCAUUUUCAUUGUUACUGUACCAGCUGUUAAAAUUAGGUCCGCUUGCCUAGGACUUGAUCUUGGUACCAAUCCAUAACGAUCAAAGUCGAAUCGCGAGCCUAUUAAUGAAGCAAAUUCAAUGAAACAACAACUGGUACCGUAUAGAAGGGGCCAUAAACUGGAGAGUCUUGACCAAUUUGAAAGAUCGUUUGGUGUAGUUGAAAUAACAGAAUUGGAACUUGUUUGGUCAAGUAAAGGAAACUCAAUCAAACUCAUAACUGUCUCAAUGGAAUCUUUUUCUUCUUUUUUUUUUUCUAAAUAUUCAGUUAAGACAUUCCAAGGCUCCUUUUCGCCAUGCAUAAACUAAACCAACAACUAGGAUAAGCACGAAAAUGAAAGCUUCGAUAAAAACGGAUACACCCAAUACGUCGAAACUCAUUGCCCAAGGGUAGAGAAAGACGGUUUCCACAUCAAAAACAACAAAAACUAGCGCAAACAUGUAAUAGCGUAUUCGGAAUUGUAGCCAAGCCCCUCCCAUGGGUUCUAUACCCGAUUCAUAACUAGAAAGCUUUUCGGGUCCUUCACUAAUCGGGGCUAAAAGCCCUGAAAUCCAAAAUGCCAAAAUCGGAAUAAGGGUUGCUAUUAUUAGAAAUGUCCAAAAAAUAUCAUAUUCGUGAAGCAGAAACAUAAUGUACUCCCAUUAAUGUAGAAUAGACGAGACUUAAAUUAAUCAAUUCAAUUAUGCAUUGUCAAUUCAUCCAGAACUUAUCUCUUUUCCUCGGUGAAACAAGAAUCUGUUUUGUUCAAACAAAAUCGCUUAGUUUAGCCUUUGUUUUCUCUGUGCUGUGUCUUCUUUAAAGAUUCAUCCAAUGGAAUCCCAACUCCCCUUCUUUUUUCUCCAUUCUAUUUAGAUAUGGUCUAGAUCUAAUUCUUAUAUAAAAAAUACUUUAUCCCUUCACUUUAUUUUGCUUUCUCUAUAAUCUUUAGAACCUAAUUAACAUAAGAGGACUAGUCUAUGCAGUAGACUGAGAAGUAAUACUAUAAAAAAAUAAGGAACUCUAUUUCAGAACUAUGAGACAUAAUAUUCUGUUUUCUUAUUUACUCUUUACUUUAAUUCUUUCUAAAAAAAUUCUAUUUAGGAUUUUAAGUAGAUCGAUUUAGAUAAUGUAUAUAUAAGCAAAGUAAUAUACCUAAAACAAAGUAUAAAUUCGCAAGAUGGAGAAAAUCAUUGCAGUUUUAUAGGGAAGUCUAGAGAUACCCUAUUUGAAGAAGGGCGGGAUUCAAAUCAGGGAAGGGCUCUUUUCUUCUAUUGAUUUGAUAGAAAUCACUUUUUCGUUUCCUAUCUCUAUGAUUUUUGAUGAAUGAGCCUGUGGUAAUUCUUUUACGCCUAUUCUAUGUCGCAGGCGCCCGCCCAGUCUAUAAACAAGUACUAAUGUGAAAAUAAAAGCUAUACUAAGGAAAACAUAGGAUAUCUAUACUAAAAUCCAAAAAUAGGACAUAUUAGGGCUAUACGGAUUCGAACCGUAGACCUUCUCGGUAAAACAGAUCAAACAGAUUAUUAUCGAAAUGAUUCGAACUGUUUCAAAGACCCAAGAUGCAUUUUUUUUGCAUUGGGCUCUUUCAUCAACUGAUUUAAAGAUCAGUUAGUCCACCAUAGUUUUCUUUACGGAAAGAUAAUGAGAUGGCUCCCUGUGCUCUGAUUGAUUAUUUGUAUUAUGGUCUAUCUAGGAGCAAUACCAAAGUGUUUCAAAGGAGGAUUACCUUGACUUAGGUCUGCCUCCGGCCUAAAUUAAAUCAACCUAAGUGAAAUGGAGUCUCUAUCGUUCCACUGCAAGAGUUAACUAUGAGACUUCAUACACCUUAAAGUUCAUAGAACGAAAAGAAGUUUUUUGGAGGCCCUUAUCCUCAUUACGCCUAGCAUUUAGUGGGCUGGAUAUUUACCUUAUCAACUAGCAAAUCCAUAAGGGUUCUAUUUGAUUAGGCACCAGAAUGGGGACCUGAAUCGGACUGAACUGACUCUUUGUCAGGCUACUGUUCUCCUAUUCUGUCGAAUCUAUGAAGUAAGACAUUGAUUUUGCAAUAAGAUCCAUUAUAUUCAUUGCAUAAUAAGCUCCUUUGAAAAGCAUUGGCGCACGUGUAAACGAGUUGCUCUACCGAACUGAGCUAUAGCCCUUAUCAGAGAUAUCUUAACAUAUAGAUAAUUUAUUGUCAAGAUGAAUAUUCUCUAAUGCCAGAGGGUAUCUCUUUAAAUAUGUAUCUGUUUAGUAUAUAACAUACCAAUAAGGAAGCGUUAUUGCUUAGAAAAGGGAUUCGAUAUAUAAUCGAUCGAAGUAAUGGGUCUUCCUUUGUGAUCAUAAAUUGACUACUUAACUCAGUGGUUAGAGUAUUGCUUUCAUACGGCGGGAGUCAUUGGUUCAAAUCCAAUAGUAGGUAGGUAGGUAGAAAAAUUACUAGAUAGCAUUGGGCUUAUUUUGCUUCGCUAUCUAAUAACUUUUUCUACCCCUCUUCCCUUUAUCUUUGUAUCAACUAUAAACCAUUGGAUUGUCUUCAAUUGGACGGGGGAAUCCAAUUGACAGCCUUGAUUCGUAUCCUAGCUCGUCUGAGAGCUAGUUUCGCUUCAACCAAUUCUUUCGUACCCUCAGCUUUACUCAAGUUAUUUUCGGCUAUUUUAAGUGCCUGUUGAGCUUCUUCCGAAUCAAUAUCACUACCCAGUUCCGCAUCAUUUCCUAAAAUAAUGAUCUCAUUAUUAACUAUUCUCGCAAAACCACUCCACAGAACCGCCGUUAACCAUUGGUCGUUGAGGAGGCGUAUUCUCAAAGGACCCAUAUCUACUGCUGUGUUAAUGGGGGCAUGGUUUGGUAAUACCCCAAUUUGACCACUAUUAGUGGAUAAAAUGAUUUCUUUCACUUCACAAUCCCAAAUAAUUCGCUUAGGAGUCAGUACAUAAAGAUUUAAUUUCAUUUCUUCGAUUUGUUCUCCUCUUCUAAGGUUAUAGCUUUCGUGCUAGCUUCAUCGAUGUUACCCACCAAAUAAAAAGCCUGCUCGGGUAGGCCAUCUAAUUCUCCGGAAAGGAUUAGUUGAAAUCCCCUAAUUGUUUCUGCAAGACCAACAUACCUUCCUGCAGAACCAGUAAAAACUUCUGCUACAAAGAACGGUUGUGAUAAGAAACACUCAAUUUUUCGCGCUCUUGCUACAGUUAAACGAUCCUCCUCCGAUAAUUCAUCCAAUCCAAGAAUUGCGAUGAUGUCCUGAAGUUCCUUGUAACGUUGUAAAGUUUCCUUAACUCUUUGCGCAGUUUCAUAAUGUUCGUUGCCAACGAUCCGAGGCUGUAACAUAGUUGAGGUUGAAUCUAAAGGAUCUACUGCUGGAUAAAUACCCUUGGAAGCUAAUCCUCUGGAAAGUACGGUAGUAGCAUCCAAAUGGGCAAAUGUUGUGGCAGGAGCAGGGUCAGUCAAAUCGUCCGCAGGUACAUAAACCGCUUGGAUCGAAGUUAUAGAUCGCUUUUUAGUAGAAGCAAUUCUUUCUUGCAAAGAACCCAUUUCUGUACUAAGAGUAGGUUGAUAACCCACCGCGGAGGGCAUUCUCCCUAAUAAAGCGGAUACCUCCGAUCCUGCUUGAACAAAACGAAAGAUAUUAUCGAUGAAUAAAAGCACGUCUUGCUUAUUAACAUCUCGGAAAUAUUCCGCCAUAGUUAGGGCAGUUAAACCAACUCUCAUACGAGCUCCCGGUGGUUCAUUCAUUUGGCCAUAGACUAGAGCUACCUUUGAUUCCUCAAUAUUUUCAUUAAUUACUCCGGAUUCCCUCAUUUCCAUAUAAAGAUCAUUUCCUUCACGAGUCCGUUCCCCUACUCCACCAAAUACGGAUACACCCCCAUGAGCUUUAGCAAUGUUGUUGAUUAAUUCCAUGAUGAGUACUGUUUUACCUACUCCAGCCCCCCCAAAUAGUCCUAUUUUUCCUCCACGUCGAUAAGGAGCUAAAAGAUCAACGACCUUAAUACCUGUUUCAAAGAUGGAUAAUUUCGUAUCUAACUCGAUAAAGGCAGGCGCAGAUCUAUGAAUAGGGAACGUUGCACUACUGUCUACAGGACCCAAAUUGUCAACAGGCUCUCCAAGAACGUUGAAAAUUCGCCCGAGAGUAGCUCCGCUGACCGGAACACUGAGAGGAGCUCCUGUGUCAAUCACUUCCAUUCCUCUCAUCAACCCAUCUAUAGCACUCAUAGCUACAGCUCUAACUCGAUUAUUUCCUAAUAAUUGUUGUACCUCACAAGUCACAUUAAUUUGCUUAUCGGCAGUGUCUCUACUCUGGACUACCAAAGCAUUAUAAAUAUAAGGUAACUUACCGGGGGGAAAAGUGACGUCCAGCACGGGUCCAAUAAUUUGAUCGAUAUGGCCUGUACUUUUUUCUUCAAUUGGGGAAACCCCGGGACGAGAAGUAGUAGGAUUGGUUCUCAUAAUUAUCACAUAAUAAAAAAAAGGAAUUUGUCGAAAUUUUUCUUUUUUUCUUGUUGAAUAAUACCAAAUCCAAAAAAAUAUCCAAAAAUCCAAAAGUAAAAAGGAAAUCAAUUAGUUAAUUCAAUAAGAGAAAAAAGGGGAACAUGACUUGAUUUCGUUGCCCAAGCGAAUCCCUUUCAACCCUUUACUCAUGGAAUGAGGCCGUUGGAAAGUUCAAUCAAUCUUUUUUUCAUAAGAUAGAUUUUUCCUUUUGUGGAGGAUCUGUGCCUACUCUACUUUCCUAUCUAGGACUUCGCUAUACAAAAUAUAUACUACUGUGAAGCAUAGAUUGCUGUCAACAGAAAAUUUUCUUAGUAUUUAGUUAGGUAUUUCUUUUCAAAAUAAGAAAGGGGCCCUUUAAUAAUUUGUAAAAAACAAAGGUUAAGGAUUGAUUUGGGUUGCGCUCUAUCUAUCAAAGAGUAUACAAUAAUGAUGGAUUUGUUAAAUCAAAUCCUUGGUUUAAUAACGAACGGUGUUAACUUACCAUAACAACAACUCAAUUCCUAUAGUGAAAUUCCUAUAGGAUAGAACAUACACAGGGUGUACGCAUUAUAUAUGAAUGAAAAAUAUUAAUGAACUUAAGCAUGCCCUCAAUUUUCUGUAAUGAGUUGCUAUUAAUUGAAUAUCUCUUUUUUUUAUGAGAUUUUUGCUAAAGUUUCAUUUACGCCUAAUUCACAUCGAGUAGACCUUGUUAUUGUGAGAAUUCUUAAUUCAAGAGUUGUAAGGAGGGACUUAUGUCACCACAAACAGAAACUAAAGCAAGUGUUGGAUUUAAAGCUGGUGUUAAAGAUUAUAGAUUGACUUACUACACCCCGGAGUAUGAAACCAAGGAUACUGAUAUCUUGGCAGCAUUCCGAGUAUCUCCUCAACCUGGGGUUCCGCCCGAAGAAGCAGGGGCUGCGGUAGCUGCCGAAUCUUCUACUGGUACAUGGACAACUGUUUGGACUGAUGGACUUACUAGUCUUGAUCGUUACAAAGGACGAUGCUAUCACAUCGAGCCUGUUCCUGGGGAAGACAGUCAAUGGAUCUGUUAUGUAGCUUAUCCAUUAGAUCUAUUUGAAGAGGGUUCCGUUACUAACAUGUUUACUACCAUUGUAGGUAACGUAUUUGGUCUCAAAGCCCUACGUGCUCUACGUCUGGAGGAUCUAUGAAUUCCCCCUACUUAUUCAAAAACUUUCCAAGGCCCGCCUCACGGUAUCCAAGUGGAAAGAGAUGAGUUGAACAAGUAUGGUCGUCCUUUAUUGGGAUGUACUAUUAAGCCAAAAUUGGGAUUAUCUGCAAAAAAUUACAGUAGAGCAUGUUAUGAGUGUCUACGUGGUGGACUUGAUUUUACCAAAGAUGAUGAAAACGUAAACUCACAACCAUUUAUGCGCUGGAGAGAUCAUUUUGUCUUUUGUGCCGAAGCUAUUUAUAAAUCACAGGCGGAAACCGGUGAAAUCAAGGGGCAUUACUUGAAUGCAACUGUGGGUACAUGUGAAGAAAUGAUGAAGAGAGCUGUUUUUGCGAGAGAAUUAGGUGUUCCUAUUGUAACGCAUGACUACUUAACUGGGGGAUUCACCGCAAAUACUACUUUGGCUCAUUAUUGCCGCGACAAUGGCUUACUUUUUCACAUUCACCGUGCAAUGCAUGCAGUUAUUGAUAGACAAAAAAAUCAUGGUAUGCAUUUCCGUGUAUUAGCUAAAGCAUUGCGUAUGUCUGGGGGAGAUCAUAUCCAUGCCGGUACAGUAGUAGGUAAGUUAGAAGGGGAACGCAAAAUCACUUUAGGUUUUGUUGAUUUAUUGCGCGACGAUUUUAUUGAAAAAGAUCGUGCUCGCGGUAUCUUUUUCACUCAGGACUGGGUAUCCAUGCCAGGUGUUAUACCAGUAGCUUCAGGUGGUAUUCAUGUUUGGCAUAUGCCAGCUCUGACCGAAAUCUUUGGGGAUGAUUCUGUAUUACAAUUUGGUGGAGGAACUUUAGGACAUCCUUGGGGAAAUGCACCUGGUGCAGCAACUAAUCGAGUGGCUUUAGAAGCCUGUGUACAAGCUCGUAACGAAGGGCGCGAUCUUGCUCGUGAAGGUAAUGAAAUUAUCCGAGCAGCUUGCAAAUGGAGUCCUGAACUAGCCGCAGCUUGUGAAGUAUGGAAGGCGAUCAAAUUCAAGUUCGAGCCGGUAGAUACUAUCGAUUAAUAGAUAAAACUAAAUAUGAAGAAGGUCUAAAUAAAAAGAAACAAAAUGAAAAGAGAAAAAAUAAGUUACGAAAUGCAGUAAUUCUUCUUUAUUCUUCUAAUUGACUGCAAUUAAACUCGGCUCAAUCUAGAAAAAAAAGAUUGAGCCGAAUAAAAAUGGAUUAUGAUACGAUCAUGAGACUUCACAAAUCGAGAUUCGCCUAUUCUAUAUAUCUAGAAUAUAUAAAGGUAUAAUAAAUAAAUACAAAUCAAAUAUACUAUUAUCAUAUGAUAAUAGAAUCAAAUACGCAGUAUUUACAGAGAAAAGUCUUCUAUAAAAAAUAUUUAUUUUGCAAACUAAAAAAUACAAUAGUCAAUAUUCCUCAUAAUAGAUAUACUUAAUUAUAUCAUAAGAAUCUUAAGACAUUUUUCGAAUAGAUAGAAAUAGUUAAUUUGAAUUGAGACACCUAUACUAUGACGGAUUUAAACUUACCUUUGAUUUUCGUGCCUUUAGUAGGCUUAGUAUUUCCGGCAAUUGCAAUGGCUUCUUUAUUUCUUUAUGUGCAGAAAAAUAAGAUUGUCUAGUAUUUUUUUAGUGUAAGUAAUAGAAUAUGGUAGGGUAUGUGGCUCUUUCUACACACAAAUGAAAAACGGCUAUGGAUGCGGAUAUAGGCUACAAGCAUAAAUGCAUGAAUAUGCGGAGCCGGGUAUAGCUAUUUUUAUUUUAAUUGAAUCAACGAAUAUUUUUUGAAUAGAAAGUCAGUGUAUCUAACCUAUUAUUUCACAAGAGUACUGGUUGCUGAAGGCGAUUUCAGAAUCAAAAAAAGUAAAGUCAAAAUCAUUUAGCUUAUUCUCUCAAUUUCAAUCGACUGCUGCUGGAUUUAGUAUAUCUAAUAUGAAUUGGCGAUCAGAACACAUAUGGGUAGAACUUCUAAAAGGUUCUCGAAAAAGGGGUAAUUUUUUCUGGGCCUCUAUUCUUUUUCUAGGUUCACUAGGAUUCUUAUCAGUUGGGGUUUCCAGUUAUCUUGGUAAGAAUAUGAUAUCUAUACUUCCAUCUCAACAAAUUAUUUUUUUUCCGCAGGGGGUCGUGAUGUCUUUCUACGGAAUCGCGGGCUUAUUCAUUAGCUCCUACUUGUGGUGUGCUAUUUUGUGAAAUGUAGGUAGUGGUUAUGACCGAUUCGAUAGAAAAGAGGGAAUCGUGUGCAUUUUUCGUUGGGGAUCCCCUGGAAUAAAACGUCGCGUCUUCCUUCGAUUCCUUAUGCGGGAUAUCCAAUCAAUUAGAAUUCAGAUUAAAGAGGGUUUUUAUCCUCGUCAUAUCCUUUAUAUGGAAAUCCGGGGCCAGGGGGUCAUUCCCUUGACUCGUACUGAUGAUAAGUUUUUUACUCCACGAGAAAUUGAACAAAAAGCUACCGAAUUGGCCUAUUUCUUGCGCGUACCAAUUGAAGUAUUUUGAGUAUCCAUUGUAUUUUUUGGAACUGAAUAGAAUGAAGAAGAAUUGGAAGAAGAAAAGUUUUCUCAACAUGGAUUGGAAGUCCCUUCGAAAUUUGAUUUGUUAUUGUAUUGUAAGGGGCUUUUUUAGUAUUUAUCUAAAGGAAGAAACAAACGAGGAUAAGAUAAAAUUGCUUUAAAUUUAUUUGCCCAAGUGGGAUAUAUGGCAUACUAUUCUUUCAUUUUCAUCUUUUUUUCUAUUCCAGUCCAUCUAGAUAUAAGAAAGAACCCAAUGCAAUGAAAUUCCACUAAUAUACAAUACAAAAAAGAAGAAUAGAUACAGGGUCUCAAACCUUGCUAUAGAGUUUUUGCUUCAAAGAAAAAAAAAUCAUCAUAGAGUCAGCGAAUGAAGCGGAUUCAUUAACAACUCAAUUUAUAGAUCAAAAAUGAAAAAAAAGAAAGCAUUGCCUUCUUUACUAUAUCUUGUAUUUAUCGUACUUUUGCCCUGGGGGGCCUCUUUCUCAGUUAACAAAUGUCUGGAACUUUGGAUUAAGAAUUGGUGGAAUACCAGACAAUCUGAAACUCUCUUAACUGAUAUUCAAGAGAAAAGGAUUCUAGAAAGAUUCAUAGAAUUAGAAGAACUUUCUCUCUUGGACGAGAUGAUAAAAGAGAAACCAAAGACACAUGUACAAAAACCUCCUAUAGGAAUACACAAGGAAAUAAUACAAUUGGUCGUCUGACCUUCUGACCCGGGUUAGAGUGGUCACUCGAAAGGAGAUCACCUUGGAAAAUCUGGAGUCGCCUCUUCCCCCCUACGGACCCGACCGAUCGCGUGAAGAGGUGAUUUUAUUUCCGUACUCACCAUUUAUUACUCUGCAAUCUCCAGAUUAGUCUUAUUGAAAGAUUUUACUGUAGGGCCACCAAGAGCUCAUGAGCCAGCCUCCGCUUGAUGAGGGAGUGCCAGUCGACGAUGACGAUCUGGCUGAUUGUUCCAACUCUGACGCCCUUUACGAAGAUGACGUGGAUGAGGACGAGGACGAUCAACAAUCCUGAAAGCGAGGUCGGUCGAGUGAGGCGGAACAGUCGACUGCAGACUCCUAUCAGCACAAGAUGCAUGAGGAGAUGAUUCCUUCGAAUGCCACAGCCGCAUCCGACGAGCCGAAGCUCCAAUCGCCGUCUCUGUCGGAUCCCUUAACCAAAAAGGCCAAAGUUGCUGUCAAACCAAAAGGACGUCUUCGCAUCUUUGAUGUUUCGUCGAGUGGCUCCUCCAGGUACGCUUUGUUAAAAAACGAUCCCUUUUGUUUGUUCGAGUUUCUCUCUUUUGGGUUGACGGGUAAUCGAAAUCCAGAGUGAUGGUGAUGCCACGGCCAAGAACUCUCGUGCCGUUUCUCCAGCCCGGAGUCCUUCGAAACCGAGUGCGUAUUUGGCUCGGUGCGAGGUGCAAGAUUCUUCGCCAGCGAGGAACUCGCCGGCAGGGCUUCCCGAGACACCACAGGCUCCAACGAUCGCGCAGCCGUCAACUUCUGCGUCUCAGCUUCGUAUUGGGUCGUUGGCUCUGGAAAGUCAUGUAAGUAUUCUCCCGAUGGGAGUGCUGAGUGAAAUUUUUCUGCUAAGGGUUUUCACUCAUGCUUCUGUUCAUUGCAGCCUUUUGUCGAAAAGCUGGUGGAUCUUGGCGACCACUAACUGAUAUUAGAGGAGGAGAACCGGCAGCUACGCCUGGAGCUAGACCAAGUGAAGGAGGCCGCUGUUCACGCCAAUGGUAUGAAUUUGUGUUCUUUAGCCAGAUUUAAUCCUUCUCCAUACUGUUUGUAUGGACUGUUGCCUGUGUAGCCACGUCUGCAUUUGUAGGUUUGACUGAACAAACCAACCGACUGCGUGAUGUGGCGGUUGGCAAUAGUCAAGAAUGGCGAUCGAAGUACGAGAAACUAGUUGCCGAUUCCGCCAAGGAAUUGGCGGUUGCUCGUGCCGAGGUGGACGCAGCUGUCAAGCAGUCCAAAUUAGAGGCGCAGGAGAGUCUUGCACUCGAGAGGAAGGAGAUUGCCUCUCGAGACGACAAAUUGAAGUCGCAACUUUCGGCUGCCGUCGACGCACUCACCAGUGAGUUUGACCUUUCUUAGGAAGUUUCCUUUCCCCUUCGAUUACUUCGACUGAUGCGAUUUUUGCGCAGAUUCCCUUGGCUCCUUGGCCGCCCUUCGUGGCAAACACCAAGUGACCGAGCUGAGCGGCAUGGUGGGCUCCGUCGGAGAACUUUGCGAUCACGCGGGUGACAUGCUCGCGAAGGUGACUUCUUCUCUGAGGUCAUUAUUCACGAGUAUGUAUCCAGACGCUGAGGUGCCGGGUUCACUCGACGGCUUGCUGAGUUUCUUCGACGGGGAAGAUCCACUCGAAGAUUUCACUCGAGCGCAGACACAAGCCGGUGCUGAAGCUGCCUUCAUUCUCUCGCUCGCGCAUUCACUCGACCAAGCGGCGCUGCAGAAGGUUACUGAUGGUGCCCCAUCGACUCUGGACGGGCAAGUUGUCAACUUGAAGCGCUAUGCCAAGCGGGGGCGAAAACUAGUGAAGAAAUUUACCGCCGUCAUCGAGCAGCUGAACCCGGCGACUGUCCGGACCGCGCAGGAAGCUAUGGAUGAGGUUGGAGCUCAUCCUUCGUCGUGAUGUUUGUACUUGCCUUUGCCUUCCUGUAAUAGUUCGUAGUAUUGACCCCCAAUCAGAGUCCGAGAGGGUGAAGUCCAAUCAGAGUUCGAGAGGGUGAACUCCCGACUGAGCAGGUUGAAUACUUCGAACAGAUCGUCCUUUUGGUAUGACAGGGACAGGGGCGAGCUUUGACGUUGAUGCAAGAUCGUGUUGACCAGAUUGGGGGUUUUGCCUUCGUCGUGAUGUUUGUACUUGCCUUUGCCUUGCUAUAAUAGUUCGUAGUAUUGACCCCCAAUCCGAGUCCGAGAGUAGCCCCCCGAGUGCGUGUCCAACUGCUUGUAGUUGGGGACUGAAUCAAAGAAAUUCAAUUUGUAUAUGGCCAUUGUAAUGGAUCUGUUAUAUUGAUGGUAUAUGAUAAAUCGAUGUCCUUGUGCUAUACAUCUUAUCCAUAUUCUCUGCUUGGGUUACCGCCGGGUGCGCGGACAGCGCUCCCGAUGGGAGUAGCCCCCGAGUGCGUGGCUAACUGCGCGGAGUUAGGCACGAACUCGAAUAGACUUUGAUAUAGGAAAAUUUCGUCGGGUGCGCGGACAGCGCUCCCGAUGGGAGUAGCCCCCGAGUGCGUGGCUAACUGCGCGGAGUUAGGCAUGGACUCGAACAGACUUUGAUAUAGAAACUUUCGUCGGGUGCGCGGACAGCGCUUCCGAUGGGAGUAGCCCCCGAGUCCAUGGCCGAGUAUUUAUAGUCGGGCUUGGACUCAUUGAUUGAUAUAUCUGGCUAAAUCAACUGCUUCGUUGCUUUCGCUGAGAUGAGUCGCUCCGAUGAGAUCGUGUACCUUCGCAGUCGCGUGAGGGACGCUGAACGUCAGCUCUUGGCACUCCGCGGGGAGGUUGCCGUGUGGAAGUCGAAGGCUCGUGCUGCUGCCACCCGAGAUGAAUUUCUUCUGGGGGAGCUUGUUUCGAUAAGCUCAGAUCUGCACGGUAAGCACUGUUCGUAGUGAUUACUCGUUCUGUAUUGCUUCCUGUGUUUAACAGACUGUCUUGUACUUGCAGAACUUAUCCCCGAAUCUCACAAGGAAGCUGAGCGCGUUCGCCAUUGCCUGAACACUCUUCAACGGGCGGGGCCGACGAUUCCUUCCUUCUGGUUUGACUCCGAUAGGGGGUAUGUAUUAGCGCUUUUGCAGGAUCGGGCUGCCCGGGCCAAAGUUUGUUUGAGCUCGUGCCACCAAAUUAUGACUGAUAUUCAUCGAGCGCUGUUUUCGGACACGCCGGUUCUUGACAAUCUUCGGGGUUUGGUCCGUUUGUUCACGGAUUCGGCUGUCAUCAAGAGUUAUAUACAUGAGCAGCUUGUAACUGGCGCCACUGUUGGCCUGGCCUUUGUUCGGCUUCGAUAUCCCGGCCUGGAUCUGGGGGGAUUGCAUGUUGUGCCGUUUUUUGAAGACGGCGAGAUUAACAUGGAGUAUUACUAUGACAUCGUCGAGUGGCAUGCUCGAGAGCUGGUCAACCUUGUCGAGAUGAUAUAGACUUCUACUGCGUCGUUGAGUUUUAGUACUUUUGGGGGAAACAACCCCCGAGUCUUUUCUUGCAAUUAGGUGUUGAGUAGCACGUGCUUCAUCUCCUUUUGUUAUGUCCUGCAACCAAAACUUUGUUAGUUAAAUAUCUGGAAUACGAACCUUUAUCAGUUGAUCUUUCCCGACGAUGUUGAAUAUCUUGUGUCGUGACGAAGUGCGACAGACUUGCGCAUGAGUGUCGCUUGCGAUAAGAGCGGCGAUCUGAUGGUCCUGAGUCCUCGCCUGGACGGGGAUAAUUGUGGUUUAUGCAAUGUAUAUGUACAACGCUUGCAUUGGCGGGUGUUUCGCGCAGCCCCCGAGUCCUGAUUGACUUUCGGGUGAGUGCCACCCGCGGAGCUUUAACUGCGGCACUGGAGUUGCCCCUCUCUAGCGAUAUUAUAGAUACAUCCCUCAGGUCUUUGGAGAGACGGAGGUGUUUAAUGUAGUAAUUCAGCUCUCCUACGAGGGAAAAAUUAGUAUUUAUUCAAUGAUAUACUGACGAAGAUAAUAUGACUGAAUAGAAACUGAAGACGAUGAAAAGAUAAACUCAGUCUGUUUGUAGAGAAAACUAAGCGUAGAAACUCCGUAACUGUGCGGCGUUCCACGGCGUGCCGAAAUCGAUGCUGGUGGCUGGAUCUUUCAGGAUGUAGGCACCGCCUGGGAUUACUUUGGAUAUGAUGUAAGGCCCCUCCCAUGGCGAUGCCAAUUUGUGAUGACUUUUCGUUUUCAGCCGAAGGAUUAGAUCACCCUCAACGAAUGAGCGACGGCGUAGUCGACGGUCGUGAUAAUUGCGGAGACUCUGUUGGUAAACUGCUGACCGAGCGAGGGCGAUGUCGCAUGCCUCAUCUGUUGCGUCGAGUGAAUCUUCCAUACCUUCUGUGCAAUCUGGUCCGGCGUAUGCUGCGACCAGAGGUGUAUUAUACCUCACCUCAGAUGGCAGCACUGCUUCUGCCCCGUACACCAUAAAGAAAGGGGUGAACUGCCUGGAAGAAUUUGGUGUAGUUCGAAGGCUCCAGAGUACCGAGGGGAGUUCUUCGACCCACGCGCCAGCUGCUCUCCGCAAGGGUGUCAUCAACCUUUUAUGCAUGCCUUCAGUGAGCAGACCAUUGGCCUUUUCGACCUGGUCAUUUGUCUGCGGGUGCGCGACUGCAGCGUAGUUGAUUCGGAUCCCCAUCUGCUCACAGAAGUCUUGAAAGUCAGCUUCCUUGAAGUUGCUUCCAUUGUCUGUGAUGAUGCUGUGAGGAACACCAAAAUGGAAAACGAUGGAUCUGAAGAACUGAAUAGCCGUUGCAGAUGUGGCACUUGCAAUUGGCAUGGCCUCGAUCCACUUCGAAAAUUUCUCAACCGCGACUAGCAGAAAACGAUGUCCUCCAUGACGCGACUUCCUCAACGGGCCUACCAUGUCGAGUCCCCAUUGCACAAAAGGCCAGGCGAUGGGAAUUAUCUUGAGUUCAGAAGCAGGGGCAUGCGGCUUCGUGGCGAACAUCUGACAUGCUUCGCACUUGCUGACGAUAGCCUGAGCAUCGAGUAGGGCCGUGGGCCAGUAGAAUCCGGCUCUGAAGGCUUUGGCGGCGAUUGUUUUGCUUCCGGCGUGGUGCCUGCAUGUGCCCUGAUGGAUAUAUAGAAGGAUAUCAUGUCCUUCUUCUGGUGCAAUACAUCUCUAAAAAAUGCCAGAGACACUGCGUUUGUAAAGCUCGCCGUUGAUUACUUUGAAAGCUUUCGAUCACCGCAUAAUCCUUCUAGCUUCGGUUGUAUCUUCUAGCAACUCCUGCCGGAGCAUGUAUGCGAGUAGUGGCUUCAUCCAUGUUGGUCCAAUUGCCAUGACUUCGACUGCGCCGUCUUCUGCUUGCUCGACUACGGGGCUGUCGGGUGAAACUGUUGAGUCGGUUAGAAGCUCUGAGUUGGACGACUUUUUGACUGAAGCCGUCGUGCUCUUCUCUUUGAUGGAUCGUUGAUGAAUGAUCUCCAGAAAAACUCCAGGCGGAACUGCUGCCCGUGUGGAUCCCAGGUUGGCUAAAUGAUUGGCCUCUUCGUUACUGGCUCGGCUGACAUGCGCGAGCUCACAACGGUCAAAAUUACCCUCCAAUGUGUUGCACAUAUCACGGUAGGCGAUCAUGGUGUCCGAUACUGCGUCACAGGUCUUCAUUGUUUGUUGCACAACCAAGUUGGAGUCACCAUAGAUGAUUAGACGAGUAGCGCCACAUGCUUUUGCCAUCCGCAUGCCAUGCAACAAGGCCUCAUACUCAGCUUCGUUGUUGGAGGCGUUGUGGAAGUGCAUCUGAAAAACAUAGUGCAUCAUGUCCCCUUUUGGCAAGAUCAAUAUUACUCCUGCCCCUGCGCCUUCUGCCCAUUUGGAUCCAUCGAAGUACAUGGUCCAGGCACUCGUCAAAUCGAGCGGGCUUGGAGUCUACAUCUCGGUCCACUCUGCGAUGAAAUCUGGCAGUACUUGCGACUUGAUUGCUUUCCGGCGCUUGUAUGUGAUAUUCCUGGGCAAAAGCUCGAUUCCCCAUUGGGCGACACGUCCUGUUGUCUCUGGGUUAUUGAGAAUGUUGGCGAGUGGAGCCUCACUCACCACGACGAUCGGGUGUUGCUGAAAGUAGUGUUCCGGCUUUCAGGCCGUCAUGAAUACUCUGUAUGCCAGUUUCUGAUAAUGUGGAUAACGUUGCUUCGUGAGAGAUAACACUUCACUAACAUAGUAUAUUGGCCUCUGGACUGGCUGCGCUUUCCCUUCUUCUGCUCUUUCUACUACCAAGGCCGUGUUGACCACCUGAUUUGUGGCGGCGAGGUAGCAAGAGUGGCUCAUUCUCGAGUGGGGCUACAAGGACCAGUGAAGUCGAUAGCAUGCGUUUUAGAUCGGCGAAUGCGUUGCUGGCUUCGGGUGUCCAUGUGAAUUUAUCCCCCUUUUUGAGUAGCUGGUAAAAUGGCGGAGCUUUUUCUCCCAAUCUGCUAAUGAAAUGGUUGAGAGCUGCCACUCUUCCUGUAAGCUGCUAUACCGCAUGGAUGUUUGUUGGUUCCUUCAUUGUCACUAUUGCUCUGAUCUUGUCUGGAUUUGCUUCGAUUCCCCUUGCAGAAAGAAAAUAACCUAGAAGCUGCCCUGCAGGUACUCCGAAAAUGCAUUUCGUCAGGUUAAGCUUGAUCCGAUACUUGUCAAGAUUCUGGAAUGUCUAUCGAAUAUCCUCUAAUAGAGUAUCUUUAGUCUUUAUCUUGAUAAAAAUAUCAUCGAUGUAGACUUGAACAUUUCUGCCAAGCUGCGCCCCAAGACAUGCUUGCAUGCAGCGUUGAUACGUAGCGACUGCGUUUUUCAGUCCGAAAGGCAUAGUUGUGUAGCAGAAAACUCCAUAAGGUGUUGUGAAUGCUGUCUUGUCUUCGCCCUCCUUCUUCAAUCGAAUCUGAUUGUACCCAGAAUAUGCAUCAAGGAAUGACAAUCGAGCACAUCUCGCAGUCGAGUCGACGAUCUGGUCGAUUCGAGGCAAGGGAAAAUGAUCUUUCGGGCAAUGUUUGUUCAGUGAGGUGAAAUCAACGCACAUGCGCAAAACUUUCGUGUUCUUCUUCGGGACAAGCACGGGGUUCGCCACCUAGGUAGCUUGUUUAAUUUCCCAGAUAAACUUUGCGUCGAGCAAGCGAUUGACCUCUUCACCAAUAGCCUUCUACUUGGGUUCUGAAAAUUGUCGCAUCGGUUGCCUAAUGGGCUUGGCAAGCUUGUCCACAUGUAAAGAGUGCUCGGCGAGUUCCCUGGGAAUACCCGGCAUAUCGGAUGGUAACCAGGCAAAAAAAUUCCAAUUCUCGCGCAGGAACUCGACGAGACACCAGCACUAUUUUGCUGGGAUCCGUCGGGUGUACCUGAUGCUCUGUUGUGUCACUCUUCGUGCUGAACUCUAUCUGUGGUGGCGCUUUCUUCGUCAUGGAAAGUACGUCGUUGUCCGUCGUUGCCUUCAAAGAGGCGAGUUCCAUCUGCAUACCGAAUGAUUCGGCAAGUUUAUGGAACUCUCUGUCACAAUUGUCCGAUCAUGUAAAGCUUCCUCGGAUGGUGAUUAUGCCGUAGGGUCCAGGCAUUUUCAGCAUGAGAUAUGCAUAAUGUGGGAUGGCCAUGAAUCUAGCGAGUGCCGGCCGGCCCAAAAGCACAUGGUAUUGCGAUUUCCAGUCGAGUACUUCAAAAUCGAUCCAUUCUUUGCGAAAGUUGGCGAGGUUGCCAAAGACAACGUCGAGGCUAACCUGGCCUAAUGGCACUGCCGGUUUUCCUGGAACAAUUCCGUGAAAAGAUGUGUCUGUAGCUUGGAGAUUCGUUAAUGAUCUGUUCAUCGCCCUUAGUGUAUCCGCAAAUAUGAUGUUAAUGCCACUGCCUCCAUCUAUGAACACCUUGCUCAUCUCAUAGCCUCCUACAUGAGCAUCAAGGACUAGUGCUGACUGUCCUGGCCUCGGAAUCUGAGGUGGGUGAUCCGCCCGCGAGAAUGAAAUGGCGACCUCGGACCAGUCGAGGUACUCAAGGGUGGUGGGUGGUGCGGCCACAGCCAGAUGAACUUGUCGAGUGAUAACUUUUUGAUGUCUGUUGGACGACCUUCCUUUCUGUAUCAUGCAGAUAUUUCCCAAAGGCGCCGGAUACGCGUCGGCUGUGGCUGGUGGUUCUGAUGGCCAUGACGCGGACUGCGUGUGUUGCAUGGAUCCGGCGAAAUUUGGUGGCAGUGGAGGGGGUGGCGGCGCGUUAUGCACGAUCAUCCCAGCUUGAUUGGCGUGUGGAAGAGCCAGAGUGUUGGGAUUAAUUCUCAUUGAUUGCUGACCUGGCCCCGAGGGUAAUUCCUACUUACCGUUGAGUUCUGAAACUGGCUGCAUGUGUCCUGCAACUCGUAGAAACGACGGCACUCGAACAGUGUGUGGAUGCACCUUAUAUUUCCGUCAACAUCCCUGGUACCAUGGAAGGGGCAGGGAGACGACAACUGUUGCGUGAACGACAAAGCAGGUUGCUCAUCUCGCCACAACCUCCGAGGCUGCCACUGCUGGUUCUUGCUGCUGUCUCGGUAGUUACCACGGUUACUUCUAUCCCGAUGUCCUUCAUGAUUUCCUUCACCUCGAACACCGCCAUUACGGUCGAACUCUGCCGCUACAAACUCGGGGGCGUUAGGCUCCUGCUCCUUUCGCUUCUUUCUUCUCUCGGUGUUGCGACCGUGUCCUCGCUCGGUUUCUUCAUCAUCUGGUAGUGCAUUGUGCUCAUUUCAAAUUGAAUCUUCUCCAUCUGCCAUUAUUUGCUAUCUCCAUCAGAUCUGCAACCGUUUUUGGCCUGCUCCGUCCCAGUUCUUCCUUAAAAGUGACACGCUUCAACCCAUGUUUGACGUCGACUGCGCUUUCGUCUUAUAUCUCUUCUGCUGUAUUUUUGAGGGACGUCCAUCGUUGUAUGUACGAUCGAAUGGACUCACUCGACCUCUGAGUGCACGCUCGAAGUUCUUCCAAUGAGACUGGCCUUUUAUACGUUGCCCGAAAUGUGCGGGUGAAAACUUGGUAGAGCUCGUCCCACGAGCCUAUUUCGCCUUCUGGCAGACUAGCCAGCCAUGUGCGAGCGUGCCCCUUGAGCUGCAAAACACUGCAUGGCUGUGUUCUUCGUUCCUCCCUUCAGUCGUACCAUUGUGAGGUAAUCUUCUAACCAAGCUUUCGGCUCCUGGGAGCCGUCAAACUUGAUUGCGCUCGUCGAUACUGAAAAAUUAUCGGGCAUCUUCGAGUUGCGAACGCGACGGCUAAAGCAGGCCGCGCCGCAAGGUUCAUCUUCUUCCUCUGUGAUGCGGCCAGCACGAGCUGACCGCUCGCGAUCGAUUCUCUACUGCGUAAUGAUAUCACGAGCAUCUCCUAGUACGGGGGUGUUGCGGCGGCGAUGAGACUGUUCUUCCAGUCCCCGUCGUGGAGGAGUCGUGUGAUUGUUUUGCCGUGGGGAGCCGCCAUCCCUAUGCCGUCAGGGCUCCAUCUGGUUCAAGUUGGGGCCCAUGAGAGCAUUCCCGAUGAGGCCCAGGCCGGCCAAGACCUGCUUGUGGAUUGCCGCCUUCGGGUCGUCAUCCGGUGGCAUGGCGGAUAGGAGGUACAUGUUUGCAGCGACCACAGCUCCUUGUGGCGUCUGGGGAAGCAACUCUCCCUAGGUAUUGACCGUCAUCAGUUCAUCGUCCAAAUUGCAUGUCAUGCCGAUGCAAUCUCGCUCGGGAAUAUUGUUCAACCGAGAUUGAUAGCGCGGCGCUCUAUAUCUAGGGGGUGCUCCGAGAGCAGGCACUGCAACUCUGUGCUGAGAGCUGUCUGCGAGCACUCGAAGCGUCGGCGACUUCUCUCCGCCGUUGGAGCUCCGCCUGCUCCUCUCGCAGAUGAGCUGCGUAGUGUCUAGCGCAUGGUGGUAUGCCAUCAUCUCGUUGCGCGUGGCGUCUGCUGGUAAAGGGUUGGUGUCGUUAAGAGCGGCCUCGACCCGAGCUUCUUCUUCCGACGUGAGAAUGAUUGUUGGCCGAUCAUUGGUCACGUCUCUUGCGCGUGCCUCGGCGAAGAUGGUUCUGUCGGCACGGUGUCCAUCUCCACUGCUCUCGCCUACUUCCGCUGCGAAGACCUGUGCCAAGGUCAUGCGAGGGAUCACAGUUGCGUCAAUGGGAUUGAUUGCUACACUUGAACAGGUUCUGAUGCUGUAAGGAGUGGAAUCUUCAGCGAACACCGAGUGGUGCAAAUCGCACUCGGUGCAAAAAAAUUUGGCCAAAAUUGGCCCUGUUUGACCCAGCGAACGCAUCGGGGGUGAAGGAUCAGUCGGUGACGCCACCAGAGAAUCGCAAAUCUGUCCUGUCGGUAACAGAUCUGUGAAGCUGAUGAUUCCUUCGCGGCUGACUCGGAGGUCAAAACCUCCGAACGACAGCUCCAAAAGACCGCGAAGGUUGCGGAAGGCUAAGCGCAAUAUCGGCGGGUGAGCUGAGAAAUUCAAGAACCCAAAGCGGAUCGGCUCCUUCAUGGUUGAUGCGUUGUGGAUUGAAAGCGGCAUGGUCAAGAAGAUCGUAGAUCUGAUGCACUUCUUCCCAUGGUCGGCGCCAAUGACGAGGGGCUACCUCGGCAAUACCCUGACUCAAGGGUUUUUGACUGAGGAGAGCACGGGGUGCACCAGCGAUCUCGUCGACUAACAAAGACUAGGAGAGUCGCAAGGUUUACCCAGGUUCGUAGUCCUCGGAAGGUAAUACCCCUGCGUCCUGCUUUUGGUGUAUUGUAUUGAUCGAGAUUACAGAGAAGUUAUGAAGCUAUGGUGCGCAGAUGAAUCUGGCGUAUGUCUAGAGGUUGGCCAUUCCUGAUCCCCCUCCUACCCUUAUAUACUGGUGGCUAAGUUUCGGGCGUGAUAAUCAAGAAGGUUACAAUCAGAUCAGUUCAUUCCGGUAUGAUAAGAUUAUGUUUCUUGGUUUGAACCGCACUUUGAGGGAUUCGAUCUGCAUAUACUUGAUGGGCUUUCGAAUGGAUCCUCUGUUGGACUGCAUCGGGUACAUGAAGAUUGAGUACUCGAAGCCUCGUUCCCUCGUCAUCCGUCAACUGUUGUGCCUGACUGCCCAUCCAGGUGUUGAGAGUUACUCGUUCUUCAUCGACAUUUAAUUCUUUCCCGCGUGCAUAGAGGAGUGGAGCACUCUGGGCUCUGGCGCAUUACCACAUUAAAACUUUUGUUUUUUGAAAAGAUCACAAAUCUAUUACUUCGUAGUAUAAAGAUUUACUAGAUACACAAAGCAUCUCAAACAUAAUGAAACAAUAAAUAAAACUUCAACGUAGUACGCUGCGCCUAAAAGAAGAGGAAAUUAACGUGUUUAUACUUCAUUUGAUCUCUCUUUACAGAAAAGAUUCGUGCAUAGUUUCCAAAGAAACUAACCGACCAGUAACAAUUUCUUAACUAAUUUGAUCCUAGCAAACUGGUCAUUUAAUGCCUUUGACCAAUUAGCGAAAAAAUAACACUUACGUAAGCUACCACUCCCUCCGUCCCAUAUUAAGUGACUCAAAUUUGCUUAAAAUGGAGAUAUUUAUACCAAAAAGUGUCUAGAUACAUGUAAUAUUUCGUCACUUAGUAUGAGACGGAGCAAGACUUAAUAUGGGACGGAGCGAUUACAUGUCAUCUUGUGAUUUUAAUUGUGCCUACUGCAAUUGACUUGGUGUACAUUCUGAGCCAUCGGGGCUAGCUAGGUCGACCUUUUCUCGUACUGGAAUUUUCUAUCACCAAGUCCCCUCCAUAUCCGCAGAACGUGUGACGUUUGAAAAACUCGAGAGCGCGCCAUGCAUGUUACUUAGUGGAACAGAUAUGCCCUUUUUAAAGGAAACUUGAGAAGUCGGAUGACCAUGCAAUGCAAUUAAGUUCUAGCCCACAUCAAGACUGUUUCAAUUCCUUGAUCAGUUGACGUGUCUUGUUUGCUUACAUGCAAGUUCAUGCACAUUUGCUUGACCACAGUGCCACACUAUUUUGCUUGCGCGCCACCUCGGCCCCAUUUGCGGCUAUAUAAGCACAUCCAUCCAGACCUCCAUGGCCACUAAAGCAUCCCCACAAUGGCCUCCUCUUCCUCCUUGUUUCUCCUCGCUGCCCUCCUUGGGCUGGCCUCAUCGAUGGUCACUGCCUUUGAUAAUAGCCCUCUCCAAGACUUCUGCGUUGCCGACAUGAAGUCGAAUGGUAUGUUCUGCUCCGUACUUUGUGAUGUACCUGUAUGCAUGUGUGUCCAUUUUUCUAGCGAUGUCGUAAUGUUCUCUUAGCGCUAUCAUAUCAUUGAUCAUGUGUUCUGCAUGAGGUGCUCACGGUGAGCAAAAUAUUAGUAUUUCUCUUUACUUAAACGGUUAAAUCACACAUUUACUACUUUGUGUUAAACUGUUAAUUUACUUUCUUUAUGCGUGCAGUGCGAGUAAAUGGAUUUCCAUGCAAGGACCCAAUGGCUGUCGUCGCGGACGACUUCUUCAAUAAAGCCAUGCUCGACAAACCUAGGGACACUAUGACCAGCAAGGUCGGUUCCAACGUCACCAACAUCAAUAUAGCAAACUUCCCUGGCCUCAACACCCUCGGCAUCUCUCUGGCACGCAUCGACUACGCACCAUUAGGUGUGAACACGCCACACAUACAUCCACGUGCCACCGAGCUCCUCACCGUACUCGAGGGAACGCUCUACCUUGGAUUUGUCACAUCCAACCCAAACAGGCUCUUCUCAAAGGUGGUCACGAAGGGUGACGUAUUUGUGUUCCCAAAGGCCAUGAUCCACUUCCAAAUGAACCUAGCGCAUGACAAGCCAGCAGCCGCGCUGUCAUCGCUCAACAGCCAGAACCCUGGGGUUAUCACUAUCGCCAACGCGGUGUUUGGAUCCAAGCCACCGAUCUCAGAUGACGUUUUGGCCAAGGCGUUCCAGGUGGAAAAAGAUCUGAUAAAGUGGCUCAAAUCUCAGUUCUGGGAGAACAACCACUACUGAUCAUUAUUCUCCUUUGUUUGCACCCAUGAAAUAGUUACAGUAUGCUAUAUAAAUAAAUGGCACACAAUACUUGUGCGUGCCUGCGAGCUGUAAGUUUCGUUUUCUUCUCAACCGUGACAAGAUAUAUGUUUGUCGCCGGAUUGAUGUCAUAGUAUGCUGGUGAUGUUUGUACAUGUUUUCUCUGUUUGACAAAUGAAAUUUGGAAGUUGGUAUACACUGGUGUCUUUUUUAUGGAUCGAAGGAAAUAUUGUCUUACUGAAAUACGACUAGAAAACUCCACGAAGUGAUCGCACGUGCACGUACGCUAUCUCAGUUGUAUGUACGUACAUGAAGCUCAGUUUCUGCCUCUGACAAGGUGAUUCGUUUGAUCGUUGGAACCAAAGAGCGAAGCAGACUAGCUAGUGGUCCCGUGGCAAGAGGAAGGGACCGUUUGUUAUCGUAUAAAACUGAGCGAAACUGCCUUGCGUACGAUCAAAUCGAGUACGAUCCGCGUACUAGCAGACUGAGAAGCAAUGUGCACAGACGGCCCCACAUGCUGACCGUGAAUUAAUUUGAGUCUAAUCGUACCAAGCUAUCUUACAAAUAGCGUCGUACGUAUAGCAUAGUUGAAAACUGAGUAAAUAACUGACGCCGAUUCCCUCGUCCCCCACGACUCCAGGUAACGCGCUGAGCAACCGCCAGCCCGGGAAGACGUACUACGAGCGAGAGAUACAUAUCCAUCUGACCGAGGAACGAGAGGGAGAGCCACACGGGAGCACACCAUGAGAGGCGGGACGAAGCGGCGGCUCUGCGCGCUGCUGCUGGCGCUCAUCUGCUUGGCCGCGCGCUUCCAAGGAAUCGUCUGCCCCGGCGGCGGGAGGGGCGGCGGCGAAGGAGCGGAGGGCGGCGGUGCCGGAGGAGGUGAGGCGGGCGGCGGUGCCGGCGAAGGCGAGGCCGGCGGCGGUGGAUCAGGCGGGAGGAACGCUGGCGGAUGGUGGUGGGCCGUAAAUAAUGCGAGCGACAGUCUAGUUACCCGGGCGUUGGAUGCAUGUGUGGUGUUAACAAUAGGAGUGUAUGAUUUAUUAUGGAUUUAGUGGGCAAUGCACACUUGCUGCUUAUUAGCCAUUCUACUACCUAGCUGAUUAGCAUGUAGAUCCAGCAUUUCCCUUUGUUCCUUAGCGUGUGUAGACCAUCAUUCGAGCUACUAGCACUUCCAUUGUGAUUUAGUACAUCCCAGAUAUGAUCAUUGAACUUAUUCCACGUGUUAUUCAGAGCUGGUACGUAUACUGAGUUGUUUGCUUUAACUUUGACCCGGGGAGUUGAAAUCCGAGCAGAUCACCUGGAAGGACUGCUGGAGUACUGAAGUUUUCUGCAUGAGUUUAACUGAAGACAUGCACGAGUUAGAACACAUGUACAGUAAAUUGGUAAUCGAUGUGUAAGCCGGCCGUUUAACUUGGGUACAAGCAUAGAAAAUUAGAAAUCCACGAGUGCCAGAAACAGCAGUGUGCACAAGUUUAAGUUGUUGUGCGAGCUGAGCAGUGUUCGUUCUUCUUCGAACGCCGAUCCAUGUCCAAUGGCCGUAACAAAAUGCCAGUGCCAUCGCUGAUCUCGGCUCGUCGUGAACCUGCUAUGUUCCUCUCAAACCGACUUCAGAAGGAUAGAUGUACAUUUCAGAUGCAAGUGUGUAAACACGUAAAAAAAUUGUCAUAUAGUGUUCAUACAAUUACAUGGAUAAUGUUUGCAUGUCAACAUCAAUGUUUCUGCUCUAGCAGUCUAGCUGUUUGGACGUUCACGCAUAAUUUUUGUUGACAAUAAUACAUUUUCGCGGUUAAUCCUAAGAAAAUCGGUGGAAGAGCAGUUUACUCACAUGGAUAAAUGGUACUUAGUCAACAUUAGUCGAGUUCUCUUUUCAACCGGCAAGCAGAACAAGCAACGCAGGGUGAUACCUUCUCGUGCCGUCCCUUCCGGGCUCCGGGCUCCGGCCUCCUUCCCCGCGGCCGCUUGCUUGCCAUGGAGCCGCGCGAGAUCGCCGCUGCCGCGCGGAGCUUCUCGGCCAUGGCACGGAUCGUCGGUCCGGUCAGUUUCUCACUUCCCACCUCCUCUCCUCUUCCUCUCCCCGUAACAUCUUCUCGCGAGAUUUCUCGCUAAAGCGCCACGCUCCCUCUCUGCUUCCUCCAGGACCCCAAGGCCGUGAAGAUGCGCCGCCACGCCUUCCACCUCCACCAGUUCGGCAACCGCUCCCCUCCCCUUCCCCUCCCGAUUCCUCAAUCUCCUCGCGGAAUUUGAGCUUAAUCGCGACUUGGUUCGGUUCCAGGUCGGGGUCCACCACGCUCUCGGCGUCGGCUGUCCUCCUGCCCCCGGGCGCCCUGGCGGAGCCGCCGCCGCCGCUUCUAGGUCGUGUCUGCGCGGCUCAUGGCCACACCGGGGGCGUCGCGCUUACGUCCGCGUCUCUCGUGGAGCCGUUCCUGGUUGCGGAGCAGCGCGAUAGCGCCAGCGAGGUUGGUUGCGUCGUCUCGUGCUCGCAACUGUGUAAUUGAGGCGAUUCCGGUGCUGAGGUUUUGCUUGCUUGAUGGGAUGCCUGCAGGAACUACAGCCAAGGUUACUACCGGAGACGUGUCUUGAUGUGCUGGUUGAGGUGAGGAACAUUUUUGGCCUUUGGGUUAUUAUGACUUCAGAAUUCAGAUCAAUGGGGCAGUAUUAUAAGGGGCUGUAGCAUUAGAGCACCAAAUAUCGGGUGCUCAGUUCUGAGAUUACAAGAAAUACAAUGUGAGAGUUUAGUAAGAGUUUCCUGAAAGCCUGAACUUCUCCUGGCAUAUGCAGCAUGAGGAAUUAGGGAACAUCAUAGAUGGAGAUUCUGGAGCUCCACAGUGGCUUUCAGCUCAGUUACUUGCCAUGGUGGGUUUUUCUUUUCCCAAUCAAAACAUAUGUUCAUUACCAGUACCAGUAUUUCUAUUUUCUUUACCCAGAUUCUAGUGCUGCUUAGUUGGGACUCUUACCAUGAAGUAAUUUAAAACUCCCUAAAUGUGCUAUAUGAAUGACCAGUGCUUGUGCUGUUUUUCACCAAAGGAAGUGCUACUUAGUAACACGAUAGGUGUAAAAUGUCUGGUCAUACAUGACAAUAAAUACACACAAUGACUGUUUUGAGUUCUUUGGAUUUGAAAGAUGUUCUUGGAGCUCAGAAAAAAACAAUGUGAACUUAGACCUUGUAAUUUAAAAUCAGAACUGCAUUUAUUUUGGUAAUACUUCUGCAAGGUUCUAGAUAUUUAUAUAGUAUGUCACUAUAAAUGAAAAAUAUAUGAUUCAUCAUCAACUCAGCACCUCAGUUUCCUUUUUUUAGGUCGAUGUUGCAGCAUCAGCUGAAUCUAUAUUAUCCUUAUUAACACAUGAUGGUUCAGUGUUUGGAAGCUCAUCAUGGGAUGUUGGCUGGCCAUUGGCCGAUGUCAAUCAGAAGCAGGUUGUCUAUUCAUCAAGCUAAAGUUGCCUUUCCUGAUUUUAUAGCAAUCAGAGACUUACCACUAUCAGUCAUUAUCAGGUUGAAAAUGGCGUCAGGUCUUCUCUUGAGUCUAACAGGAAGAAUGCAUAUGCUGAGUCAAUUGAACCAUCAAUGUUAGCCAAGUCCGCCACAAGAAUUGCUAUACUAGGAGUUUCAUCCUUAACAUCAAGUGUAAGAUUCAUUUUCUCAAAUUAAUUUUCAUUUCAUUGAUCUUUAGCACCUCCAGAAUUAAAAUGUGGACUUAUUGAGUUGAUGAUCUUGCCAAUGGUGACCAGAAUGAAAUACAUAUCAAUGUUUCACCGGCGCCACAGCGAGGAGACUCUUUGCUGGUAGUAGGGUCUCCCUUUGGCAUCCUGUCACCAUUCCAUUUCUUCAACAGGUAAUUUUUAUUCUACUGCUUUAAUUUCAUUUGUAAACAUAUACACCUAGUGCUCUUUCGUAGAUUCAAUCAGUUAGUUUCAAUUAAAUUCUUAGUUUAUGCUAUUAAUCAAUGUAACAUGAAACUCCAAACAGUUGAAAACUUGAUGUCAUUACAUAUCUGGUUAUGGAAAUAAUAAUAAAUUCUGAAGUGUUGCUCUUUGUAUUCUAUCUGUGCAUCCUCCCUCACUAAAGCUAAACAGUAGCACAGCCUAAUUUUGUUCAGGGCAUGCUUAGGAACCUGUAAAGGCUCAUUCAUUGUCAAAUAGCUGUUGUAGUUUGUGACAUGGGAAAGACAUGCAUGCUAUCAUCCACUAUAUUGUGCCACAUUUAUUUGAAAACAAAGAGGUGCUGACAGAAUAAUCCAUAUUAUUAUCAUUGUUCUUUGAGCAGUAUAUCAGUUGGUGCUGUUGCAAAUUGCCUACCUCCAGGCGCUGUCAGGAGCUCGCUGCUGAUGGCCGAUAUCCACUGUCUUCCUGGUAUAAAUAUCACUCUCCCUUUGAACAUGAAUUAUUACAUCAGCUGCUAACAAAUUUUCAAAUAUUCUAAGGUAUGGAAGGUGCUCCUGUGUUUGACAAAAAUUCUUGUCUUGUGGGGAUGCUGAUGAAGCCAUUAAGACAAAGAGGUAGCAGCAUACAAGUUCAGGUGAGUUUACUGGUACCAGUGUUAUGCUUUGCACAUAUAACCGAUAUCAAGCUUAGAUAUCUGCAUGACAGCUUGUGAUUACAUGGGAUGGAAUAUGCACUGCAUGGAGCAGCAACAAACUGGAAGGAAUUGAGCAAGCCUCAAAUGAUCUACUUGAUGACAAAAAUGCAGAUAGUAAAAUGGUGGAAUCAUGUGCCAUGGAUAACUAUAGGAGGUCCGUCUCUAUUUCAGCCAAUCAUCAUAAUCAGUAUAGAAUUCCAGCUUCACUCAAAGAGGCUAUAUCCUCGGUUGUUCUUGUCAAGGUUGGUGAUACAUCUUGGGCUUCAGGUAUUGUCCUCAACAAGAAUGGCUUAAUUCUGACAAAUGCUCAUCUUUUGGAGCCUUGGAGAUUUGGGAGAACUUCGCCUUUAGGUUUACAAAAUGAAAUCACCUCACUUACUGGAGAACAUGUCCGUGAAGUUGAAAAUAAACUAUUGCAGUCACAAGAAUGCAAAAUGUCCAACCAAGAUGCUGUUAAGCAUGAGGCUCCAUUGUUUAAUUUGGGUUUCAAAAGAGAGAAGAGAAUAUCGGUUCGUUUGGAUCAUGGGAAAAGACAGACCUGGUGCAGUGCUAGCGUGGUCUUUAUCUCCAAGGGGCCGCUUGAUGUUGCCUUGCUUCAACUGGAAAUGGUUGCAAUUGAACUUUGUGCAAUUAGACCAGAAUUCAUUUGUCCAACAGCAGGCUCUUCUGUAUAUGUUGUUGGGCAUGGCCUUCUUGGACCUCGAUCAGGUAACAAACCUGAUAAGUAAGAAUCAUAGUUUUCAAAAUAGUGCUCAAUUUAUGACAUUUGUAUCUUGAUUGUUUUAUUAUUAUAUUGUUAAUAUUUGAGUAUUUGGCUGUAGGUCUAUGUUCCUCUCUUUCCUCUGGGGUUGUCUCAAAAAUUGUCAAAAUCCCAUCAGCUCAACAUUCUCAUCUAUCUAGCAGUUUGGAGGCUGAAACUAUGGACACACCAGUAAUGCUGCAGACAACAGCGGCAGUUCAUCCAGGGGCUAGUGGUGGUGUUCUUAUUAAUUCCCAUGGUCGAAUGGUUGGGCUAAUAACAAGGUAUUAACAUUAAGUUUUAUGUGAUUUGUAUCAACAUUACCAACUAUUGUGGUGGAUAUGCGAUAGUCAAAAACUAACUUUACAGUCAUCUUAGUUUUCCUUCUUCACUCAUGCAGUGAUCUGAUUCUGCUAUGACCUUGAUUCUAGACUUUAAAACUGGAUUUGCAGUCAUCUUAGUUCUCUUUGAUUCUAGCAAGGUCCUUAACCUUUUUCAGCAACUUAUUUCUGUUGUUACCAUAUCCAGCAAUGCAAAGCAUGGUGGUGGGACCACAAUACCUCGUCUGAAUUUCAGCAUCCCCUGCAACUCUUUGGAAAUGGUCUUCAAGUAUUCAGGUGCUACCUAACUUUGUUCAAAUCAUUUCUCUUUAGUCAUCACAGUGCCUCCCAAUGCUAUAUAGGAGCAUUUUUGUCAACCUUGUCCCCUUUUUGAGCAGCAAAUGAAGAUUCCACAAUUUUAGAGCAGUUGGACAAACCCAAUGAAUUGCUUUCAUCAGUGUGGGCAUUGGCACAAACCCCAGCAUCGCUCCCAUUUCUCAGUAGUUCCCCUGGAAAAAGCGGAGAGGGUAAAGUGUUGAAGUUCUCAAAGUUUCUCGCCGAUCAGCAAGAAGGUUUGAAAUCUAGAACUGAUAUAGAGGCAUUUCUUAGACACAAGAUUCCUAGUAAAAUUUAAGGAAUUGUUUCUGCAAAGCACCGAUUGAUAGUACCGGCACCCUUGACAUAUAGGAGAGGAGGAAAAUGAAAAAUCAAGGGAUUCAGAUUGAGCGACAAAAUGACAGACUGUCUAUUUCCGCCAUGGAAAUGCCAUGCUCUCUUUUUUCCUCGAACACACCUUGCUGCAUGUCAUUUCCACCAUGGAAAUGCUAGACUCUCUUUUUUCCUCGAACACACCUUGCAACAUGUCAUUUUCAUUAAGAAGGGGGCGCAAGAAGCGCAAGUGCAGACAGCAAUACAAAGGCAAGAGCCAAAAAGAACAAAGAAAGAAGAAAAGAGAAGAAGAAAGAAAUGCUAGGCUCUUGACUGAAACGUUCUAUAAGAUCGGCACAAACUUUCAUGGCAUACUUUAGAUUGAUUCAUACAAAGUUUCUUUCAUGAAAGAUACUUCAUGUGUUGGUUUAUAUAUAGUUUGUUUCCGGGUAUAAGGGUCGCGCAUUGAGCUUGUUUUCAGAAAGUUGAGACAUCUUCAGCGAUUGCUUAUAUACAGGAAGCAAUACAGUUUAUACUAACUGACAACGACAACAAAACUGUGUACCAUUUGUCAUAAUGACCCCGUGAAUUGUACUAACAAUGCUGUUUGGACUAAGAAUACUGUUUGUAGCAUCUGCAGCUGUCUGAAAACUUUCUUUAAAGCAUGUUAGUCUGAAACUAGGUUUCCCUAUUCAUCCUGUCAAAGCCUUUGAAUCCAUCAUGGAAAGGAUUUUUAAAAGGAUUUUUUUUAAACAGAUCGUCCAUAAAAAAAAAUUAAAAGUAUUUUUUUUCUCUUGUAAGUUCAUAAAUGGUGGGCAUAUAGAAACUCCUCCGGACCGUAGCAGAGCUAGGGCUCGCCUUAAACGAGACGACACCCAUGCUCUCCAUCCACCAAAUUCCAUCUUUAAAAAAAGAAGAGAAUGACAAAUCCUAUCUGGGCUAGCUGAGGAGGGAUGGCCAAUAGCCCAAUACCCAGUAGUUGGUUUUGCAGAAGCCGAAGGCCAGCACUGAUGGCCGAUGAUACGGCCGGACGCGCAAUGAGCUUGUGCAUCCCACUGCCACUGUCCUCGGAGCAGGAGGAGAUUGUGGCUGACGCUAUCAUGGAUGGAUCAAGAGGAAGAUGAAAAUGACAAGCUCGUCCCCACCACGAAUUCAAUUCGUUCCUAGCCAAGUUGGAAGAAAAACACAAGUAUUGUCGAGACGAACUAUUUGCUGGCUUUUUUUUUUGCGCAAAACUAUUUGCUGGCUUAAGAAACUGUAAGAGCAUAUUAUCCUGCUGAUCAGAAUUCAGAAGGACGAUGAGUUCGUUAUAUGCCGAGGAUGAGGCUUUCUCUGGAGUCCAGUUGAGAUGAGGAUUCCACUAAUUUGUUGUGCUACUGCUACCUAGCUGUCUAUAUAUGUAUUGAGUAAGAAAAGUAGAGCAAACUCUACAAAAUGUCUAUAUGUGUAGUUGAGUAAGAAAAGUAGAACAAACUUUACAAAUCACUCAUAAUUAAAUUGUGCAAGAAAAGUAGAACAAACUUUAUAAAUCAAUUAACACUACACAACGCGUGAGCAUGCAGAAUAAUAGGAUGUUUGAUGAGACCAAACGAACAAUGCACCAGCAAUUUCAUACCUACAAACUGAAGUGCCUUUCAUUCAAAGACUAAAAAUCAAUAAAUCGUAUAAUAUGCAUAUAUCUAGGCCCAACAUAUAUAGACUGAACUACAUGUGUUACAGCCCGGGAAGAGGUGUGAAACAGUUGUGAGUCACACCUCACAAAGGCAUUGUGAAACAUGCAUUAGAAUACUGUGCAGUGUAGUUCUACAAUAUUCAAAUAAUCCUACCAAAAUGAGCAGAGCAGUUAAACUAGGAUUUUUACUUUUCUGAAGACAUGUUCUCGAAAAACUUUACCGAGGUCAAGAAUUUCUCUUAAUAGUCACGAAAAAAGUAUGGUCAAUCUGCCUUUACAAUUGGAGAAAAAGAAAAUCACAAUUCUACAUUCUCCUAAUUCCCUGAAGACAGGCCCAUCCAUCCAUUUCAGAUACUAAUAUGUUGUCCAAGUACCUGGAGUAAGCUUUUUCAACCUUUGCAACCUGUAUUAGAUGACACAUAACUCAGGGGGUACAGAAGCAUCACAAUUAAGAAAACAAAAACGGUAUAUGACAUUUUAAAUUUUGAAAUAAUCUAUUCCUUUACCUGCUCACUCAAUAUCCCUGAAACAGCAAUCGUUCCACCAAUUUUUGCAUAACCAACUAUGUCCUCGACCAGCUCUAGCAAGGGAUUCAGGAGUAUAUUUGCUGCAACAAUGUCAUAUGUCCCUCUUGAGGACUUCAACUCAGGGUUAUAGGUGGGUUUGUUCUCUUCUGAUUUGUCAAUGCUACUUGAGAAGGAUGAAGGCUCAGCAUCAGUCGGUACCAAAUACACUAGCAUUUUGUUGGAAUCCAAACCAUUCAGCAACAUGUUCUCACAAGCGGAUGUUACAGCUUGAGGGUCUAUGUCUAUCCCUGUGGAUAGAGCAGCACCCAUCUGCAUUCGUAAGCCAACAAUGAGCGCAUGGGUAUUACUGCUGUCUUUUCGUGAAAAUUGUUGUAGUGAACAAUAAGAGCACCAAGACAUACCUUCAGAGCCGCAAUACCCAAUACCCCAGUGCCUGUUCCAUAGUCCAAGACAUGUUCACCCCCCUUAAUAACUUCCCUUAGAAAUAAAAGGCACAACUUAGUUGUGGGAUGCUCCCCAGUUCCAAAAGCCAAACCUGGAUUGAUAAUUAUAUUUGUGGCAUGUGGAUCCUGUCAUUGUGGAAAAAGAUGAACAUGAUGCAUGAAGUAAUUCUCAGUUGAAGUACUUAAGUAGAUGCUGAGUCAAACGUAACAUCAGUAAAAGAUCAUUCUGUGAAGACAUUAAAAGGAAACAGCAUGAUAUUUGCACAAUGCAGACAUACAGGGGGGGUUCUCCAUUUAGGAAUAAUCCAAAGGUCAUCGAUAACUUGAGUAGACUCGUACGUUUCCUGCAGACAUAACAGUAAUCUUUUCAAGUAUCUGCCAAGCAAAAUCACUGUAUCUGUGAAUGCAGUACAGCAGCGAAGUGAGAUUUGCAGCUGGUAUGAGAAUUCGAGAGCAAAUGAGUACAACAAUGGACUUCACAGAUCAUGUAUAUGAAAAUCGUAGAGCAUAGAGUGAUAGAGAUCCCAAGUCGUAACCUGCACAACUGCCACCCAAUCGCACUGUUUUCCUACAGAGGUUUCAUACACUGGGGUGUAAUCCAGACCAGCUGAGCUUGCAGCAUUUGAAACGCUCGAUCCCACGUUUUCCCCGUAUGCAAAUGUGGAGGUUAUGGAGAUCUGCACAGCAAAUGAUUGUGUCUAUAACUUUCAAGGAAUGAACAAUAAGCCCAAAUUUUCUUCAGCCCGAAUUGGCCAGACCAUGACUGAAUUAAACAAUGCACGGAGGAAGAAACUCACUUCUUCAAGAUUUGCAGCGUCUUCAACGUCAUCCACGGUGACGGAGCUAGCACCAAAGCACAGGAGAGACUCGGAGAGCAGUUCCUGGAUGCCGUUUUUUUUUUUUGUCAGGGGAAACACUUGUAGAGGCUAGAAACUGCUCACAUUAAAAAGAGCAACAUUGCAAUAGGUAAAAGCAUGGAAUGGAAGGGCCGGGUACUGACAGCAUCCUCCUUGCGGCAGCGAAUGCGGACGGAGAGGUAAGGCGAGGACAAGUCGUAGCCGCCGCCGCCGCCGGAGCUGGAGCUGGGGGGCGCCUCGUCGUCCACACUAACCGCGCGGGAGCCCAUGCCCCGCCAGGAGUCUCCGCCCGCUGCCGCCCUCGAGGCCGUGGAGCCCUCUCCGACGCGGAAGGGGCGAGCGGAGAGCAUCAGGAGAAGGGGCGCGACACCUCCGCCGCUGACGGUGUAAGGGGAGCAUCGCGGCGAGGAGAGCAGGAGGCGGCGGAGAGGAGCGCGGCCGACGGCGCGCACCAGCGGCAGCAUAGAUCUCUCGGCCAGCCGGCGGCUGCGCCGUCCGCGCAGCACCUUGCGCCGGAACGAACGGUUUCAGUCUUUCAGUACGGACCGUGGAGCUCUGGAGCUCGAAUUUGUUUGUAAAUGCAAUGCAACCUGUGGUUUCAGUGACUACAGUACAAGUGUACAACCAGCGUCUGUUCCAUUCAUUUUUGCAGGGCUGUUUGCAGCGUUUUCGGAUCGAAAACCUCUUCCCCAGUCUCGUUCUUGCGAUGCUCCUAUGCAAUAAGCUAGGCAGCUUCGAUCAUGCACAAUCGAGGAAUGAAUGCAAUGUCGCGAGCACAAACGGAGUUUCUAAGAGCAAGGUACAACCAACUGCUGGCUAUAAACAUGUUGUCAGUGUGGUCUAUAUAGCUUAUAACUAGUCUAACAUUCAGCAUGUCUAAUAAUUAGCUAUAAACAUGAGUACUCCCUCCUAUCCAUAAUAAGUGUCUCAAAUUUUGUAUACUAACUGCUCCAGUACUUUCUCCGAUCCAAAAGUUAAUCUACUAAUAUACUCUCUCCAUUUCAUAAAGAAUGGCGUCCACGCUUUUCGAGGUCGAACUUUGACCAACGAUUAGAUCAAUUGUAUGUAGAUUAUAUGUUACAAAUUUUAUAUCGUUGGAAAGGUUUUGGAAAUACGAAUCCAAUGAUAUAAUUUUUGUAACACAUAAGUCUCAAAUUAUUAGUCUAAUUAUUGGUCAAAGCAAAAUCUUGAAAUGCGUGCGUACCAUUCUUUGUGAAAUGGAGGGAAUAUAUUUUUUGUUAAAUAAAAUUGAUAUCAUUGUAUUUGUAUUCAAAAGUACUUGUUUAUGGUCAUGAUUUGUAUCAGAUAAGUCACAGGUUGAUACAGUAACCCUUGGUCAAAGGGUCGGUCAAAAAAAUACGCCAUUCCGACAAAUUUGUUAAAUAACUACAGCUGUAUGUGCUUGGUAAUGUGCCAAGUGCCAACCACCAUCUCUCUCAUUUUUAAUUCUUCCACCUCCAAUGAGCUAAGUGCAUGAAGAAAGUGUAACAAGAGAGAAAUAUUUUUUUCUUAGUCUAAAGUGCUUUGAAAAGUGAGAAGUAUAUUUUUUUUGGACAAAUCUUAAAACUUAUUUGUGGAUGGAGGGAAUACUUUAGAUACAACAUUAAUUAAUAGACAAUGCAUUAAAAGAUGCUUAAGUAAAACACAUUGAGAGGGGUGUAUCAAUAUGCAUAUUUAAUGUGGUUAGUACGUAUCUAUCUUAACCCUCCAUUCCUUAAAAGAUGUCAUAUUAGCUCUUAACCCUCCAUUCCUUAAAAGAUGGCAUAUUAGCUUAAGGCAAGAUUUUGACCACAGAUUACUAUGUCAAUGCGUGGUUUAUAUGACAUGAAAUUAGUAUCGCUAGAUUCGUUAUCAAAAAUACUUCAUACUACUUGUGGUUUCAUGUCAUAUAAACCACACUUCAUCACAUUAAUUUGUAGUCAAAACUUUGUCUCAAUAAAAGCUAAUUUGACAUUUUUUAAGGAACUGAGGGAGUAUACAUUUAGACUUCCAAAGGCUAAUUAAUCAUUAUGCUCUUAUUUUUCCUAUGCAAAUAAUGUUAAUGGUAACAUCCUAUUGGAUGAAGGAAUGUUGUACCAAGUAGUAGAAAUUAGGGAAAAACUGAAUAUCUCAUGCAAUUAAUUGCAUGUGAAUAUGAAAAUGAAUGCCAAGUGGUAUUUUAGAAAGAAAGAAACAGAGCGCGUCACGUUUACACUGCAUGAAUUUUCAUGCAACCUCUUCGGUAACCGUGGAGUACAUGCAGCUUCUCACUGGUACCAAAAGUCCAAAACAGACACACGGCGACAUCGGAGCUCCGACGAUAUUCCAUCCGGCAUUUCCCUUUUCCAAUCCAAUUCUCUCCCCUGAGAGAUUCCAUUGGUCGUUUCCUCCCUAGGUGGCCAGGCUAGGCCGCCAGAAGCAUCUCCCUGAAUGGACGAACCAUAACUAGCUCGGCCUAGGAGUCAGCUGGUGCCAGCCGUUUAACCGCGGCGCGGAGACUGGGCCCUCCUCGUUCAAGCCUAGCGGUUGGAGAACCUGCGCGUCCCGGGUUGACGAAACGCGUGUCCGGCAGAGGCUAGUGUCUGGUGGGAUCCCUCGCUCCAGCAUGCAGCUGCAACACAGCGUCACAGCCCCAGUCAACUUGGCGGAGGGUCAAAACAACGACCGGACCAGCGUCUACACGGUUCUUCGCUCUUCCACUCCGCCAAGCUGACGCAGUGCCCAUGAGUGACUCGAGAAGAGAUGGUCAAACUGGCAGAGAGGCAGAACCGGACGACGUCCGUUGCUGAUUUUUCAACGGCCGUCUGCAGGCCCGUGCAGUCGUCACCCGUAAUUAACACGAGCUAGCUUCUUCUGGUUUUUGAAAUCGUCACAGUAACAACUUAACACGAUCUGGUUGAACGCGGAAGGGAAAAUGGAAAGACUGCGUAAAGACUCAUGCCGUUCUGUUCUAAAAUGUAAAAUUUCCUCGCAAACAAAGAGAAAGUAAAAUUGCUGUCGAUGAAACCGUUGGAUCAUCUGUUUUUUUCUUUCACCGGUCAUUUAUUCUUCUCAACAGUCAUCCAGUCUCCAGACACCACUUCCGCACCGUCGCCGGCUUCGACUCGUCUCCAACGGGCCUCUGGCGCGUGCAGAAAGCCAGAAACCCCUGACUCUGCCAUGGUCUUCGCCUUCCGCUGCGCUUUAAACAGGAGACUGGAGUAAACGGUAGCAGUUACAGCAUCCGCAGCAACAGAGCUGCCGGGUUAAAAUCAGCUCAGGGUUUAAUAUUAGACAGACAUCACGCAAGAAUCACGCUGCAUGCGCGGCAGCAUCAAUUACAUCGAAGGAUGGAACCAGGUACCUUUGAUUAGCCAGUUUUACACUUCUACUCAGUUUAACCAGUCAAUUUUAUGGUUUUAAACCAACGAAGAACCAGGUAUACUUCACAAGAUAACACAAUUAAGUCAAAUAAAUAAGACACGAUCAUCAAGAAACGCUAACUUUGUCCCCAUUUUUGCUAUAUUGAAUGACCUAUGUACAGGCUUUUCACCGCAUGUACAUCCCUGCAGGCCAUGGUAUCAAGCGGUGAUUCGUCAAGUACUGCAGGAGGGAGCUGGUGCCACAGAUUUGAUCUAGCCUUGAGUUCUCAGAGCGUACAUCAGUUCCUGGGGGUGUUAGGAAAAGGAUACAGAUCAUCAGAAAGCAGCAUUAGUGAAACAAGCAGUUAGACAGCCAUUUAGAGAGAGAAUUACCAGGUCCCCCUGACGAGAGGCAAACGCAGGGUAUAGUUCUGCAAGUGAUUCCUCUUCCUUCAAUCUUUCUAAGCCAUUGAACAGAUCCAGCUUUUCCUCGGCUGCAUCGGUGUCUUUCAUUGCAAAGCAUUUGUUUCCGGGGUUCUUCCUAAUGUAUAUCUCAACUUCUUUGGCUUGCCGUGACAACUGAAGAGCAACAAACUGAAAAUAUGCAGAAGCGUACUCUUUGCUUAAUAAUUUGGAUCCAUGUCAACAGAAACUGCAUUAAAAAAAGAAAGCAUGUAGAAGCAAGUGACAAGUGAUCACCUGGCAUAGAUGGCUAACAGAGAAUGUAGAAUGACAACUGAGAUAGGGCUUCUCCAAUUUAGGCAUAUUUUGUCCAUCAAGUGGACUUAGAACAAGAUACAACUGCACAAAAGAGACACAAAAAGAUCAGCAGAUCUAAUAGAUACAAGUCAUGGAUUUCUUGUACAAGAUUUAACUUAGCGGAGAGUAGCAUGUAUGUGCUUGUGUUGAUGUGUGUAUUGCCUAUGCGACACUAAAAAACACAGAGGAACACGUACAACAAGCUGAACAGAGGGAUGGAUGCAUCAGAUGUGCAAAAAACCAGAAAGGCAAAAAUGCCAUCAGAGGCUAUUCCCCGUUGCUUUUAGUCUGUUUAUAGUACUCUCCCUCUAUUCCCUAAAAGAGUGCAUGUUAGUUUUGUCCUAAGUAACUUUUUAAAGUUUGACUUGUUUAUUGAUAUAAAUAUCAACAUCUACAAUAUACCAAAUAAAUACACUAUGAAACAUAUUUCAUGGUAGCUUUAGAUGUUAAUAUUUUAUCUAUAAACUUGGCUAGCUAAAGUUAGAAAAUGUUUGACAAAGGAAACUGAUAUACUAUCCAGAAUGGAGGGAGUAUUAUGAAAUCCCCAAAGCAUAAGUAGGAAACAGUAACUGUAGUUUCUUUGGAGAGGAACAAAAAAAAUUAAACUAUUUGCAUCCCAUGGUCUGUUUUUACCUUACUAUCAGAUUCAUCGGCAUUACGGAGAUGGUCCACCAUCUUGGCAACACGCCCACUCUUUACCAUUCUUCCACUGGAACCGCCAGAAUUGCCAUGUCUACUAGUUUGACUGCGGGUGCCAUUUUUGCCCCAGGCAGGCAUCUCUCCCCUUAGUGGAGAAGUAGUCAAGAUAUCUCUGACACCUCCCAGAUCAUCGUUACCCUCAUAGGUACCAUCGAUACUGCCAAUAGUCUUCGAAGGGGAUGGGCGUGGCACAGGCCACCUCCGAGCUCUUUUUACCUUUACAUCUGGAGAACGAUCAUCGACAGAAGACGACUCUUUGCUGCCAUCAUUGCCAUUUUCUUCUUUAUCCUCGUCAUCAAUAUCAGAUGUGACAAUAUCAGGUGAACUAGUUCGUCCUCUCCUCUUUGCCCGCAGAUUCCCCCGAGUCUUUCUUGAAGAAGCAAUUGCUUUUGCAGUGGAACGCUUCUUCACAAGUGCUUCCGUUUGUCGUCGAAACGUUUCGGCAAUGGAUUCUUGAAUCUUCCAUGAGGAAUGAAACAAAUGUCAAUAACAAAAAGAACCCAAAUAAGAAAUGGCCAGGGCAAAUAAUUUAUCUCCAUGCGUAAAUGCAUCAAUGCUUGGCAUCCAAAUAAACCCACCUUUUUGUUGCGAGUCUUCUCCUCUUCACCAAAAGCGAGUUCCUGUCAAUGUCAAGGCUAAUUAGAGUCACUAGCAUAGGUACUACAAAAAAACUAGUAAAAAAGAGUUACAUGAACUAAGUGUAACAACUGGAGUACUUAUGCAUCACCUCUUCCUCAUACUUGUCAAUAUCUGGAUAUAAAGCCAAAAUUAAAGCAUCAAAAUUAGGAUCAUCCCUCAAGGAACGUCUGCUCUUGCAAUGAGUGCGGCAUGCUGGGCAUUCAUUAUUUCUGCAAAAAGCACUGCAUCACUUAUAUUGUCAUUGAAAUAAAGUACUAUGUUGUUGGAUUUUUCAAACCCCAACCAGGUUGGAACUCCACCAUUUUUAAAAAUACGACAAUGAGAGAAGACAAUUAAGACAAAUAAAACAAGAGUCAUACCCAAGCCGCAUUGACUUAUCUAUGCAAUCCCUACAAAACCGGUGCAAACACUCCAUAACAGUUCUUGUUUUCCGGAUAAUGCCUGCAACAUAGGACCAUAAGACAAGAAAAUUGUAAGAUAUGACAGUUUGCACGACAAUGCUACUUAGUUUCACAUACUAAAAGCUUAUUCAACCUAGCUUCUAAUAUGUGCAAAGCUAGUUGCACUUGUACAAACUUCUGUGUGUGAGGAUCAUAAGCUUUGCUGUGUGACUUUUUUAAACGAAAACGAGGCACAUAUUCCCUAGACACCUUAUUAAUCUGAGAACAGUACGAGUAUGCAUACUUGCAUAAUAGAAACAUGUGGACCUUGAAUUUGCUAGUUUCAACAUUUUUAGUGAAUAGUACUCCAUCUGUCCGGAAAUAAGUGACUUGGAUUUGUAUAGAUUCUUAUACAAAUCCAAGUCACUUAUUUCCAGACGGAGGGAGUAGUAAAAACCUGAGAUCUAUAGAAUAACAUCAUCCAAUUGUAAUUACAAGUAACACUACCAUGACAGAAAUUGCGCAAAGCAAAAAAGAAUUCACAUCUAUGAACCUGGAAGCGAGUUGGCAAUGGAAAGGCAUAUCCUUACCUAAGCAUAUAGGGCACUGCACUUCCUUCCGUAUGUCCAUUAGUUUCACUACUAUAAACCUGCAUGAGAAAACAAUAUUGUUUAUCUACCAGUUUCAGGCUUCAACACCAAAAUCAAAUAUUCCAGUAUCCAUAGGCACAUCAAUUACUGAGAACAAUAACUGAGAAUGUAUUCCAUAAUAGGAUUACAGGAAACAGCAGGAAAAAUGGAACUAUUGGCACCUGAGCAGUAAUUGAACAUUGGAAACUCAAAUUUGACAAGUGGAAGCAGAGCCGAUUGGAUUCAAUUAACCAGCUGACGGUUCUAAGCAGUACCAAAGAAGUCCAAAAGAUACACAAUAGGAGGUCUACGAAGACUGCACCUAUGUAAUUAUCUGUAUCAAAUGUAACAAGGUAUGUGUGCCGAAAUCUGACAACAGAGUUUAUGUAAUGAACAAAUUGUUUUCCUACUACGAAAAUGCACUGACCCCCAACAGUAACACGAUGAGGAGAGUUGCAACUAGAAGCUAGUAUUAACUACAGUGACACAUGUAGACAAUAGAGAAGCUCUCGCAAAAAAAGAAAAAAGACACAAAAGAACUCUGAUCUACAAUGUUCGAUUCCUGAAUUUCAGUUGCGAGGACAUAUUCAUAAACACAGCUGUGAGUUUCAGCACUGAGGAAAGAUUCUUGAAGACAGCUGAUGGAAGGCAUAAUCAUAAGCUAUCACAAGAAUAAGAAAUUCAUGUGCACUAAACUGAGUUAAGACACCUAAACAGGGUAAGAACUAUCGCAAUCAUGGAGGUCAGGAUAGCAACAGUAGAACCAGAGAGCAGAUAUUCAGAGCACGACAGCACAAUUCAUGACCAAGAAAUUCGCAGUCUCUUCCAAUGCACUACAGGGAACACGAAGAAGAGGUCCCAGUACAGAAGAAGGUGACACCUGCUACGAAACUGAUAACCCACUGGGAGAUCUUAUAUGGGAUGGAUGAGCUUGAAUGAUGUUUGCCACUAGAGCAUGGCGUCUCCACAGAACCAUUCAACAUGAUGAACAGGUUGUAGGGCGGCCAUGCUGGCCUGGCCAGGGAGCUCACACGGGCGAGUAAGCAUAAGCAUAGUAAGAUUAUUGCGAUCCAGCAGGUCAGGCUAGCAGCGACGAGCCAGGACGGAAGUGUUGGCCGUGGCUGCACAAGAAUCAGGAGGAAGAAAAACAGUGAACAGAUGAGCCACGACGAAUAGAACUGCCAAUUCAGAUGUGGCUGGCGGUUCCAGCGUAACAGCUUCAGCGUGCGGCGAUCCAUCCUGGACGACGCCGCAGGCAUUUGCCGUCACGAGCACUGCGCCUCCGGGGAGCCGUAUGACGGAAGCAUGCAUGCUACAGAAGAUCCCAUCCCGUGCCUCGGCGGUGACGGGAGGGCUGGCGCCGGCGCGGCACGAACGAAGCGGCCAGCACCUGUGCCGCCGGCUCCCACCGCCUAACAAGAAGGACUCGAGGGGGCCCGCCGCCGCCGCCGCCACGACAAAACCCAAGCCAGCAUACGGGGCACGACGCCACGAAGAUCCCUUGCCUCAGAGGCUGCAGGAGAGUUCGAGUCGUCGAGGUAAGACGAAGCGGCCGCCGGCCAGGCCAGACUCCUCCCGACGGUGGCCUCCGGACCUCGGUACCACCCCGAGAAAACCGAAGCUGCCGUAGUACGGGGACGCGGCGCGACGAAGACGGCAAAUCACAACGGAGGGCAGAGGAGGCGGAGGAGAAGGAGAUGGUAAGGGGUGGAGGAGGGAGGAGAGUCGUUCACGGGUCCACUUACUCGUCCAUGUCGCCUUCGCUCUCCGACGACUCGCUGUCGUCGUCGUCGCGUUCUUCGUCGUCGACCCCGCCGCCGACGCCGCCUUCCACCUGCUGCAGCGCCUCCUCCGCCGCAUCGGAAUCUGCCAAGCCCAUCAGACACGCAAGCCGGUUAGCGACCCCAACGCAGGAACAGCGAACGCGAUGCGUAGCGCACGCGUACGCAUCGCGCGAAGGAAAAGAGAGGAGAGGCUGCGUCGGCGUCGGGAGGGACGUCGUGGAAGAGCUCACCACCGUCGCGGCGCUCCUUGGCCAGCUCCGCGGGGCCGGCUCCGUUGGCGGCCACCACCUUCGGGGAGCGCGCUCCGCCUCCGCCUCCGCCGCCGCCGGCCUCGGUGCCAGAAACAGCGGCGCCGUGAGCUUCCUCCUCGACGUGGUUGCCGUCCUGGUCGCCGCCAGCGGACGGCGGGAGCGGGCGCUUCUGCGCAGGCAUUCCGGCCCACCCCGCGCUGCGCUCGUCUCGGAGGAGAGGGGCGAGUGAGAAGGAGGAGGGGGAGGUGGGUGGAAGAAGCGGCUCGAGUCGAGGAGGAGAGGGGGAAGGCGAGGCGGAGAGCGAGAGGAAAAGAAAGGCAAGGCAAGGCAAAGGCAAAGGCAGGCAGGGGACGGGUGCCCCUCUGCUAUGUAGUACUCCUGUGUCGCGUGUAACUUUGGGUUGGUGCCUGCCGCUGCGUCGACCCGGCCCGGCGUGGGAUGGCUUCGUUGGCUCGCGUCUGCCGUGACCGCGAGGCGCGGCGCAUGCAGGGGCGCCCGGCCGCCGCCAAACCCGCGCGCGGCUACUCUGCGGUUUCCCAAUCUUUCCAGCCGUUGGAUAUUCGAUGGGAGAGUUCUCGUCCCCUCGAGCAAAAUCCGAAGCCGCUGGCGAAUAGUGUUCAGGGGGUGGUGAUCGCUACGGGCAAAAAUUAACUCCAGUCGAGUUGUUCCGAGGCAAAAUAGACCGGCAGAAAAGAAAUGCUCGUCGCCGUCUCGGAGCCGGUAAGUGUCGUCGGUGAAUUUCUUAGGUCAACGGGAACCACAGCCCCUGCAUCUGCUAAAACAGAUCGUCCCAUCGCAGACUCGAUUUUCAAAAGGCUUGUCAAUCAUGGUAGAGUUCUCACUGCGGCGUUAAUUAAGUGCUUUGGAGGUAUUAAGUGGAUCUAGCAUGCAUGAAUAUUUCUCAUAAAGUUUUCAUAAGAUAUGUGUGUGUUGCGAAAGAAAUGUCAUCGAGUAAGAUUUGAGAACAAUUUGGUACUGUAUACAAGAUAGGUAAAAAAAGUUGGUAACCUGUGUGUGAAAUUUAAUUAGGUUGGGGUGGCGUGUGUGAUACGACAAUGUGCGCAAAAAACGCGUGAUUAUUUAGUCUAAAGUUAAUACCUGCAAAUAGCGCCGAACAAGCGGGCCUCGACAAAACGUGGCACAUGAGGUUACCGUCUGUAUCGACAGUCCGUCACGCGUAUAUGUGGCCGGCAUACCCGCAUUGCUCUUACUUUAACCACCAACAUUGAUAUUUCCUUAACAGCUUUUUUCGUUGUUAUGAUUUCAGUUUCCACUUUUGAAGGUCUUUGGAAAAAAUGAAUGUGAUUGCUAAUGUGAUUCUUGUUUUGUUGCAUCGGCUCCACGUUUCCCUAUUUGUGUUUAGUACGUCCAUCGCUAUUCACUCUGUUUCAAGAUAUUUGGUGAUCGGAGACUCGAUUUUCACAAUAGGUGUCGAUCAUUGUAGUGUUUUCAUUGGGGCCUUAUUAAGUGCUUCGAAGAUAUCAAGCGGAUCUAGCAUGCAUGGAUAACUUUCAUUAAUUUUCCAUAAGAUUUGUAAGUUGCUAAAGAAAUGUCGUCAAGUAAAAAGUAAAAAGUGAGGACAGUUUAGCACACAAUAUAUCUUCGAAAUUUGGUAAAUCUGCUUGUGCCCUUUUUCCUCCUGCCUUUUUUUAUUAUUUUCCUUGUGUUUCUUUAUGUAUUAUUGGGGUCAAUCUCGUAUCGAUCCUCUUGGCAAUAAAUAACGGGUUGUGUUGCUCCGUAAAAAAUGGUAACCUGUGUAUGAAUCUUAAUUUGGUUGCUGGAUGGCGUGUGUGAUACAACUUUGUGAGCAAAAACGGUUGGUUGGUAAAAAAUAAUUCCUAGAAAUAGGGCCGAAAGAGCCGGCCUCGACAAACGUGGCACAUGAGGUUAUCGUCUAUAUCGACCAUCCAUCACGCGUAUAUGUGGCCGGCAUACCCGCAUCGCUCUUUCUUUAACCGCCAACAUUGCUAUUUCCUUAACAUCUUUUGUCGUUGUUAUGAUUUCAGUUUCCACUUUGAAGGUCUUCGAAAAAGAUGAAUGUGAUUGCUAUUGCCAGGAAGAAUGUGAUUCCUUUUUUGUUGCAUCGGCUGCACGUUUCCCUAGUUGUGUUUAGUACGUCCGUCGCUAUUUACUCCGUUUCAAGAUAUUUGGUGAUCGGAGACUCGAUUUUCACAAUAGUUGUCGAUCAUUGUAGUGUUUUCAUUUGGGCCUUAUUAAGUGCUUCGAAGAUAUCAAGUGGAUCUAGCAUGCAUGGAUAUUUUUCAUUAAAUUUACAUAAGAUUUGUAAGUUGCUAAAGAAAUGUCGUCAAGUAAAAAGCGAGGACAUUUUAGUACACAAUAUAUCUACGGUUUUUGGUAAAUAUGCUCAUGCCCUUUUUCUUCCUACCUUUUUUUUUAUUAUUUUUACUGUGUUUCUUUACAUAUUCUCGGGGUCAAUCUCGUAUCAAUCCUCUUGGCACUAAAUAACGGGUUGUGUUGUUUCCGUAAAAAAAAAUGGUAACCUGCAUAUGAACCUUAAUUAGGAUGCUGGAUUGCGUGUGUGAUACAACUUUGUGAGCAAAAAAGGUUGAUUGGUCAAAAUUAAUUCCUAGAAAUAGGGCCGAAAGAGCCGGACUCGACAAAACGUGGCACAUGAGGCUGUCACCUUCUAUAUCGAUGGUCCAUCACGUGUAUGUGUUGUCUGCAUACCCGAAUCGCCCUUUCUGUAACCACUUUUGUCACCGUUUAAAAUCUUUGGACUUUGUUGUCAUUUUCUUUUGAGUUAUGUUUCCACUUUUGGAGGUCUUCGAGAAAAAUGAAUUCUAUUUUUUGGCAUCUAAGGCAUGAAUACUCUCCUCAAUGAAAAUGCCAAAUUCAAAAUCUCACCAAGCCCGGGCACGUUAAGCCCCGUGGGCCCACCGAAGCCCGCCACAACACAUGGGCCAGAUCAGUGAAAAAAUGGAAAAAAAAGUUGGGUGGGCCAGAUUAGAGAAAAAAAUGGAAAAAAAAGGUUGAGAUGGAACAAACAAGAAGGGAUGGGCUAAAAGAAAAAAAAUGGUGGGUUGGGCCAGAAUUAAGAAGGUUAAUGAACUAAUGUUUUAAUCCCGAGAAAAAAAUAUAAACGGUCUGAGGACGAAGCGCAGGCGGGCCGGCCCGGCCCGAUUAGUUCGGGCCUGGCACACUCGGGCCUAGCUCGCUGGGCUUUCGAUCUUUUGAAAAAAGCACAGCCCGAUGGCAUCUAUACCCCAACCCCGUCGCCCUCGAGCGAGCGCCGCCACCCUUCCUCCCCAUCCCGCUGCCGAGAGCCCCAACCCCCUCGCUCCGUCGCGAGUAUUCCUCCUCGCGCGAGCGCCUCCACCGCCGGUAUCUAUCUCCCCUUCGAUUCUCUCGCUCCCGACCGUUUCUCCUCCCAUCACCCCACGAACUGAUCCCGCCCUUUGGCUCCCCAUUUCAGCUCCUUCAUCUUCCCCAAUUCGUAACCGAGGCAAAAAUCAAGGUAGGGCGGCCGCCCUACCUUGUCCUACCGGGUCCUCCGCCCUUGGUGGUGGCAGCAGUAGCCCAGCCGCCGGUCGCCACCAUGUGCGGUAUCCUCGCUGUCCUCGGCGUCGCUGACGUCUCCCUCGCCAAGCGUUCCCGCAUCAUCGAGCUCUCCCGCCGGUAAUACGCCCGGCCGUCUCAUCCCCUACUGUUUCCGUUUGUCCCUGAAUUGCUAGAAAUUUGGUGGUGCAUUUGUGUGGUUGGGAAUCGUCGUCCUGCCGACAUGUACAUGUGGGACAACUCUGAUGAUGUCGAGCUCGCUUUAUGUUAACUACUCUUAGUUAUUUUACCUACAGUGUGAAGCUAUUCUUGAGGAUUUUGGAAAUUGAGUAUAAUGUACAGUAUGUCGGCGUAGAUUUGGCGAAGUACAGAACAUUGAAGUGUUCAUUUGGAAAGUAUGGACAGUUUUAUUGAAGUGUUCAUUUGGAAAGUAUCGGCAGUUUUUUUAAUCUGAGGAGAUGUUCCUCUUGCAUGCUGAUAAAAUUUCAAACUAUUUACUUCAAAUUGCUUAAAAUGUAGUUUCUGUAGUGAUGCGUCCAUUUUAUUGGAUCUUGCGUUUGUGGUGACAAGCAUGGAUUUUUGUAUUGGUAUGGUGUGCUGUAAUUUGACUCAAUCUGUCAAGGCAUGGGAAGUUAAUGCCUGUGAAUGUGCAUGUUGUCCUUGGCGUGUGACAAUACGCCAGAACGAUGUUUGGGAUGUUAAGAAUUAUGGUAAAAGGCAGUUUACACACAAGCUGUGGAAAAUUUCACUUCUGUGUGUAAAAAAAAAUCUUUUACGGUUAUGCUCGGAGAGUAUGAUUUCAAAUGUUGGCAAGGCAUAAUUUGCUACGUCAUCCUGUUCGCCUUUUCCAUCUUUAGAUUAGAGCGAUUUAAAUAAAGUAGUGUUACAUUAAAUUUGGAAUUAGAUCCAGAUGCAGAUGUUCUGUACUGUAGUGACUAAAAUUUAUGUGCGCCAUUUGCUAGUUAAUUUUUUUGGGCAAGAUAUGGCAGUACGGCACAUUAUAUGAAUUGCUUAUGUACCACUGAAUUGAAUUUUGCCAAAAAAAAUUGUAGGUUACGGCACAGAGGCCCUGAUUGGAGUGGCAUACACACAUAUCAGGAUUGCUACCUUGCACACCAGCGGUUGGCUAUUGUUGAUCCCACAUCUGGAGACCAGCCAUUGUACAAUGAGGACAAAUCAGUUGUUGUCACUGUAUGUAUCUGGAUUUAUAAUGAAAUUUCACUGUUUUCAUACAUACUCCCUCCAUUUCACAAAGGUUGGCGUAUUUUAUUUCGUUAAGACAAGGCUUUGACCAUUAAAACUCUAUUGAUAUGUUUUUCUCAUACAUGAAAUUAAUAUCAACGGAUUCGUCUUUAAAAGUUCUUGCUAAUGAUCAUGGUAUCAUAUAACUUACAUAUUAGUAUAGUAAUUAUUGGUCAACGGCUUGUCUUAACGAAACCAAAUACGCCAACCUUUGUGAAAAGGAGGGAGUAUUGUUGUGCUCAUAGUGGCUCAUUUUUCAACCUAUAACAUAUGAUAUGUCUUACUGUUCUUCUUUUGGCAAUUCUUAUGUCUCUGUAUGAUUUUGCCAUGGGAUUUAUAUGUGUUGUCAUUGGGCUCUGCUCAUCGCAUCUUUUGGCACGACUUUAAUCAAUGGUUUGUUCUUUUUGAUAGUUUUUGUUACCUUUUGGUUGACAUUUCAGGUGAACGGAGAGAUCUAUAACCAUGAAGAACUGAAAGCUAAUCUGAAAUCUCACCAGUUCCAAACUGGUAGUGAUUGUGAAGUUAUUGCUCACUUAGUAAGUCAUCUACUAUAUGUCCAUUUUGCAAAUUCUGUUGGUGUCAUCUCGUGUAGCUUUUGCCAACACUUUUUGAUAUCUUCAUCUAAACAUCACCUUCCACUACACACAUUUGUUAACAUCUGCAUGUAUUUUUUUUCACAGUAUGAGGAAUAUGGGGAAGAAUUUGUUGACAUGUUGGAUGGCAUGUUCUCUUUUGUGCUUCUCGACACGCGUGAUAAAAGCUUUAUCGCUGCUCGUGAUGCAAUUGGCAUCUGUCCUUUAUACAUGGGCUGGGGUCUUGAUGGUAUGUAAAGAACCGGUUCUUUUAGCUAUUUGUCCUUUUGAACAAAACAAGGAAGGUUAGGUCAUAAUUUUUUUUUCCUGAUCUGGACCCUUGGCAGGGUUUGCUUGUUUAUACCACUGUUUUAGUGGUUGUUCCAUGUAUCAAGUUGUUCAAUUUGGUUACCUACGGGUGGAGAAAAACUGGUUGUGUCUAUGUUCAUUUAAGUUCAGAUUAAGAUCAAACAAAUGCCUAUUUGAUUACAGUAGAAUGGAAUAAGACCAACUAAUUUGCAGAAAAGAGCAAAAAAUCCUAUAUCUAUCAUAGCCAUAAAUCCCACAAAACAAUUUGUAGUGGUAUUCGUAAAAAUAAUAUAAAAUAUUGGAUUUGUAUCUCAUCAUCUGGACUUUGAUAACUCGAAUGUAGAAGUGUUAUCUAGGUUGCGAUAUCUUGCAGUUUGAAUGUGUGACAGGGAAUAUGUAGAUUGCCAUCCGGGAUAUACACAAGAAUUGCCAAGUUAACAGCUAAUUCAGUAUAUGGAUAGUUAUGCAAAGAUGCUGAGUUCUUCGUAUUGUCAAAAAACACGGUUGACUGUAUGUGCAAAUACAGCAAACGCAAAGUUUAAAUUGCAUGCAAAGUCAACUGGCUUAAUGCCGGCUCCCCCUGUUGCCUAUCUCUUCUUUUGUUUAAUACUGACCAGUCCACCAGGCUGAUCUUGCUGAAUCUAAUAUUUGGAAACCUGUCUCUAGGCAAUGCUGUUGCCCAACAACAAAAGAAGUGCUCAUUUUGAUAUACACAAGUAAAAAAAUUCCUUGGAAUCUGGAACAACUGCACAGUGUAGUGUCAGCACCUAUCACAGUUGUCACAAUCUUAUCGAUUUAAUUGGUUUCUACUAAGGAUUAAUUUGUAUAUUUAUUGGUUUUCAGGGUCAGUUUGGUUUUCUUCAGAGAUGAAGGCAUUGAGCGAUGAUUGCGAACGCUUCAUAUCCUUCCCCCCUGGCCACUUGUACUCGAGCAAAACAGGUUUACUUUUCUUUUUACAUUUGUGACAAAUUGGCAAUUUCAUUCUGCAUGAUACCAGAAAUGUAAAUUUUUAAACCCUGAAGGCAAUAAUGGUUUGAGCUAGUACUAUUUAUGCUGCAAGUAUCCUUUUGUUUUGCCUGCUAAUCUGUUUUCUAACAUCCGUUCUAGGUGACCUAAGGAGGUGGUACAACCCACCAUGGUUCUCAGAAAGCAUUCCCUCAACUCCUUACAAUCCUCUUCUCAUCCGAGAGAGUUUUGAGAAGGUUGUGCCUUUCCAUUUCCUCUCUGUUACAUUUUCGUACCAUGGAUAAAGUAUAUUUGAUUUGUUGAUGUAGGUUUAUCAAUAAGCCCACUCCCCUCUCCCCUGUCUCAGUUGCCCCCUCAAACCAUUUUUGGGCUAUCAUAUCUAGAGCUCCUGUCUGAUUUUUGGAGGACGAUAUCGUUUUGUAAAGUAAAAAACAUAAUUGCAGCCUGUGGUGUGAAGUAUAUGCGUGUAUAUUUUGGUUUACAAAUAUGAAAAGUUUGUGACCUGUGGAAAAGCAAGCAACAUAUGCAUGUUUUUGGCACAGGUGGCAGAUUGUCAUAUUUUUUUAACCAAAAGUUGUAUGUGUAUACUCCACCCCAGAAACUACAUGUACUCCCUCCGUCCAACCAAAGAUGUCUCAAGUUUGUCAAAAUUUGAAUGUAUCUAGACAUGAUUCAGUGUAUAGAUGCAUUCAAAUUUAAUCAAAGUUGAGACAUCCUUUGUUGGACGGAGGGAGUAUGAUUUAUUGAUUUUAGAAAUAUUAUGUAUGGUUUAUCCUUCCAUAGACUGGAUAGUGGGUUAAAAACUUAAAAUGGUCCAGAUAUGAUUUGAUGCUGAUAUGAUGUAUUGAUGCCUCUGGUUAGGCAAUGUUUGUUCGAAAUAUCCCGCUUGGUAUUUCAUGAGUAAUAGGUUAUUGCAGCACCCUGCAACCACAGUGAUGUUUCAGUGUGUCCAUUUCUAUAUUAAGAUCUUACAUACAUGACGUGUCGUUCUAAACCAUGCUGAUUGUAUGUGUAACUAAAUGGGAGUGUAAAUACAAUUUCUUAACUUCAGUGUUUUACCUAUACCAUCUACUAUAUUUUCUUAUAUAACUUACAAAUGCUGCAGGCUGUUAUUAAGAGGCUGAUGACUGAUGUGCCAUUUGGUGUUCUCUUGUCUGGUGGACUUGAUUCUUCAUUGGUGGCUUCUGUUGUUUCACGGCACUUGGCAGAAACAAAAGUUGCCAGGCAGUGGGGAAACCAACUCCAUACCUUUUGCAUUGGUUUGAAGGUACAUUUCUUAAUAUUGUGUGCUGGUGUAUCAUGUCAGGUCUUUUUUUAAAUCUAGUUGUUCUCUUGCUGUUAUGAGUAUUCUUAGCAGAAAAGAGGAAACUUUCUAUGGAGUAUCAACAGAUGACAGACAGUAUCAUUCUGCUUUGCAUUUUUGUAGGGUUCUCCUGAUCUUAAAGCUGCUAAGGAAGUUGCUGACUACCUUGGCACAGUGCACCACGAAUUACACUUCACAGUGCAGGUUCAUUAUCGGGUUUUUUUCCUUUGCAUGUAAGAAGAGACAUUUUGAAGUUCUUAUUCGUUGCUAUCAAUAAAAUACCAGGAGGGCAUUGAUGCACUGGAAGAAGUUAUUUACCAUAUUGAGACAUAUGAUGUAACGACAAUAAGAGCAAGUACCCCAAUGUUCUUAAUGUCUCGUAAAAUCAAAUCGUUGGGUGUGAAGAUGGUUCUUUCAGGAGAAGGUUCAGAUGAAAUAUUUGGUGGUUACCUUUACUUUCAUAAGGCACCAAACAAGAAGGAAUUCCACGAGGAAACAUGCCGGAAGGUAAUUAAAGAUCAGUGUUAGUACCGUUAAAUUGCGAUUGCUCUUUUUGAUUUAUAUACUACCUUUGUUCCAUAAUUCUUGUCUCAAAUUUGCCAAAAAAAUGGAUGUAUCUAUUCCUAAAAAGCAUCUAGAUACAUGUAAUAUUUCGACAAGAAUUAUGGAACGGAGGGAGUAUAUGCUAAGUUGUUCAGAUGGUGCAUGUGCACAGCAUGGCUAGCUGAUGAACUUAUGGGAGUUGUUUCGCCUGACCUUUAGAUAAAAGCUCUCCAUUUAUAUGAUUGUCUGAGAGCGAACAAAUCAACUUCUGCCUGGGGUCUUGAGGCUCGUGUUCCUUUCCUUGACAAAAACUUCAUCAAUGUAGCAAUGGAUAUUGAUCCCGAAUAUAAGAUGGUAUGUAAUUUGUUAUAACAUUGUAGUGCAUGUAAUUUCAAUCUAUCUAUGUUUCGUUUAUUCUUACCUGCAUUAUGACUUAUAAUUAUCAUUUUGAAAAUAAUAAUAGAUAAGACGUGACCUUGGCCGGAUUGAGAAAUGGGUUCUACGCAAUGCAUUUGAUGAUGAUGAGAAGCCCUAUUUACCUAAGGUUGGAGAAGUUAACUUUUGUUGUGUUCUAUUUACUCUGUUAUUUGCACAGACUUGACGAUUUAUUUUCUGCGAGCAGCAUAUUCUUUACAGGCAAAAGGAACAAUUCAGCGAUGGUGUUGGGUACAGUUGGAUUGAUGGAUUGAAGGACCAUGCUAGUGAACAUGUACACCAUCUUUUCUUUGUCAAACUAUUCAUAACUUCACAGUAUAUUAAUUCAACUUGCAAUGUUUUUACCACUUUUAUCCCCUCUUCAGAACUCAGUUUUUCUGUUCAUUGUUCAGGUGUCGGAUUCCAUGAUGAUGAAUGCUAGCUUUGUUUACCCUGAAAACACACCCACAACAAAAGAAGCUUACUAUUAUAGGACAGUAUUCGAGAAAUUCUAUCCCAAGGUCUGGAAGCUAUUUACUCUUAUCAUGAUAUUCUCAGAUGUUUCAUUUGCAUAAAAAAAAGUCAGCAUGCUCUCGAUUUGACGAACCUGUCAAUUAUGCAGAAUGCUGCUAGGUCAACUGUACCAGGAGGCCCGAGUGUGGCAUGCAGCACUGCUAAAGCUGUUGAAUGGGAUGCCGCCUGGUCCAAACACCUUGACCCCUCCGGUCGUGCUGCUCUCGGUGUGCAUGAUGCAGCUUAUGAAGAUUCUCUAGAAAAGGCUCCUGCAUCCGCAGAUCCCGUCUCAGAAAGCGUUUUCCGUCCAGCCCAUGGGGAAAGCCUAGCCAAAACCGUUGCUCCAGCCGCUGCUGUUUGAGCUCCAUGGUCCCAUAAAAUGCUUUAAAAAAAUGUUGUUUAGUUUUGUUCCAGCUUAAUCAGCAGCUUGUAGUCAGUUCCUUAAGUCAUGCAGUGUAGAAAUUGACUUGUUUUCCUUGAUGCUUGCCAUAAUGUUUCGGUUCCAUAUGCACUAAGUUCGUUUAUGGGCUGAGCAUCGCAUUGUAAAUACAUCUCAGUGAUUGAUAUUCUUCAGUUGGUUAAUUUCAAAGUUUCAUUAGACUCCUACAUUGCUUUCUUGUUUGGGUGAUAAUAUCGACAUCCGGAAUGAACAAUAUCGAGGACAUAUCCACCACUAUAAAGCCACGGUUUGUCCAUUCUAUUUUUUGUGUGCUUUCUGAGUUCAUUGUUCAGGCCGUCGCCGGGUUACCUGUGCCAACGCCGAACAAACAGGGGUGCCGAGCAUCCCUGCUGUUGGGGUUUCAGGCACAGACAUUUGGCGCGUCAUGCAGGGGAAGGAAUAGAGGGGACUAUCCCAGUUUUCUCUCAUAAAAUAUUUCAUUUUUUAUCAAUUAAAAACACUUCUCACACUAGUAUUUUAAAAAACACUAGUGUUUUGAAAUGAAAGGUUUUUUUUUAGUAUUGGGUGAAUACCCAAUCCCCUCAUAUAUCAAUACACUAAUCACUAAAAAAAUACACUAGUGACAAACGAGACCUUUGUUAUUUUUUAUGUUUUUGGUGGUAGCUGAUGCAACACAUUGUGUUACCUUAUAUUGAUAAGGAUGGUUCGAUCUUCUCGGAGAGUAACGAGGAUAACUUGUAUGAUUCUACAAAUCUUCCGGCUGUUCACCCGUCUCCGCACAAUGAACUUGCAACCCAAUGGAAAUUCGCAACACCACACACUUGCGCAGUAGUCUGCCGAUCACAAGCGGUUUCACAAUCUUCCAAUUCCUAGCGGAACGACAGAUUACGCUCGAACUUUCAGUAUAUAAAACACCCCAUCGAAACGAAUAUGGUGUAGGUAGAAUUCCUGAUCGAAACAAAGAGGAAUUAUAUACUUUCAGAUGAAUGCUUGGAGCAAUUCAACAAAAGGUUCUGAAUAAGCUAAAAUGUGGCGAGGAGUAGCCAAAACUCAAUACAGACUCCGACUCAAACUCAAACUAGAAUUCGACUCAGACUCAAACUAGAACUAGAAUUCGACUCAGACUCAAACAUGGACUCGCAGAUUUGGGCGCUCCUUAGAUGUGUCGGACUCGUCGUAAGCUGUCCUGGUGCGCCUCAUAUUCGUACACGACUUGUGGUGCAUCCUGAGCAUAUCAUCCUUGUCAUUGGCUGCCCCUUGCACACAAGACAUUCUUCUAACUUGUAUCCUUCAUCUUCACUUUUGGUGCGUCUGCCUCCCUCUCCUUCCUCGCGCAUAUCUUGAUGUCGGAUAUCAGCGCUUAAAGAUCCGUACCCUCAUUAUCCUCCCCCUUCUUCAAAAAGCGUUGUCCUCAACGCUGAAAGGUCUUUUCCAGCGGGUGGAGUCAGAUCAGCAACAUCGCCACACUCCAUCUUCAAACCUCGCCGGUCUGCCACACCACGUCCUCCCUCUCGGCUAGCUUGGCCUGCCCUCGACGCCACUUCCGUUGUCGGCGCCACCAAUCUGAUUGAGACAUAAAGCAUCCUCCGAAUGUAAUGAAGCACACCUCGCAUAUCACCCCGAACAAACAGGACAAAUUCCUGUACGCUAAGAGUCCAAAUAAGCUGAGUACACCCGUAUGUGCAAUCUGAUUGGAAACCAAUGUCUCUUUUUCCUUUUAUUCCUUUCCUUGUUGUCCUUGUGAAGCCAGAAACUUCCCAGAAUUCAGAACUUGCAGGGGAAACUUGCCGGAACUUGCCGGGGAAACUUGCUGGAACUUGUCGGGACUUGUCGGGACGUGCCGUGAAGUUGGAUCUGAAUUUCUUGGCUACACGUGCACCCACAAAUCUCCUCUUGCCUUUUUUUUCGUAGCGCUCUGAUACCAAGAUGAUAAGGGGUGGCCCGAUCUUCUCAGAGAGCAACGAGGAUAACUUGUAUGAUUCUACAAAUCUUCCGGCUGUUCACCCGUCGCCGCACGACGAACUUGAAACCCAAUGGAAAUUCGCAACACCACACACUUGCGCAGUAGUCCGCCGACCACAAGCGGUUUCGCAAUCUUUCAAUUCCCAGCGGAACGACAGAUUACGCUCAAACUUUCAGUAUAUAAAACACCCUAUCGAAGCGAAUAUGGUGUAGGUAAAAUUCCUGAUCGAAACAAAGAGGAAUUAUAUACUUUCAGAUGAAUGAUUCAACAAAAGGUUCUAAAUAAGCUAAAACGUGGUCUCCCCUAAACCUAGGCGUACUCCUUGUUUAUAUAGACGAGAAGUAGCCAAAACUCAAUACAGACUCCAACUCAAACUCAAACUAGAAUUCGACUCAGACUCAAAUAUGGACUCACAAAUCCGGGCGCUCCUUAGACGUGUCGGACACGACUUGUGGUGCAUCCUGAGCAUAUCAUUCUCGUCGUUGGCUGCCCCUUGCACACAAGUCAUUUUUCUAACUUGUAUCCUUCAUCUUCACUUUUGAUGCGUCUGACUUCCUCUCCUCCCUCGCGCAUAUCUUGAUGUUGUUACAGUUGAGGAUCCGUGCCCUCAUCAUAUAUGCUCUUGAUCAAGUUUGAGAAGUUUGCUUCGUCUGUGAUCCAUUAUGGAGUUGUAAACUGAAACUACCUAUUAUCGUUGAAGUGACGUGACAAACAGUCCAUGCGACAAUUCAAGAUGACGGGAUCGGAUUGGGCUCGCUCUCCGUAAGCACUGGAUAUGCGAGCAUUUUUCUUGUGCCACUCUGUUAUGUGAGGCAUCUUUUUUUUUAAAACAACUCUCUCUAUGUGAGGCAUUUUGUGCUUUUUUUUUUUAGAAUAGACAGCUUGUGCUAUGUAUGGUGUUUCAGGUUGUGCGAGCCCAAUUUGCCAUAGUUGGGCCGUGGGGUUUGAUCAGGGUGCUGCUGGCACGGGCCGGGCUAAGACAUCGUUGGCGAGAGUACUUAUUUCGGAUCCAUGUACUUAUUUCAGAUCCUCUAAAAAAAUGUACUUCUUUCAGAUCCACAUGCAUGUCUUACCAAAUCUCACAAAAACCUGCAAUCGCUUACCGAAUUAUCCAUGCAUUUUAAUUCCUUGUUGGCCACCGAAUUUGAGGUGAUGUGACCAUUAGGUACAAAUAUUACAUCUUGCGGUUUUCAUCAGCUUCCAUGACCAUGCAGCGCGAGGAGGAAUCACGCAGCCGAUGAGGCCACUGCAAUGUCGCCGGCAGCACCUGGAUUCCGGAUAUCAGCUACGCGCUCUAGCGAGAUACAGUACUACUUGAUUGAGUACAUCACCUUUUGGAUUGCAGUACUGGAAUCACACUACUCGACACACGCACCGCUAAGGCCAGUGAUGAGAUUGCAUGGAAUGGAAAUGGAGCACCACUUCGUGUUAAUCCUAGUGUGUAGUCAGGCGAGAGAACCAAUUGCUCCCCGCUGAAAUACAAUGAUCCUUGUAUAGUCUUCUAGUAUGUUCGUCUUGUAGAUAUUUGCAUACAGGUAGCAUUGCAAGCAGAGCCACUUUCUGCAUGCGAACUCAUCACGCUGAUUUACCAUGGUAACGGUAGCUUUUGUGCAUAAGCAUGGCAGGAGAGAAAUCGAUAAAGAUCAGGGACGGUACUCCGGAACACAAGGCCUUUCCUAUAACAGACGCAAAAGCUCCGCACUUUCGAGCACCCACCAGGCAAGAACCGGAAAAAGAACCGCACCGAACAAACCAAACCACCAUCCAUCACCGAUCGAGGUGCCGUGCGUAUCCGCCGAAAUCUGAAACGUCAUGGGAUGGGAUGGCAGCCGCGCGCGUCCACAAGGCGCUCUCGCGUCACCGAGGAGGGCGGACACAUCCAGAAUCCACCUCACUCACGAUCGAUUUCCAUCGUGCGUCCCCACAGGCGCAGCACACGACGCCGUUGUCACAGUCUCCCUCCGGCAGUUGGCCGUAGCUCAGCUCGCCCAUCUGAUAAGUAAUUCAAUAUACUGAUAUUUUGGGCAGCGUCCACACGAUGACACGGAUUUCACCUACUACUGCUACACGGAGUACGGUCAACGAAAGUCACAAGGAGACAAAAGAAGCCGGGGGGAUCAGGAUUCAGGAGCACGACUACUACCACUCCGUGACAUGUGUAAUCCAUGGUCUUCUUCCUUCCGGAGUGAUCUCAGCUAGACACGACGCGUACGGCUAACGACCGGGAUGGAUUAAAAGCAGAUUAAUUAACCCAACGCGCGCACAGGCACACGCUGUCGCUGACUCGUGGAACGGGAAUCUGGAACGCAGACGCCCUGGCAACGACCCGAAAAGAGUAGUAGUAGCAGCGGCCGCGAAGACGAUCCGGCGAAUCUGCGAGGGUCAUGCGAUCCACGAGCGUUGCCGGACCCCGCCACGGCGCCUCCCGAAUCUCGCGUACGUAUAUCAUCAGAAAACAGACAAACCACCCGAACGGGGCAGGUCGAUCGAUCCAUCGGCAAAGCCGGGCGGGCCACUCCUUGCACGGCACCAAACCGCGUGGAGAGACGAGACGAGAGGACUUUGCUGGCCGGCCGGCUACAGUUGGGACGCUGCAGCACUAGCAGUACGCCUCUUUGCAUACGGAGACGUCUCACUGACUCCGAGGGCUGGGCAAGGAUGAGAAAUGAAAAGGUUAAAGGCGCGCGGCGCCGGCCGGGCACGUCGUAAGCUCCACGUCUCUUCCGCGGUGGGCACGGACACGGGCGGACGGGCCCCAGGCGGCGGCGGUAAUGCGGACAGCGACCACGGGGACGCGGGCACGUACGUGCGCUUUGCGACGCGGGAUGCAUGCCGCCGGGUCGCUGGGGCUCGCUGUCUCUUUCCGUCCCGGAGGAGGGGGGUCCCCCCUUCCACCUUUCUUUUCUUCGCCCACGGCUCACGCGAAUUAUUCCCCGCCGCGACCAGAUCCGCCGUAGCGUAAUCCGCCAACUAUGCCACCCAGCCGCCGGCCGGGACCCACGCUACAGCAGGAGGUGUGAUCUCCGGCUAGAAGUUGCUGUGUAGUAGUGUGUUUUAUAAAGCAAGUGUGUCGGCCGAGGUUGUUUUAGCAUCUAAUCUAAUCUGGGGGAAAAAGAGUGCGGCGACCGACCUGCGUGGUGCACGAGGGAGGGGAGCAGGCUUCUCCCGGGACAACUGUCUCUCGGUUAGCAGCCGGUGGAGACGCGAGUAAAAUUCAAGGCGGCGAGUCGACUCUACCUCUACGCGAGUGUUUAGAGAAAACCAAUUGGCCACGUCGUUCACCAUCCAUGCGAAUUUUCUUUUCCUUCGAUGCAAAAGCAGAGUAUGUACAAACAGGAUGACAUGGUUUUUAGCCGAACACAUCGAAAGGACACAAGAAAUUUUGACUGCUCCCCCAAAAGCAAGCUCUGUUAAUACUAUUCUCUCCGUUUCACAAAGGUUGGCGUAUUUUGUUUCGUUAAGACAAACUUUUGAGCAAAAAUUAAUUUAUUAAUAUGUAAAUUAUAUGAUACGAAAUCAUGAUCAUUAGCAAGUACUUUUAAAGAUGAAUCCAUUGAUAUAAAUUUCAUGUAUGAAAAAACACAUAUGAAUAGAGUUUUCAUCGGUCAAAACCUUGUCUUAACGAAACAAAAUACGUCAACCUUUGUGAAAUGGAGGGAGUAGUAUACGGAUAUUUGAUUAGAAAGUAGGGACUGGUUUUGGCAAGAAGGGAGUGGAGGAUUAUUAUGCAAAAAAAAAUCUUCUUCAUUUAACCAAGCUGAAAUUCCUUGGCCCAAUUAAUAAAUAACACUGCUAGAAUGUGACUUCAUAUCGUAUUGCACUUCUUAGUAUGGAUGAAAUAUUUUGUACUUUUGAAGCAAUCACAGGGGACGGUGAGGAUCCCCACAAUCCGACAGUGACUUUACCCAGAGGAUGUGAUAAUCGAUGAUGUAUACAAGAAUGGCGUGAGCCUGAGCCGUGAUCGAUUCUGCCCAAAUCUUCCACAAGAUGGCAAGAAUAUUGGAGGGCCAUAUCGUACGUCGGGGGAGCAGGAGGUAAGAAUACCAGAUUCUUUCAUACGGAGUAUUUGAAUUAUAUAUUUUUCACGUAGGGAGAAAUACAUGUGCGGACCAUGGUUACAACGGCCUAUUUGUCCGUGUCUGUUAGCUUCACCCAGACGUGACUUCACUAUCGGGUACCUUUCGUUUUUCUUCCCCACACGUGCAUCACGUGCAAUUAAUUAUUCUGUGGCUCUUAACUAAUCUAUCGACUAGUGACCUAGUGGCGUCUAUCGAAUAGAUUCAAUCACGGCCAUACGUACAUGUUAGCACCACCGAACAUCCUCCCUAGGACGCAUGGUUCAAGAUCCAUACGCAUGGUAACAGUAUAUGUGAGCAUGGACAGUUGGAGACAGCGUCGAUCCAGUCAUGAGUAUCAUGUUGGCUUUCUACGCAUGGUAACAGUAUAUGUGGCUCCCAUUAGAUGCGGCGGUAUUGAUCUCCAGGUUGUCCUUAAUAGUUUCCCCGCUGUGCGUACGACCUUUCUGAUGAGAUGUCUUGGUCCCGACUGUGCGUACGAGCUUUCCGAUGAGAUAUCUUAGCCUGCCGCUCUCCAUCCGUCGCCUCAGGAGGAUUGACUUCAUGCAUCUUGAGGAUAAGAUUGCAAGCAAACUUGUCACUUGGCAAGGAAAAAAUAUCACAGCGGCGGGCCGUGCCACUUUGGUCAAGUCGGUCAUCACCUCUCAAGCAAUUUAUCAUCUCACCCCGCUGAUUCUUCUCCAAGGUGUCAACACAAGCAUAGACAAAAUUAGAAGAGCUUUCCUAUGGUUAGGGACAGAUAGUGUCUGGAAGCAAAUGUAAAGUAAAUUGGAAGAUGGUGUGCAGGCCAAAGUUUUUUGGGGGCCUUGUGAUCCUUGACCUGGAAAAAUCCUCAAGGGCCUUACGCCUUCGUUGGCCUUGGCUUAAAUGGAAAGAUUCAGAUCGGGUUUGGGUUGGAACGGGAAACCCGUGCGAUGUUGCGGACAUGGACCUGUUCUAUGCCGCGACAAAAAUAACUAUCGAUGAUGGUCGCACGGCAAAAUUUUGGCAUGCUCCUUGGUUGGAUGGACAGAAGCCUAAAGAUAUCGCUCCUUUAAUUUUUGGGAUCUCCAAGAAGAGGGGCGUGACCAUUAGCAAUGUUCUUCAUGACCAGAACUGGAUCUCACAGAUUGACAUUUUCCCAAGGUCUCACUGUGCAACAUAUUCAUGAAUUUCUCUCCCUUGGAACUACACUCGCCUAGAUUCAACUUACCGAGGGAUCCCCGGAUGGCAUCGCUUGGAAAUUCUCAAAUUCUGGCGCCUACACUGCGGCAUCGGCUUACCGGAUCCAGUUCGAGGGUCUCACGCGGAGUCAAAUGAAGCCGGUGGUUUGGAAUAAUUGGGCGCCUCCGAAGUGCAAAUUUUUCGCGUGGCUCAUUAUCAACAAUAGGGUGUGGACAGCGGAUCGCCUUGAAAAAAGAGGUUGGCCCAACUGUGGGCUAUGCUCGUUGUGCAAAAGAGAGCCUGAGUCCGCCGCUCACAUGCUAUUUCGUUGUAAAUUCUCGACCCGUAUUUGGAACAUGAUCAAAGAUUGGAUGAGGUCAACGGAGAUCGAGCCAGCGACCUGGGUGCAUAUGCGGUCGGUUGAGCAGUGGUGGACAAGCAUCAUCCUUGCCCAUGGCCAUCGGAAGAAGGCCAUCGCAUCGAUGGCCAUGCUCGUCGCUGGGAGCUUUGGAAAGAAAGAAACGCGAGAGUUUUCCGAAAUGUGGCAACCAUGCUAACGAUUAUCAUGGACAAAAUCAAAAUUGAGACAACAAAUUGGACGAGUGCGGGCGCUCAUCAUUUGGGUAGCAUAAUGUCCGGAGAUUAGACUCUUCUGAUAGUGUUGCCGCUUUGCGGCUUUGUAAAUACAAAUUUCUGUAAAGCUUUCCCUUAAUUAAUAAGAUGAGGCAAAGCUUUUGUCCCGUUUUUAAAAAAAAUGUUGGCUUUAUCCACGUCAAGAGGCAGCCAAUUUAAAAUUACACUCCUCUCUGAGUGUCAUGCACUUGAUUUGGUAGAACUAUACAUAUAUCGCUGUGCGGCCAAAGAAAUAAAAUUCCAAGGUUGACACUUGACAAGACACGGCAUGGCAUCAAUAUAUCCCACGGCACGAUAAGGAAAAGUUUUAUCGAUGUGACACGGAAACGCGUGUGCCCUUGCUCUUACGUUUCAUAAAACAAGAUUAUGUAUUGCCGGCAGCCUGAAAAGAGCUUUCGAUCCUCGUACUACUAAGCUCGCAAGAUGUGAACGCCUCCCGAUCUUGCAUCAACGAUCAUUCGGUCCGACGUGGUUUAGCAGAAGUACACCGACAGUUUUCGUCCUUUGCCAGAAAAAUUCAAACACGCACUGAUACCCCUCACGGAACCCAGCACAGGGCCGAUGCUUCCACCGUGCCAGUGUUUGUACCCCGAGCACUAGUUUUCCGGAUCGGGAGCCACAAAGACAACCGGCCAGACUGCAUCUUUCUCAAGCGAGAGCGCGGAGUCUCGUGGUUUAGGCGCCUGGGCACCCGACAACGUUUACUGCCCGUCCUGAGACCCACCUGGAAUUGCGUCCUUCCGUUCCGUACCGCAUACGCACCUACGUACGGGCGGCGGUGGUAGAGUACGCGGCGUAUACGGGGUACUAGUAGUACGUGGUACGUGCACCGCCCGCCCAUCGCCCGUGGUCCUUGGCGGAGGAAAAGGAAAGGCUGGCAACGCCGCAAGCGUGCGGUGUGGGGCGGCGUCCGGUCCAGGCGCUCGUCACGCACGCACGCAGCCCAGCUCGUAUGUUAGCGAAACCGACGCGUGCCGGUCAAUCCGCGCGGGGCGCGCUAGGAGGGGCCCGGGAGAGAGCUGUCGGUCGGUCCACGCCGCGCCUCCCACCGCUUUCAACGCGUGGGGAGCGGGGAAAACGGUUGGUGGCUGCUGCCGCGCCCUCACGCCGCUCGCCAUCUUGUGAUCCAGGCAGCAGCAGCGGCAGGAGACCGCGGGCGACGCGCUCUCUCUCUCUCUCGCACUCGCACGCAGGUGGGAGCCGGCCGAUGCCGACACUUGGCGCGCGCCUCGCUUCGAAACGACCCGAUCCGGCUACCGCCUAACGUGCUGCCGUCACCUGUCCCUCUCGCCGUUUUGUUUACUUUACUUUACUUUUACGUGGUGGCUACGGGCGGGCGGCGGCUUGGCGGAUCGCGAUCCCGUGCCCGCGCGUGCGACGUCACGCAUCCAUGCCAUGCGCGCCGACGAUGCGGUUGGAGAGCGGCAGGGAGGAGGACCUGAUAAAAGUAAUCUUUAAUCUGACGACGUGAGGCGCGGGGCAGCGGACGGACGCAGCGAGGCGUGGGAUCAGGAGAAGCAGCCGCGUGUGUGUGCACGCACAGGGUGUGAUGGCCGGCAACUCGCAGCAGCGGAGCCAGCCACGUGCAUGUACGCCCCCACGCGGGCGGCGAGUUUCGGUGUACGCCGACCGACCCGGGCCGCGGCUCGGGAUGCACGGAUCGUGAUUCCGCCGCGCGCCUCCUGUCGUCCUUGACGUGGGGCCGCCCCACCCCACCAGGGAAGAGGGCCCGUGACGUGCUGCCACAACGUGCCGCCCGACGCACCGCUGGGAGGGACCCACAUGCGGCGGCUUUGAUGCCUUUUGUUUAUGCGACGGACUCGGCUCGUGUUUUUGCACUCUGGUGCCCCGUAACAUGGUCUUGUUUUGUUUUGGUCCAAAACGCUAGGCGUCUCGUUGGGGGCUAAGAAAAGCAAAGACUUGUGUUGCGUGGGAAAAGGGAACUUGUAAAAGAACAUCAUGUUUUUAAGAAAAAUUAUACUCACUCCAUCCAACAAAACAACUCAUAUACUCCUUCCGUCUCAUAUUAAGUGAUUCAAAUUAAGUGAUGCAAAAACACUCCAUCUCAUUUUUAACAAAAUUUGCCCAAAUAUGAGUGUAUCUAUGUCUAAAAAACAUCUAUAUACAUGUAUAGAAAGUCACUUAAUAUGGGCGGAGGGAGUAUUUUUCUUUUCAUUUGUUCUACAAUAUACCUCAUUUUUCUCUCAGUUCCUGCACCCUGAUAAUACUUACUCACAUCUGAUCCAUCUACUCUUAAUCCAAUAAUAGUAGCCACCCGCUAGAAAGAGAGCUUUCUUGAUACAAAUGCACAAAUCUAUAUUAAUUGUUUUGUGGAAGGGAUGAGUGCUUAAGUGGUAAUGUCAAAAUCAGGCAUGCUUAGGGAGCACUUUAGCUCGUGCAAAAAUGUAACAGCUUUCCAGGUUAUAUUACGUACAGGCACAAAGGUCUUCUCACAUAAAGAUAUCCGAUUUGGCUGGCUCUUGAAUCCAUAAUUUAGGAUGUCACCUUAAUUAUGUCAUUGAGAUUGAAAUGCAGUUAUAAUAAAAUAGACGCCGGCAUGUGGCAUAGCUAUUUCUCUUCACUUUUGUAAAACUGUUGCCCUUAAAAUUAUAGUGAAAAAAAUCAUGCAAAGAGGUAUAAUUGUACACAAAUCUUAACUAUGACUGCUAAACAAUUAAAUGAAAAGGUGUGCACUAAAAUCAUCCAUCUAUGUUCAACAUUCAUCUAGAAACUUAGAGCCACGCUCACCUCGACAAUCAAAGUUACAUAUGAGAAAAGGAGAGAUCAUUGAAAUCAUUCCAUGGUAGUAAUGCCCGGACCAGUAUCCUUUAUGCUUAGGGCAUCUCCAAUCCUUAUGCUUCCGAGAGACCAUUAGCUGGGCCCAGGCAGAAAAAAUUAAGCGUGCAAUGCUUUAGGCAUGUUUAGGAAUUCCAUCGAACUCGCUUCUAGAUAUGGCGAUCUUCUUGUGCUUUUAGAGAGGCAAUAUCUUCACCAUCUUGGUGGUCGUCCUCACUGAGAACCAGCAGGCGUCUUCGUCAACACAGUUUUCGCCCCUCACAAUAUUACACAUGCGACGACGAAGACACGAGGUGAUGUGCACCCCAUGUGAAAUGUCAUGGUUGUGGACUUGUGGCGCAAUGGAGACACGGCUUGAAGUCGUAUCUGGCGAGAUAUCGUGGUUACGACGCUAACCUCGAGGACUUUGGGGAGGAGCGAGAGGAGAGAAUUGAGUUUUUUUUGUUUCUUUAUUUCCUGUGAACGAGACAUAAGCCAACGGGUGGCCCAAAGACAGAGGUUGACCUAAAGUGUCCAACUUGUUUUCACAAGACCUUUAGAGUUUUGUGGCCGGCCUUGUUUCUACAUUGGAGCUGUUCUUAGUAAAUGCUCGAGAAAAAACGACAUGACACUAAUUGCAACAAAGUGAAAAAAAACUAUUGUUGAACUAUAACGUCAUCCAUUUAGGUUUAUCGUUGCUCUAGAUUUGGAUCUAUCGUCGCCUCAUGUGCUUUCCAAAUACAGUCGAAGAUGCAUUCGACAAAAAAAAAGUAGAAUUGCGAAUAUUUAUACCGAACAAGAAAUUUUAUUUUAUGUUGGGCAUUCUUGUAAAUUUAGAGCUAUCGUCGGCUGACGUACUGGCCAGCACAAUUGAAGAUGCAUAAGACAAAAGAAUAGACUAUGUUUGCAAUUCUCAGAAGUUAAUCCUUUGCCCUAAAAAAAUGCCCUAGAAGAAAACACCAAAUUUACGGAAAAAAGGCAACCGGGAAGAAAGAAAAAAAAUGAAAAAUACAGUCGAACCCCACUUUUAACUAACAUUUCGUGCAUGUACACUGAUCAGUUGCUUAAUUUGCCAGAAUUUACACUGAACAGAAAGAAAAUUUCCUUUUCCAUCGCCUACACCUGAGACGCCGCCCGAGCAACGCGUGGCCAAGGACAAAUCCCACUGGCGACGGUAACCGUCCGGCAGGCUGCGGAAUUUGUGCUCAUCCUGAGGGCUCCGACGAAAAAGCGGCAACUAAAUUAUGCCGCCACGCUAAAGACGAGGGGCGGCGGCGCGGACAGUCAAACCGCUCCCUGACUGCGCCGAGUUUUAUUCCUUCUUGCCGCUCCACCACUCGCUCCCCCAUUUCCACCCUUUUUAACCAGCCGCUCCCCCCUAUAAUAAGCCCCCCCCUUCCUCCUCCCUCUUCCUCCCUCCCUCCCCCGGAUCCUGCACCCCCAUCCAUACACACACAUUGAUCCAUACUCCAUCCACAACACCACCACAAAGAAAAGAAAAGGAAGCCAUGGCGCCGAGAACAUCGGACAAGACGGCGACGCCUGCUGCUGCGGCGGCGGGGACCGGACUGGCGCUCGGCGUCGGCGGCGGCGGCGCUGCCGUCGGGCCACACUACAGAGGCGUGCGGAAGCGUCCGUGGGGCCGGUACGCGGCGGAGAUCCGCGACCCGGCCAAGAAGAGCCGCGUGUGGCUCGGCACCUACGACACGGCCGAGGAGGCCGCCCGCGCCUACGACGCCGCGGCGCGGGAGUACCGCGGCAACAAGGCCAAGACCAACUUCCCCUUCCCCUCCGCCGCCGUCACCGGAGGCGGCGGCAGCAGCAACAGCAGCACCGUCGAGUCCUUGGGCGGAGACGUUCAGGAUCAGGCGCCCAUGCAGGCCAUCCCGCUUCCGCCGCCUUCCCUCGAGCUCGACCUCUUCCACCGCGCCGCCGCCGCCGCCGCCGGCCCCGGUGGCAUGCGCGGCUUCCCUUUCACCAGCUACCCUCUGUCGCAUCCCUACUACUUCUUCGGGCAGGCGGCCGCGGCCGCCGCCGCCGCGGGCUGCCACGCGCUCAAGCUGUCGCCGCCGGUGACCGUGGUGGCCACCGUGUCCCCGAGCGACUCCGGCUCCUCGUCGGUCGUGGAUCUGGCGCCGUCGCCGCCCGCCGUGUCGGCAAAGAAGGCCGUCGUCGUUUUUGAUCUCGAUCUGAACUGCCCGCCGCCGGCCGAGUCCUGAUCGAUCCCCGGAGUUUAAUUAGCUGAUUAUAACCGCUAGUCGUUCCUUCCUUCGCCUUUUUUCCCUUAGAAGAAGAAAUUCCAUGUACCUUCAUGCCUAGCCUAGGCCGCCCCUCUUGCGUAACGGAGGCAAGGGCAAUUCUGUAAAUACGAUUUUUUUUUCGCCAGAGACUUUUGUGGCUUGAGAGGAAGACCAAAGAUGUAUUGUCACCCAAGAGGCCAAGACAGGUCCUGCCGGCGUUGUUACGGACCGAAUUAUAUCGAGUUAUUACUACUUUAACAGCCUCGAGAAACUACUUGCAAUUCAAUAAUUGAACAGUUUAUUAUAUUUUUGGAUCUCUGCUCCGCUCCAAUUACUACCAGUUCUUCGUUGAAACGGAAGUGAGAUGAAUGAAUAGGGAGAAGCGUAUGAGUUGUGCUACUACUCCAGGCGCGUUUGCACCCGUCUCAUCCGGCGUCUUGCUUCCGACCCAUGCAACAUCGUCAUUAUUGGUCGGUUUGAAGAAAGUUGAGUCAUCUCCUCAUCCUGCACGGAUCAGGACUAGGCGUUCUACGUGUCGAAUUUACUGCUACUUACUUCCAUGUCGCGUUCACGAUCACCCUAAAAAAACGGUGUUACUAGUAGGAAGAAAAAAAGUAAUUUUCCUCUUCCGAAUAUUUUAACCUGGGCAGCACAAGUGGGCGCAUUGUUCCCAGAUCUACGCGUGUAAACAAGAUAAAAAUCCUCCCUCCCAGGCGCAGCCGCCGUGCCGACGGAGAAAAUUGUAUUCUACUCCUGCUUUGCCCUGGCGCAGCACUAUAUCGAACUGUCCGGUGUCAGAGAGCAAGAGAAAAUCAAUCAAUUAAUUAAAUUAACAACGGUCCGACGUGUUGGCCAUUCCAGGCUGUACGUACUAGCAGAGACGACGUAGGCGAGGCAUGUGGAUAACGAACGAGGUAGCAGCAGGAGCGUAAGCGUCAAAUGCAAUAAACAAUUAAUAAAGCGGACGGGGGGCGCGGCGGCCAGCAGUGCGGUGCGGCGCGGCGCCCACACUGGCUGGCUGUGGGUGGUGGGGCGGAUGGAUCUUUCGUUUCUCGCAGCCCCGUCGGUGUGGCCCCGUACGGCCCGGAUCGCGACCGUGCGCGGCGGGCGUGGUGGUUGGUUGUCUUUGGCUCCUUUCUUCCUUUCUUUUCCUCCGCUCGUGACCUUGGGAGUAACGUGAGCGUGUGGGCGACGGUCGCCCACACACGGGCCACGUGUGCCGCCGCUGCCGGCCACUCCCUGCCGGCCGGACCCCGGAUCCCCGCUGCGGCUCUCCACUCUGUCACACCAUCUGUGGCCAUGCUGGUGCGCUCGCUGAGUGGCGGAUUUUGGUGGUGCGUGUACGCGGGCGGAGCAGCGGGCUUUCGCGAGGAGACCUGGCGUGGUCGCGGGGGCAGGCAGGCAGGCAGACAAGCAGGGCCCCGACACGCGGGAGCGGCGGGCAUCGUCGAGCCAGCUACUACUAGCUGCAGUGAUUCGCGCAGCGGCAGUUUCUUUCGCGAUGCCCGGGCCCGCAUGGCAGGUGGUGGGGCCCGGCUGCGCGCCGGCCUGUGUGCGCGAGCGGCGCGGCGCCUGAUCUGGCCACACGUACACGCGCAGGCGAUGACAGCCGGGGGGAAAUGGGAUGGCCGCCCGCCGGUUUCGUCGCGGCUCGCUGUUCCUCGGUGGGUAUUCUAUUGCUUUCCUCGUGCGGCGGCAUUCUUUUCUUUUUUUUCCGUUUUCUCUUUUGUUUCGUUCGUAGCGUACGUGUUGGCGAGCGGCGGGGGAGUCCGGGGAAAUUUGGUUGCGCCCACAACUGGAAACCGGCGGUAUGCUACUCGUGAAUUUUCGUCGACAGUUCCGUUCGAAAGCAACGCGCGGGUCGUCUGGCGGCAAUUCGUCCCACUGCGCGGGGUGUUCCGCCUCGUACAGUACCAAAAUUUGCUUGCGUGUAAAAGGAAAUAUCUGAGUUCUCUCUUAAAAUUUGAUUUGUGGCGUCAAUUCGUCCCACUGAAUACUACGGACCGAAUGAGGCUCAUAGGGUGUGUUUGGUUGGGCGGGUUGGGGCCAACCACUUUUUUCUGGUUGGAUCCAACCACCUGAGUGUUUGGUUGUGUGGGUGGAGUGAACCCAAAUUCGUGUUUGGUUGUCUUAGUCAGACUGAAUGGGUCGGCCCAGUUUGACAUUUGGUUGUCUAGUUUUUUUUCGUGUGGCUCUUCUUCCUCCUCUGUCGUAACUCCAUUAGCCCACCUCCACCAUCAUCGCUUUAUCUCCCCUUCGAUUCUCAGACUACCGGCGGUCUUUCCUCAAAUUGAAGCCCUGGAAUUAUGCUCUAUCAUUCUACGAAUCAAUUUUGCGUUUUAUCUCCUUAAUCUUUCUUAUUUUCGGAUCAAAAUUGUUAGGUUAGCAAGUCAAUAACUUCUGGUCUUUCUUAUCCCUGCAUACAUGUCGAGGGGGAGGGGGCAGAGGGAGAACACGGAGGGAGCAGCGGAAGGGCUCGCGCUGGAGGCGACUAGAGGAAGGGUCGAAGGCGAGCAAGGGGCCUGCGCGGCUGCGCCGAAGGCGGCCGGAGGAAGGACAAGAUACGUCCAUGUCAGGAUUGAAGAGGAAGGGGGCAGAGGAAGAAGAGGGAGGGGUAGAGGAAGUCGAGCUCAGCGGCGGGAGCGCGCCGGCGGCGAGCAGCGGGUCUGCCGUCACCACGACCUCCACCAGCCGCCCCUUCUCAGGCAGCGAGGGGUCAGGAGACGGCGGAGGGGACGGCAGCGGCGGCGUCGGGGCUCGCGACGACGGCAGGCUCCUCGUGGACGGCGGCGGCGGGGGGGGCUCGCAGGAGACGGCAACGAGGUCGGAGCAGCAACUGCGUGAAGUCGAGACGAGCGAGAGAGAAGAAGACGAGCAAGAGAAAGCGCGUGAGGAAGAAGACGAACGAGAGAAAGGACACUUCGCGUGGAUGAGAAGAGGUCGCCCCACUCGUGAGCCGCGUGAGUCGACCGAUUUGGCCGGCUCACACGGACCAGCAUUUUGGGCCUUUUUUCGGUCCAAGCCGACCACGCCCCUAAGCCAAACACGAGAAAAAAAUUGUUUUGGGCCAGUUAGCACUGCGCGGGGCGGCCCGACCCUGUGAACCAAACACACCCUAAAGGAGACUGGUGAUUAUGCAUUGCACUAAUAUGUGACCUAUCAUUUGAUUUGGUUCUUCAUGCAUAUUGUGAUUGUUAGAUGGGCAUGAAAAAGUGAAAAUGGGGGGAGUUCUAACCUUUCGGUCAACAUCCAUGGCUAUCUCAUCCAUUUAUACUUGCACAAUCUCAACUUUCAGUCAUGGUGUUUCUUAUUGUUGACUUACAAAUAGUUAUCCCUCCGAUCCAUAAUAAGUUACUUAAACUUAGUAUAACUCGGUACUAACUUUGUACCAAAUUGAAGACACUUAUUAUGGAGCGUAGGGAGUAUUUUUUUAAUCGUUGGGAAAAUAGGAAGAUUGUUUUCCAAAUGAGCUCAUUCGAAACCACAUGGCACCGACCGCACACCGAAUGUAAGCACGAUAUGUACAUUUUUAUCUCGAUAUUGUUACUCGACAAGUACAUGUUGUUCAUUACCAAUGUUGUCAAUCUUUAUACUCAUUUGGCAGACGAUAAUGUUUGAAUGUCCAAGCCUGCAAGGUCGAUGAAACAUAUAAUUUGGACUUUGUUGUUGACAAAGUUUUAUCAAAUUUAUAGCAAAAGAUGUCAACAACUACAAUGCCAUAUAUCAAGACAUUAGAUCCAUCAUGAAAUAUGUUUUUGUUGUAUUGAUUUGAUUUAGUAAAGUUUCAUAUAUCUUUCGCCAUAAGCUUGAUGAAUCUUUAGAAACUUUGACGGUCAACAAUAAUAUACACAUUAUAUUUUUGGAAAGGAGAAAGUGUAUAAGAAGUGGCGCACUAUAGCUCCAUAGUUCGCUAAAGUGUGAUCAUCAAGUUAAUGGGACGUAUGGACUCAUUCCAAAUAGGUUGAGAGCAACAUAGCGCCUUCAAAACUUAAACCCUAUUUGUCCAAUAAACCGGUGCAGACCUCACAAAGACCGCCGCCUCCUUUUAAGAUACACGUAUCUCAGAUCUACAUCAUCGUUAUGCUUUGUGCUUCAUUGUCAUCUCAAAGCAAGUAACGGCACAUAGGGCUAGACUAAAAGCUCGUGGCUCGCAAGCUUAAGGAGCGCUCGGUAGCUUGACUUGUUUAGCUCGUGCUCAUUAAUUCCUUAAUACUAGCAAGCAUAACAUGCUAGCUUAGCCCAUCUGGCGAUCCCUUUUCCUAUUCCAAUUCUUGUUCGUCUCAUCACUCGUCACGAAGUCACGAGGUUCACACGGAGUUAAGAACAAAAGUAUGGUUAGAAUAUUUCAUGUUUUGUCUUAACGAGUUCCCGAGGACAGUCACGAACUUAAUGGUUUCUUAAGGAACCGAGCCGAUCAAGAUUUCCAGCUCGUUAUCUUAAAGGGCUUAACGAUUACGUGCUAAACGAUCACAAGCUUAACGAACGUGAGAUUACUGAGCCUAGCGACUUGUCAGUCCAGCCCAAUCGGCACAUCACGAUUGACAGACGUUCGACUACCAGUGACACUGACAUAUGUUUGGUCCAACCAUGGUGCUCCGUGGAACACCAGCCUGAGCAGUACUAUUGUUUAUUCUUAGAAAUGGUUCGUUUGAAAACGGUUUUGUAAGUAAAAGUGGAGCCAGACACUAGUCAUAAAAAAUAAAAAUAAAAAUCAUCAAAAUAGGCCCCUGGUUAUCUUGUCCCAUCAGAAGUCCACGGUCCACGGAUCAUGCGCACCAAGUGGAGUGCAUUUCUUUAGGAAACCGGAGUGAAGUGCAAUGCCCGACGUACAGGAUACUGCUUUGUUAUCACGUAGAGUAGCCACUAGGCCUUUAGCCCAUAAACUUUGAGUUGGGCUGCCGAUCACAAGCAGACCAUGGAAAAGGGAGGCGCACGGUCCAAAAGUUUCCCGGCUGCUGCAUCGCUUUUGCUACUCAUCUACCCCAAUCGUGCUAUGGAAAGAAAAGCAAAAUCAUCUAUCGGUGCCCCAACAGGGCGCUGGCUAUUAUUUUCUGUAGGCAAACAAUUUUGAUGAUGCAUUCCUAGUAUUGCCUACUACUAGCACGGAGUCGUAUUCGGUGCGAGGAGAAAUGGAGAAUGAUUCAAUAAUUGCAUAGAUAUACAAAUACUACCAGCAGUAUUGAGAAACAGCGAAAGUACAUAGUUUCUCGUGAUUAAAUUCAAAACAGACUAGCUGUUUGAAUUAAAAGUUUUUUUGAUAGAGUCCACACGCUCGGGUCCGGUUCCACGUACUACGACAAAGCCGCAGCUGCACAAACACCCGCACGAGCGGGCCUCUCACAUGGGCAAAUCGAUGCGCACGCUCGGUUCCUCUGCGGGCCACGCUCUCCCUGCACGGCACGCAACGCCUAACCCAGUAGCUAGCUUAGCCGCAGCAGCAGCCUGCAGCUACGCCUCCUCUACCUCCGCCUUUCGUGGUCACCUGUCUACGCGCUAGGCGUCACGACCCGUGUGAGACCGUGCCCAUCUACAAUACACCUGCUGUAGCUCCCUUACAGUAGUGCUCUAUCCCUGCUAGCCUCCUAAUCCCUAGUUCUACCCUGCUAGCCUGCUGCUGCUCGUACUACACUAUUUUCUGCGUUGAUUCCUUUGUACGGUCUCACCUUUGGUCUUCGCUUCCGUCACACGAUCGUCUGCGUCUGCAUCUGCAUGGAUCGGUGGAUCCGAGCGGUAAUAAUAAAAAGUUGCAGGGGUUGGCCGCCGCGCGCCGCAUGGUCAGAUCAUGCGGUAGUAGUACGUCCGGUGUAUAGCAGCUGCUGCACGGCAACCGCUGCUGCCUUUUUUCAGGAGACGGGCGUGAAGAACUGACGGGGGUGGGUCGUAAGCUGAUGUCAAGCCAUCAUCCUGUGAGGUCGUGCCAUGCAGUUAAUGAUCAUAGGAGCUUUUUUCCUUCGUUCCUGCUGAGCGGUUCGUACUCGUAUCCACUGGCGAAUCUCAGCCUCAUCGAAGGCCGGCAGCGCGAGUAGGUAUUUGCCUAAUCGAAAAUACUCCUACUAGAGGAGUUUAUCCACUAAUUAUCGAAGCGCCUUCCCAAAUCUAAAACGGGGACGUCCACAGGGAAGACCGGAUGAUCGACCGGGCGUGUACCAGAAAGCAGGGGGCUUCUAGCAUGAAAUCCGGUUCCGGCUGGGCGGCUGGCUGCAGUCCACCGGCCAAUAGGACUCUGCACCGCGGUCAAAAAGGCCAAAGCCGACGAGACGGUACUAGUAGUCUUUUCCGUGCCAAAAAAUUCACGAUCCAGUGUGCGCCGGGCCGACCUUGCCCCCAUCACGGUGACACCACAUCUCCCCCUGCCUCUCCCACGUGCGGCUAGCUCCGCCGCAUCUCUCUCUCCUUCUCACCCAAAUCGUCGCCGCUCCCGUCAUGGAGCCACAAUCCCCGUCCGCCUCUGCCUAGUCGACACGUCACACGUGCCGACCUGCCUAGCUAUGCAUGCUAGCUAGCGCUCGUCCGUCGGACCCAAUAUUGAUGGUGCAUAUGCGUAGUUGAUUGAUGUACUCCUAGCAGCUGCAGCUCUCUCGUGGCGAUGCCUCGACCUUUCUCUGUGUCUGCUUUUUUCGUGGUGUAGUUAAGGCGUAUGUGUUUCCCCUGUUCCUUUCUCUCGUGCGGCGCUUUGAUGGCGGUCGAUGGAUGGAUCCAUCGUGAUCGUGUCGCGAGGCUGUGAAAGAAAAAGUUGCACGGUUCGCGCGCCUGUGUGGACUGUGCUCGGUGGAGCCGGAUACGGCAAAAGCACUGAUCUUCAAGGCGAAGGAAGCAACAAGGAUCAGCCGGGGCCACGGAGCGGCGCACGGCGUUUCCUUUGGCAGCGGCGGUGGGAAGGGGCGUCAGAGAGACAGACGGACGGACGGCAUCGGGAAAGGAAAUUAUUGUUGUGGGGGGGGCACGGAUGGGGGGGGGGAACCGCAUGCACGGCCCGGACGGACCGGAAUCCCGCCGCGCAGCUAAGCUAGCGCCAGAAGUGCAUCCAGGCAGCACGGCGCGGGGCAGGCCAGGCCAAGCGUGUACGUGGGUACUGUACUGUGUGUGUACGUAAUACUCUCUCUCGUACGUGUGGUGGGCGUCACCGGACAAGACCGGUCAGGGCGUCCGUCUUUGGUAGAGCUGGUGCUACUACUACUAGGAGGUGGUAGGCACGGACGGGACGGGCGUAGAGUCUUCAAAGGGUUUGGUACUUAUCAUUCGUACACGUACUGAUACUGAAAAGCCGUAGCGUAAGGUUGCGUGUGAGAGGCAGUUGGGGGGGGCACGGUUUGGUUCAUGCUAAAUAUUGUGGUGUGCUUGUGCACGGCCGGAGAUGUUAAAACGUUUGACAUUGGCGUUUAUGGUAUCAUUCGUACUUAUGACACCCGUAGUUUGGCGAGGGAGGGAGGGAGGACAUUGCUCAACAUCUAUUAUUAUCACAUCUUAGGGGAUUAUGAUGUCGCGUGCAUUGUUUAGUGCCCAUGCUUUUAUUUUAUUUUUCUUACUUUGUAUAAACAGUCUUCUCAAGAAGAAAAUAAGCUUUUGCAUCACCCUUUAAGUCAUCUUGUAAUCUCUACUCCCAUCUCCCAUCAUCCAAUGGGAGCACUUGUAAAAAAAAAAUACUAUCUCCAUUUUUUUUUAAUCGUAUGCAUGUACAUCCAGAUUUCCAAAGCAUAAUGGAUUGUUCUACUAUUGCUUAUUGUAGAUAAAAAAGGUUUAACGCUAACACCACAUUGGGUUAGGAUUUAAGAGAGAGUAGAAAUUGGAGAAAGAUCGAAUGUGUCGUUCAAUUAACUCACCAACUAGCACCUUGUCAUCGAGCUUAUUUUGUAUUAAGAAAAAUUGCAUUUACAAGUAAAACAAAUUGGAUGGAUUAAGAUUAUACUCCUUACUUUUCACAAAGGUUGGUGCACUGAGACCAAAUACGGCACCUUUGUUUUUGAAAAGGCUUUGGAAAAAAUAAUUCUGAAAUAAGAUGUGUUUUUUCAUACUACAUGAAAUUUAUACCAAAAGAUUCGUCUUCGAAGUUCUUGCUAAAAAAAUGAGUUGCGUUGUUUUAUAAUCUGCUGUAAAAAAUAAUCCAUACAUAUAAAUGUACAAUAGUUGGUUAGCGAAUCAAAAACAGGAAACAAAACAGACCAGAAAAAGAGCAUCAGUACCAUAAUUUUUCCGAGUCUAAAUCGUCCGGUCCCUAGAGAAUCCAGUGCGAGGCAAAAUCAUGAAUUCCAAGGGUGCAUUGCGGUGAAAAACUGGCAAGCUGUUUUUCAAAUCAAGAAUUCAAGGCGGGCGAAACACAUUGAAACCUGGACGAAGUAAUUAUGGAGCGUACCAGUAGUCAUACUCCACGCAGGAGCCAUACAUCGGUAGUCAGUGUCAGCAGUGAAAACUUAACUCGACGGUGGAUACCCCAGCGAAACCAACCAUUUUCAUCUACUGUACUCGGUGUGCUGUGCCGUGCCGGUGUGCACGGAACGAUUUUGGCACGUAUUGAAUGUACGCCUCUUUCCAAGGCAGCGAGGACACGACAGGCUUGCCACUGUCUCGCCCGGCGCGGCAGCAGCCGCAGCCAGAAGGCAGGAUGGCAGUCAAGGUGGCUACGUUAGGCUAGCUCGCGCGUUCCCAAGGCGAUCGAUGGCCAUCUGCUACCGCGGCAGCAGCAGCGGACGGGGUCGCCUUGCAUGCAUGCCCGUUCCCGAAAAACGUCUCGCAAAAUGAAUGCCCCCGCCCCCUCCCCCCCACGCCGGGCCCGGCCGACCGGAGCCUUCGCUGCGCCCGAGAAACGAAUCGGGCAACCACGCCCACGCCCUUGUGUGGCUCGUACGGGCGCGCGCUCACCCCCGGGCCCCGCCGGCCUUUUGGUGCUGAGCGGCGCCGCACGCACGCGACCCCUCUGCCCACCCCAGCAACCGUAGUCCGUGCUGCCUCCUGACCCACGACACGCCAGCCGCACGGCGCACCCCGCGAAUCGUUUCCUGGCACGUGAACCCUUGUACGUACCAAUAGCCAAUAGGCUGCAGAAGGGCGCGUGUGUACGUACACGUAGCACUGGCGCGCUGCGUGACACAACGUAACGGGGCAGGGGGGGUGGUUCAGGCCUUUUUUGCCCGCCGACGCACGGCAGAGUACAGUAGUCCGUGCUGUGCUGGUUCAAUGAGAGCGGCUGCUGAAUCUGAACGGGACGGGACGGGGAAGGAUGUGGUAGGGCUGGCGUCACGGUGCGAAGGAAGAGGAGGCUGCAGCGCGGGGGGGCCGCGGGACGUCAAAUCGCGCGGCGGCUGAGGCAGCGCACGAGGCCGCGGCCUGGUCAGCGACAGCCUCAAAUACCCCAAAGCCUACGCCCACCGAGCCCCAGAAACCUACUUCUACACUGCCUCCCUAUCUCCCUCUCCCUCUAGUAGCUCACGAGGGCGCCCUGCAUAGAGAGAAACCCAUCAUCGCGCGCUCCGUAUAAGACCAACGACUCCUGCGUUAAGAGUUUUCCAUAUAUUGGCACUUGUCACCGGCAACGCAGGCAGGCAAAGGCAACAACAAGCCGUGAAGUUAGGGUGUGCGGGGGAGCUUAAUUAAGCCAGGCAAUGCAGGAGAUGAUGAGAGGCGGAGAUCAGCGGAGCCGCUGUGGCGGCGCCGGCGGUGGUCGGGGGGGAGUCGUGGCGAGCGGCGGCGGGGGAGCGGGAGCCGAGGGAGGGCGGCCGUACCGAGGGGUGAGGAAGCGGCCGUGGGGCCGGUACGCGGCGGAGAUCCGGGACCCGUGGAAGAAGACGCGGGUGUGGCUCGGCACCUACGACACCCCCGUCGACGCCGCGCUCGCCUACGACCGCGCCGCCGUCGCGCUCCGCGGCUCCAAGGCCAGGACCAACUUCGGCUCCGGCUCCGGCACCGGCCUCGGCCUCCUCCACCAGCAGCAGCA